rnacentral:lncRNA from 1 species
AAAAUAUUAUUGUCUUCCUUUCGAAAAAGAAAAUAAGUGGUGCAAAAUUGUGAAGAAUAUUUGAGCUAGUAUCUCGUAGUGACGUAGAAAAUAACAAAUGAAAUAAUGGUGGCUUAUGCGGUUGCGUUGUUUUGGUGGCUGUGUAAUGAGAAGUUAAGUAUGUUGUGUGAAUUCAUGAAGCCUAGGUAAACUAUACAAGCUCUAAUAUUCUUGUUGAUACAAAAAUAAUUAAUAAAAAAAAGAAGAUAAGGGACUGAACUCCAAAAAGCAGUAAAUAAUAGAUGAACACAAUAUUGAUUGAAGUCUCAAAUCAAACACACUUUUCCGAAAAGGAGGGGUGGCAGAGAUGAUAUUGUUACGAAGUUCAAUCUUCAGAGUAUUUAACUUCAGCAACUCACAUAGAUACACACAGAACAUAUCUAACUUCAUCGCACACAACAGAUGGCCCUGUAGGUCCAUCUUAUUCAUAAUUGAAUCACUUAAGAAGAAAAAACAGAGACUUAAACUUUUGUUCAUAAUACUUGUACACAAUACAGUUACCAUCAUCUUUCCCUCCACCUCUUAUUGCAAUGCAGAAAUCCCAGUUACCCUAAAAGAAAUAAAGGCACAGUUAUAUAUAUAUAUCUUCAAGUUUAACUAAUUUGUUUAAAAUAAAGUAAGCCAAUACAAGGACAUGCCAUGACAUAAUGACAAUUAUAUUAAACCCUUCUCAUGUGACAUGUUGUUUUAUGCAGUCCCUUAGUACAAAUAAUUAUGAAAGGGUAUCUUGUAAGCAUCAUCAAAGGUUCUGAAUAUUGUCAGUUCUAUGCAGCUAAUGAUUUUUAUUCUGUUUUAUUUAAUCACCGAUUUUAACUUCAAUUUGGAGUGUUUUAUAUAAAUAUAAAAAAAAGAAAUUAUCAAACACUAGUAACAUUUAUAUCCUAAAAGGAAAGUAAAAAGUGUAGUAUGCAUGUCAUGGAACACAUAUCUUGCACUUACCAGACGCCUUCAGGAAGAAGAAGAACUUGAGAUACUCAUUACUGUUUUUAUGACUGAUGGAUUACCUGAAUAUAUGAGAGAGAGUGAGUUGAUAGGAAAAACUAUAUAUAACUAGGUAGUGAACCGGACCGGUUCAUUCAUGACGUCCAAUGAAAAAGGUUGCAAAUUGCCCUGACGGUAAGAGGGCUUAAAUUGCUGUUGGUAUUAAAAUUCUUCGUUUUCUCUAUGUAACUGGUCCUUCUCACUUUUAGCCUUUUCAAUUAUGCAACUCAAACAAAAUAUUUGGCUUAUAUUUGAGUGUCACCAAGAAAUUAGACUUCACUAUGGAAAAUAGCUAUAGACGGAGAUCUAAGCUUAUGGGUAUCCCACGCCUAAUGUCUUCCAAGUUCAACAUAAAUCAUCCAUGAAACAAAACCUAUUGCUAAAUAAUACAAUAUAUUCUAAUUUAUUUGGGGUUAGAGAAGAAAAAGAAGAAUAUAAUAAUGCGAUAUUCAUGCUUGAAAUAAGAAAGAAUAUAUUUUACUUUCAUUUAAAAUUUUUAGUAUAAUAUUGAAAACAUUAUUAAAAGUAUUUUGAAGUAAUAUAUGACAUCAUUGUAAUAAAAAAAAUGGCAAGUAUAAAAAAAUAACAAUUCAAUUGGGAUGAUGAAUUCCUACCUGAUUGUGAAACAACUGUCGGAUUGUUGCGUUGAGAUUCCCGUGGAAGGUUAAAUCAGAAGAAUCCUUUGAUGUUUUAAUUCCCAAAAACAUUGACACUUUUAUGACUCCUUCAGAGAAAGUUUCCAUUUUAGGACAUUUGGCUACUAUUACCUUUUUCAAAUAUGAGCAAUGCAAAGUGGCAUUUCCUGAAUAAAACCUUACUAGCCUUGGUAAGCAAUUCAGCUUAAUUGAUCUUAGUCUUCCGAAUACCAUUUCAUCACAAUCAUCUUCAUCUUCAUCUUCAUUUUUUGCAAUUUCUUUUAUUGAUUCACACUUAUUUAUAGUUAAGGUCUCAAGUUUCACUAAACUUUUGAGUGUUGCAAAUGUGAAUAAAUACUCCAUCCUUUUACACUUCCCCACAGAUAACUUUUGAAGAUUAAUGAAAGACAUUGCAGACGUAGCUAAUUUUUCUACCUGAGGGCACUUGUUGAGCUUUAAUAUUUCAAGUUUUUCACAGUAUGGUUGUACCCAAGGAUGCUCUAAACCAAUCCACUCUAACUCAUUUAGCUGAUCCAAGUAUAAUUGUUUCAAUCUCACAAAUACUGUGUCAUGAAUUUGAAGCUUUUGAGAGGGAAAUAUCUCCUUCAGACCAAAGCAUUGGUGUACAAAAAGAAGUUCUAAAUUGGGUACCUUGUGAAAGAAAUCAAAAGGCAAAGUACCUUUCUCAUUGUUAUCCUCAAAGUAAAUUACAAGAUAAUUUAGUUUACAAAGAAGGUCUUGUGGAAAAUGUGCAUAUCUCAUAAGCUUAAUGUUUUCCUCUUUGAGUGCUAAUCCCGUGAGUUUGGGAAAAACCUAGUAUUUGAAGUCAAAUAAGUUCGAAAUGUAAUGUGUGAUAGUUAGAUACUAUAAGAGGAAAAUAAUAAUGAAAAUAAGAGAAAGUGCAAAAAGGUAAAGUUCUGAUGCUUCGUUACCUUUUCAACCGAGAACAAAGGUUGUUGUAUCAGACUAAUUGAAGCCUCUAUAACUCCUUUCUGACUAUCAUCAAAGUCUGAUGUGAACAACUUCAGAUUAGGACAACAUAUCACAAAUAAGACUUUUAACGAGGGACAUUCCAGAUGAUGCUUUCUAGGGUAAAAGCAACUCAACAGUGGCAUGUUUUCAAGAUAUAGAAAGGACAAAACAGGUAAUUCAAACAUAAAUGUCGUUCCAUGAUCCAUUCCAUCUUCCUUUCCAACUAUUUCUAUCAAUUUCUCACACCUCUCCAUAUGAAGUGUCUCAAGAUUCUCAAGAUUUUUUGCAAGGGAUGAAGAGAACAGUGUUACCAAGUUUCCACACCCUUUGACAACCACUUCUUGCAAUUUGGGAAAGAUGACAGUUCCUUCGAGGUUUUUCUUCCAUACACAUUUCAAAUUUGGCAAGUAUUUUAAAGUAAGUUUUUUCAAACAAAAGACUAUUCUCUUCGUCUUGACCUCAAUCUCAUCAAUGUCAAAUAUUACUUGCACUGCACCAGAACUAUGCACAUUCAAUUCUUCUAAGUUCUUUAAGUAAGGAAGUACAUGAGAUGGAAUUACAAUAGGUCUAUUGCAUCCUGCAUCAAAUUCCAAUGUCUUGAAACUGCCAAAAAGUUGUCCGAAAUAAGAGGGUUUUUGUGCUGAACAUUCGCCAUCUCAAGAUAAUCGUCAAGAAUCAUAAGCUUUGAAUAGUUGAAAAAACCCUAAAAGAACAUAAAACACAAUGACAAAUUAAUAGACAACCAUAUGCUUUGUAUUUAAUUGAGAUGACUUGGAUUUAUCUUUCAUUGUUGAAAACUAUAUAUUUACAUUAUUAGUUGUGAAAUAUAAAAUUAUCUUAUAUUAAAGUUCAUUUUUCUUUUUUCUUUUUUAGUUAAAUUAUGAGCUUAUUGUUUACUUUUAUAAUGUGUGCCAACAAUUUCAGAUAUAAAAAAGAGAGCAAAAUAACAAUAAAAGAUGGUUGAUGGUUAAUGGUUUUAGCGCGGAUGAAAUUAGGGAUAUUAAGGGGACCGUGGGUUUAACUACUUCAUCUUUGUCCUUAAAGUAAAAGUUCGUAUUCAUCUCAUUUCCAUAUUACAAUGGUAUGAACUUUAAUUUCGAUGUAGGGUAUAUGGUACCUAUGCUUAUCCUUGUCCUCUUAAUAUUAUAAAUAUUAAUUAAAUAUUUUUUUCAUAAAAUAUAAAAAUUAGAAUGGAAACAUAAUAUUAUCACAUAUCCAAUGUCAAAUGGAUAUAUAUUUUAUUUUCUAAAAUAUCAAAUAUUAAGAAAAAAAAUAUAAUUAUAUUUUUUAUCGAAAAAAAUAAAUAAAAUUAAUUAGAACACUUCUAAAGAUGACCCAAUCCUUAUACAAUAACCUAAUCCAACAGAACCAUUAUUAAGAGUGCCUAAGGAGUCUGUCUACACUGCAAAAUAUUUAUCAUCAAAAGAGAAAUGAAAACAACACUCACAACAGAAUAUAUACAAAAAGCCCCAGUUCAUUUCCAAAACAGUUCCACCAAGAUUGCUUUAAAUUUUGUUUUUAGUACCAACCUUACCCUCUUUUAUGUUAUGUUGUUAUAACCCAUUAGUUCUGAUUUAAACAUGUCCUAUACCUCAGAUACCUUCCCUUCCCAACAUUACUAACAACCCAAACUAACUCCCCUUCAUCAUCACAUGAAAACCUGCAUCCAAAGAAUGUAUUAAUAGCCCAAGACACCUCCACACCUGCACCGUUUUUGCAUACAAAUACAAACUUCCCACACAUUUUCCGUCUAUGUUAGGUACACCUCUUAAUAUAGAGGAGGGAUUCAUAUGCCAAUCUGAAAACAAGUACAUAAAAUACUUCAUCCUACAUUUUAGCCACAACCAUGUUUUCAGUUGUGCCACAUGAAAAAUUUCCUUUAUGUCGACUUGUCCUUGCUUAAAAACUAUUUUAUUCCUAUGAUCUUAGAUAUGCUCCAUACAAUAGUCGCCCAAGCCUCUUUGCAGACCAAAUUUUGUUUAUGACUAAUAUUAAUCAAAUAAAAGCUUUCAAAGUGACUUUUUAAGUCCUUAUGUUGGACAUACAUAAUUCCAAUCCAUUUGUAACAACUAUUACAAACUUGAUAUGCAUACUUGCACUCCAAGAACAGGUGUAGGGAUGUUUCUUCCUGCUCCUGACAUAGAGCACAAACCAUUGUACCAACCAUGACACUUCGCCUAUACAGAUUCACUCUUGUUGGAAAUCUGUCCAACGAGACCCUCCAAGUUGUAGUCAAUACAUUUGGGAAAACUUUAGACAUCCAUAGACAUUUAUAAAUGUGACUUUCAAUACCAUUGAUACAAUUUGAGAUACUUUCAUAUGCAACUUUGACAGAGAACUCAGCUCCCUCCCAAAGCUUUAUAUCAUUCACCUCCCUAUCCAUCCUUAUGCCAGAUAUAGUUCUUAGCAUUUCAUCCAGUAGUGCAUCUUCCCAUUCAAAUCUAUUCUCCAACUAAGAUUCCAGUGCCAAGCCAAAUCUUCCCAAACCCCUAACUCUCCCACUUUUGACCCUUGGUGUAAAGAUAUUAAGUAUAAUCUUGGAUACAUAGAUUUUAGAGAAUUCUUGUUAAUCCAAUUAUCUUCCCAGAAUCUAACUUUGUCCCCAAAUCCAACUUUCCAUCCAAUUGCUUAUUGUACCCAUCCAUCCCUUUCUCCCUCUCCACAUACUUUCAGAAGGUCUUUCCACCACCAUGACUGAUAACUUGAAGGGGUUUGUGUCUGACCUGACACACAACCAUACUUUGAAAGCAAAAUCUGUCCAUUUACCCCUUUCAUCAUCCUCUAAAAGCUACUUCCAUUUUGCUAAGAGUGCAUAAUUGAACUUGGGAAUGUCCUUGAUACCUAGCCCUUCCUUCUCCUUUGCUUUACAAAGUUGUUCCCAACUUAUCCAAAUUACCCAAAUUAAUGUUUUACUUCCCCCAACCCUAGAUAAACCUCCUUUGGAUGCUAGUAAUAUUUUUAUAAACCGAUUCAGGGGCUUUAUAGAAGGAUAGGUAGAAUAAAGGUAGGGCUGUGAAUAGUAAUUUAAUUAAGCAUAUUCUUCUUGUCAGAGACAAAAACUUCCCCUUCCAAGUACUUAGUCUAGUCCUUAAUUUGUUCAAAAUAGGUUCCCAAAACAGUACCUUCCUCGGGUUUCCACCCACCAUCAUACCCAGAUGCUUGAAAGAUAUCGACAUUUGCAUGCAAUUUAGAGUCCUGGCAUAACAAUCAUAAUUGUUUCUUUCCAUGUUUAUGGCCGCUAAUUUAGAUUUAUGGAAAUUGAUUUUCAAUCCAAACGCUAGCUCAUAACAUCUAAGAAUAGCUUUAAUUGUAAGCACACUCUAGUAGCUAUCUUCACAUAAAAAAAGGUGUCAUAAGCAAAUUGUAGAAUACAAGACUCAACUUCGAGCCUACCUAAUUUUACACCCUUAAGCAAUUUUCUCUUAACAUCCUGUCUUACUAGCCCAACUAGUCCCUCUACUACUAUGAUAAAUAGAAAAGGAGUCAGGGGAUCACUUUGCCUUAGCCCUCUCGAAGGAGUGAAUUUCGUUGUGGGGCUCCCAUUUACCAAUAUCGAUACUGAUGCAAAGACUAAGCACCCUCUUAUCCAAUUAACCCACUUUUCACGAAAGCCUAGUGCUUGUAGCAUGCUAAAAAAAAUCCCAAUUGACCGAAUCAUAGACUUUUUCAUAAUCCACUUUCAUAAAAGUUGGUUACAAAAGCUAUGAAAGAUGCAUUGCAACCUUUAGGGAUGCAACCCGUGUUCUAAAAUUUCCUAACCGCUCUUAAAAUAUCAUCUUUUAAAACUUUCCAAUUGUGUUUUAUGAAAUUAAAGUUGAAACCAUCCGGUCCCGGGCUUUUUGACCCAUCACACUGGCACACUGUUUCCCUCCCCUCUUCCUCUAUAAAGUCAUAUAUAAGCUUUUGGUUAUCCUUCUGGGAUAUGGAAUUAAAAUCUAUUGCUCCAAGUCUUACCCCAAAAUCCUUUAUGGCAUUGAAUCUAUCCUCAAACAAUUUUUUUGCUUCCAACCGUACGAUUUGUGGUUCCUCUGACUCCCAAUUUCCAUUCCUUUAACUUCAUUCCUCAUUCUUCUCCACCUUAUAAUAGAAUGAUAAUACUUUGAGUUGGAAUCAUUGAACUUCAUCCAAUUAGUCCAAGCCUUUUGGUGCAUAAGUGAGUCUAUCUUACUAUGUGUCAUCCUUAGCUGACUAACAAGGUUCAUCCUCUUCAAUCUAAAGUUGUCCCCCAACUCACUAAUAUCAUAUUGGUUGUCCAUAACCUCAAUUUCCUUCAGAAUUUUAUUUUUUGUUGCUUCCAACAGCCCAAACAUUUCCCUAUUACAAACUUUGAGAUCUCCCUUUAGAAUUUUCAUUUUAUUUUUAAAAAUCCUUAUUCCAUCACCAUGUACACUACAAUUGUUCCACUUUUCUUUCACAAAUUCCUUGAAGCCACAUUCCAACAACCAUUUGAUUUAUACCAUGUAUACCUUUUACCAAUGACAGGAAUUUCCAUCAAGAGAUUAUUUUCAAUAAAAUCAUUAAACCUUCUUAUUUCAUUUGUUUGGCUACUCCUAAUGUUGAUUCACUUCCUUUCAUUUAUAUUUCUGACAGCAUUAAAAUCAUCAAGUAUGCACCAAUUAUAGAGAUGAUUUGCCAAUUUAAUGUUAGUUAUUUCCUCCCAAAGGGCGCUCUUUUCGCUAGCAUUGCAUGGUGCAUACACAUUAACCACCGAAAUGUUUCUUUGAGAUUUUAUGUGCUGACCAAGAAUAACGAUAAAACCUUUUCCUAAUAGAUGCUUAUCAUAAUUGAAAACCUUUGCCACAUGGUUAACAUACUUUCCGCUCCUUCUACACCUUUAUUAUGUAACCAUCCUAUGUUGUUAUCUCCCACAGGGAAAAACAUUUGGCGUCUGAUAUGAAGUCGGUUUUUGUUUUUGUAUCCUGAAUACAUACCACCUUGGCUCCCUCUUUAGAGAUUAUAUUCCUGAGAUAGCACCUUUUAGCACCCCUUCCUAGCCUUCUAAUGUUUAUGCUUAUAAUGAUCAUAAACAAUCUGCUUUGUUACCCUUCUCACAUUUUUUCACUUCAGAAUCCCUCUCUUCCAUACGUUUCAACUCUCUAAUAACCUCUUCCUCUUCCCCACAACAGGUUAUUCCUAAUUGUUUACCUAAUUACCAUAUUUUAAUUGGUUAUGCUAUAUCUACUGAAUUUAAAGAAUUUAGAUCCAAUCUGGAAUUGUCGUUGUUUCGAACUUGACGAUCUUCCAAGCCUGUUAAAGACUUCCAUCAAGGUCUCCUGUUGAAUUCUCCUAUUUCCUAGAUCCCUCGUAACCUCUAUUGUCGUGGUGGGAUGCAAAAUUUACCUCCCCAUACACCUCUAUUCUCAUUCGAAAACUGUGGCAGUCUCAAUGCUCAAAUGUAUGACCUAAAACUAAAUUACGAAACUAAAGACCAAAUAAAAUUUAAUAUAAUUUUUUUAUGUGACUUAAUAAAGUAAAGGUGUUUUUGUAAUUUAAAAUUAGAAUAUGUAUGAGGAUGGAGAUGUAUUCGAAUAUGAUGACGAGAACAAGACGUAUAUACAUAUACUUGUUCCUGUCGGUUGACUCGAUUGCCUUCGUACGUCUCACGACGAUCAUACGUCCAAUUCUCUCUAUCUUCGUUCGUGCCUUUCCUUUGAUCAAAACACCUGAACCUGCAAAGACAAAGGGGCGCCCUAGGGGCCGUUUGCACUCCGACACUCAAGUCAGUAUUGGGGCUAGGAAACACCAAAACUUAGCUGUAAAAAGCUCUCUGUAAAACUGUGUGUGUAUCGCGUAAAUGUUGCGUACCUUGUUAGGCUUGUUACUACCAUUUAUAUACUUUAGGGUUUCUGCUGUUUCUGCCACCCAUAUUUAGGGUUUCUGAGGGUAUGCCUUAGCGCUGCUAUCAUCCACUCUUAGGGCAAUCUAGCGCGUAAGGCUCCCUUACUGGAGUGCAACCUCUGAUGGGAUGAUCACCUAGGUAUCAACUUGUGCACCUAAUCUCUGGGGUCAUCCGUCUUGGGAGUGCCCUAGCUGUUCAAGUGCCAUGCAUGCAGCCUGCCCCUGGAACGUAACCCCCACGGGCCUUAACUCUUCCAGUUGGUCUUUACUUGCGCUACGCCUGAAAGCGCUCUUUACACAUGCAAGGACCCCUCGUGAUCUAGGCUUCUCCCUACUGAUAACUGGUGUGUUAUCUGGGAUCCACCUCUCGUGACCCAGCUCUGCUGUUUGAGUCACUGAUGUCCGAUGUCACAUCGCCCUCACUCUGUUGCCGAGGACACAUCAGCACAUCCUGGUGAUCAACGUCUGACUACUCUUCAGCACCUUGGAUCGCGUCGCUCGUGAGACACUAGAUCAUGCCGCUCGUGGGACCCAUCUUACGUGGCCCACCAUUACUAGCAGUCAAUGACGUUCGAGGAUUAGUCGGUACAAUACUCUUCCUCAUUCUCAUAACCAAUUUAAAAAACCAAGUAUCAUCUAAACCCAUACUCAAUCAAUACAAAGAUUUCAAGUUAAAAUCGAAAUGAAUUUGGACAAUAACCAAAGGAAUGUAAAAUAAUAUAAAAGGAGAAUUAUUGUAAGUAGAUCAAUUGUAAUUGUAGGGAAUAAAUAAAGUUAUAAUUGAAUCAUGUAUUUGUUUUAAACUAUAUACUUAAUAGUUAGUAUUAAAUCAAAAUUACAUCUCUUAGUAUGAAUAAAGAGGUUACACUUGAAUGCUCUGCUUUGAAGUCAUUUAAACUUUGAAUCUGAACAACGGUGCCCAUUGUAGGGCCAGGUAAAAUUUUCCUUAUCUUUGCAAGGCAACACAACGCGACAUCGUGGAAAAUGUUAACAAAACAGACGUAGGAGCAUAACAUGAACGAAAUUGCAAGCGGCACAUGUAUGCCUAAUUUCUGACACUACCAGUUCACUUUAAAAACGCUUGACCAUUAGGUCUAAUUCUCAGCACUACUAGUCGAGUUUAAAAAGACUUGAUCGUUCUUCCUAAUUCUUGAGACUACCAGUCGACUCUAAAAGGCUUGAUCGUUAGAUCUAAAUCUUGGCACUACCAUUCGACACUAAAAGGUUCGAGCAAUUGUCAGAUUAUUAAAAGGAUGACUGAUUAGCCUCAACCAUUAAAAAAAUGAAUAAGUAGGGCAUCAUAAAACAAAAUUGAGCAAUUUCUCAGCGAAUAUACGAUUUUAAGCCUUUUCAAAUUAACCUCAACCUAUGUCAUGAAAAUAGGCAAUAUAAUAUUUUUGUGCACGACCAUAAAUCAAUUAAGUACAACUUACAUAAUUUAUAUCUAAUAUUUUGCUGGAUAAACCUCUUUGUACCCAUAUCUCCUAUUGAAAGAGAAUAUAACUUAUAUAAAGAGUACGCUAUAAGGCUUAUUGAUCAUUAACAUAAAUUUGAAACCAUUUAAACUUUAAACUUGUGUUGUCCCGGUCUACUCAGUCUUAAGGAGGCCAUGACUUAAGAUUUGGUUUAAAUAAAAGGAAACUUAGGACAUGAUAGGAUAAAAUCUGAGGGCAAGGGGUACACGGAUAAAAUUCGAAAAAAAGAGAUACUCGGUAACAGGGCGACCCAAACACUCUUCAAACUAAAAGAUGAGAAAACAACGAGGGAAUCGAAAAAUUAUUUGGACGGGUUCAGAUGAGAAACCUCAAACAAUCAUAAACCCAAAAUCGCCUUUGAGCCAUAACAGAACUAUUAUUAAAAGUUAUAACGUAUGAUAUUUUUAAUUUUUAAUUUUAUUAAAUUAUGAUUUUACGUUUUGUAAUUUGUAAUUGUACCGUGCAGGAGAGCUCGUCAUCUCAGCCCAAGUAUUUGGGGGAGGUCAACUCGGUGUUUAGGCCCAAGAGGUGGAUCGUGAGCUAGACCCAGAUGUUGGUCAGUCCAGCGAGGUAAUUAAGAUAAAAGAUAAAGAGAUAUUUUAUCUGUUGUGAUAUUAUUCUGAAGAUGAAAAAUAUAAUGGUUAUUGUUUAAAUCUUUUAUCAUAUUAUUAUGAAAAUAACAUAUAUAUGUAAAUCUGUUAUCAUGUUAUUAUGAAGAUAACAUAAAUGAUUAUUUAUCACGAUCUUUAAGUUUUUUGUGAUAUUAUUCUGAAGAUAAAAAGAUAUUUUAUCUUUUGUGAUAAUAUGCAUGUUAGUUAUAUAUUAAUUAAUACAUGUUAGGUACAUAUUAAUUAAUAGUUGUAGAGAAUAAAAGAGGAAUCCGAGAAUAAUGGUGCACAUGUGAACAGAAUGUGAGGCAUCUGCUGCUGAUGUGAGGCAUAAUGUGAGGCAUCUGCUGCUGAUGACAAACAACUCUUUGUUCUUUCUAUAAGUGUGAACGUGAAACUUGAAUGCAAAUGUCUAAGAACAGAGGGGGUACUCCUUUCUUCUUCUCUAACUUUCCCUUUGAUCUCAAAGAAACAGAUUUGUGGAAAAUUUUCAGAAGAUGGGGGAGGGUGAGCGAUGUUUUUAUAUCUAGAAGAUUGAACAUCAAGAUGCAAAGGUUUGAUUUUGUUAGAUUCCAGGGAGUACAAAAUAUUAGAGAACUGGAGAACCAGUUGAACACAAUAUGGAUUGGAAGCUGGAAACUAUAUGCUAAUAGACCGAAAUAUAACAAGUCAGCAGAAACAAGAAAGGAAUGGAAUGAAAAGCAGAAAGAGAAGGAAUUAGAAUCAGAGAAAGUGGUUAAAAAAGAAUGGAGGGUAAAGGGAAAAAAUUCUUACGCAAAUGUGGUCAACAAUGGAGUCAGAAACAGAGAACAUUCUUUGAACAAGUCAAAUAUAAAUGCUAUACACUUUAAAGUGGAAGAAACACCAAGAGAAUGGUUAAAACAGUGUUAUAUUGGGAGGGUUUUGGAUCUAACCAAAGUAUCAGGUUUGAAUGAAAGCUUUAUUCUGGGAGGCCUCAGUUUCAUAAAGAUUAAAUUUCUGGGCAGUUUUCAUGUUCUUUUGAUGGGCGAAAACGAAAUGAAGAUUAAAGAAGCUAUAGAGGAAAACAAAGAGUGGUUCGAAGAUUUGUUUGAUACUAUUAUCCCAUGGGAAGAUCAAUUUGUAGCGGUGGAUAAAAUGGUUUGGGUGAGAUGCAGAGGAUUGCCAGUGAAGCUAUGGAAUACUGAGUGCAACACAUUGCUGCGUUACUAGGAACUCUGGUUGAGGUAGAUGAAGCAACAUUGUAUUUGGACGAAUUAGAGUAUGCAAGAUUUAAAGUUAGAGUAUCAGUGGGUUGUGAGGCAAAGAUAACCAGUUAUAUGAGAAUCAACGAAGUCCUGUAUCAGGUAUCAGUGGAGGAAGAAUGCACAGUUCCUGAUUACAAUCUUUGUCAAUGUCAUUGGGGCGGAAAGUCUGAUGGAGUUGAUUCUGAAGUAGAUUCAAUGGCGUCGCAUGCAUCAGGUUGUUCGAAGAAUGGGGCCUUUGAAGAUGCAAGCAAGAUUGAAGAGGAGGAAGAAACGGUGGAAAUGAGCAAGACAAAACCACUGCUUGAACAGGACCGCCGGAGAUCUGUACCAUUAUCACCGUUACACUGCUGUGACACUUUUCCGGCAAAACCCCUAGGGGCUACAUCUGCACCUAUUUGCUGUCUAAUCACCAAGAAGGAAAACGUAGGGUCUGCAACAUCAACGGCUAUAAGCAGGGCUGACAAGGCAAAGAUAAAUGGGCCUUUAGAAAUGGUCCAAUGUGUUUCGAAACAGACACACCUAGCGGAUGCGAAAGGGGGUGCAAGUUACAAAAUCAAUUUGAGUCAGAUUAUAAUUCAAGCCUAAUUACUGGAAGGGUGGAGGAAUCAUUUCGGAUUGGAUUACUGGGAAGCCCAGUUAACAUAGAAAGAAUUAACAAUUUGGAAGAAGCUGAACACAGUGGGCAACCUCAUAAUGGAAAAUAUGCCGUCGCACACCAUGCUCACAGCCAACUCCAGAAAGAUGUCGUACCAGCACACCACACUCAAAACGAAGCAAUCACUACACCCCAGUCCCACACAGUAGAGGAAAUGAAGGAGAAACGGAUUCAGCUACCGCACACCUUGAAUUGGGCAACGCAAAAUCAAGGGUUUCUACCCUACCAUGCUCAAUCGUCGGCGGAAGAAGAGAUAGUGAGGGAGGCGGUUUCACUGAUCUCAAUUUCGAAGGUGGAGGAUUCUCUUCGUACGACACACACCACGUCGGAAGGGCGAUCUCCUUGUCAUCAUGUGCCAGCUUCCGCGGAGCACAAUCACACACAGAGCUAUCUUCACUCAGGGUCGAGAUCGCACAGAAUAACUGAAAGAUUUGUACCAUUCGAGGAGCAAAAUAAAAGGGAGUCUCGAUUGGUAUUGGAAGGAACAGGAAAACAAAAGAAGGAAAACAAUGAAGUGUUGUCCCUUAAUUCCAUCGACACAAAUGAAAGAAGAGUUUUUUGGAUGGGUGAAUCAAGCAAAAAUAGCAAACAGAGAGACCGCAAGCAUAUAAGGUCAGUCCUAUCCCAAAUUAGUAACUCUAUGUCUGACAUGGCUAUAAACAAUUGCGAUCGUUUAUUUUGGCAAAAACGUGGAAGCUUAGAAACGAUUAGAUUAUGGGAAUUGGGUAAACAGCUAGGUGCUACAUGUGGGGAUGAAGGAAAAAUUAUGCUAAGUCUGGAAGAACUUGAAAAAAGGGAUAUAAUUUUAAAAUCUCAAAGGGAAGCGGGGAAAAUAUGGGUUACUAAUGAGAAUACUAUCUUUAAAUGUGAGAGGUUUGGGAAGUCCGGUAAAGUGGAGAUAUAUUAAGGAUAUAAUUAGGAACAAAGGUGUCAAAAUGGUAUGCAUGCAGGAAGUGAAAAUAGCAAGUUUCAGUUUAAAUAACUGUUGUCAGUUAUGGGGGGAUAACGAUGUAGAUUAUUUCUACAGCGAACCAAUUAACGGAGCAGGUGGUAUUCUUACAAUUUGGCACAAAAUAAAUUUUCAAUGUUCAAAUCAUAUUAUUAAUAGAUGGUUCAUAAUUUUUGUCGGGAUUUUUAGGGAGAGUAAUAUUCCUGUUGUUAUUACAAAUGUAUAUUCUUCAUGUAAUUUACAAUUGAAAGUGCAAAUGUGGGAGGAACUAAAAGGAAUCAGACAAAGGGAACCUUGCAAUUCAUGGUGCAUGUUGGGAGAUUUCAAUGCUAUAAGAAAAGAAGGGGAAAGGAGGGGGAUAAGUCAAGCUAGAGGAAAUAAGAGAGAAAUGCAAGGAUUUAAUAACUUCAUUGAUAGUAUGGAGUUGAUUGAUAUACCUUGCACCGGGAGAAAAUAUACAUGGUAUAGACCUAAUGGAAAGGCUAAGAGCAGACUUGACAGAUUUUUAACUACUUUUGAGUGGUUGCAACAUUGGCCAGGCAGCAAACAAUAUGUCUUAGACAGACAAGUAUCUGAUCAUUGUGCAUUGGUGCUAAAAGCAAACUUAGCAGAUUGGGGACCAAAACCAUUCAGGUUUCUAGACAUUUGGCAGGAACAUAAAGAGUUUGACAACUUUGUUAGAGAUAAAUGGGGAAGUUAUUUGGUUCAGGGAAAUGAAAUUAUUGUGUUAAAAGAGAAGCUAAAAAUGCUAAAGAGCGAUUUGAAAGGGUGGAAUAAAGAUGUUUUCGGCUAUACAGAUAAGCUCAAAAUGGAAAUCUUGAAUAAAAUACAAGAGCUUGAUAGGAGAGAUGACGAAGACGAGUUAGAUGAAAACAAGAUCAGGGAACAGAGAGAGCUCCUGAGUCAGUUACAAGAUAUCAAUAUGAGAAACGAAUCCUUACUACAACAAAAGUCAAGAGCAUUAUGGUUUAAGAAAGGGGAUUCCAAUUCUAAGUACUAUCAUGCUUCAAUUAAAUGGAGGAGGAUGAGGAAUGAGAUCAAAGGUUUACAUUGUUAUAAUUCUGAUAAGUGGGUGGAAGAGCCGAGUAUGGUCAAGGAGAUGGUUAAAGAAUUCUACAAGAAAAAAAUGUCGGCGGUCGAGGAUAUUGGUGUUAGGUUGGAUAAUGUUGAAUUUAAAGAAUUAACAGAUUCUGACAACAAGUUCCUGACUGAACCUUUUGAGGAUAAUGAAAUUAAGGAGACUAUCUGGAAUUGUGACAGUAGUAAAAGCCCUGGCCCAGAUGGAGUGACAUUCAGUUUUAUCAAAAAGUAUUGGGAUUUGUUAGAAAAGGACGUAAUGGGUGCAGUAAAACAUUUUCACAGUGGAGGGAAGAUCCCAAAGGGAUGUAAUGCUUCAUUCAUAACAUUGAUACCAAAAUCUGAGAACCCUCAAUCUCUUGAAGAGUACAGACCCAUCUCACUUGUAGGAUGCGUGUACAAGAUUCUGACAAAAGUAUUAUCUAGAAGGAUCAAAAAAGUUAUUGAGAAGGUGAUAGAUGGAUCACAAUCAACGUUUUUAUCUAAUAGAGGAUUAUUAGAUAGUGUCCUUGUUGUGAAUGAAGUCAUGGAUGAUUUGAAAAGAAGGAGGAAAAGUGGGGUGGUCGUAAAACUUGACUUCGAAAAGGCGUACGAUUCAGUGAGUUGGGAAUUCCUAAUAUACAUGAUGAGUAGACUAGGUUUUUGCGAAAAAUGGAAACAGUGGAUUACAGCAUGCCUUGAAUCAACCACUAUAUCGGUUUUGGUAAACAGUAGCCCGACAAAAGAAUUCAAAUCGUCUAGAGGCCUUAGACAAGGGGAUCCGAUGGCACCUUUUUUGUAUCUGAUUGUUGCACAAGGUUUGGCUGGACUAGUAAAACAAGCGACAAGAAAAAACUUGUUCUCAGGUUUAAAAGUUGGGAAUAAAAAAGUGGAGGUGAAUCUACUACAAUUUGCUGAUGACACUCUCUUUGUGUGUGAAUCAAAGGUACAAAAUAUUUUGAGCAUCAAGGCUAUGUUAAGAUGUUUUGAACUAAGCUCCGGUCUCAAAGUAAACUUCCACAAAAGUAAAAUAGGAGCAAUUGGAGUAGACAGGUAUGAGGUAAAAAUGUACUCAGAGAUACUUCAUUGCAGCCUAAUGGAUAUACCAUUCACAUACUUAGGCCUACCUAUUGGUGGUAAUCAGGCUAGGUGCUCUUUUUGGGACCCUGUAUUAUCGAAGAUAAGAAAGAAACUCUCAGUAUGGAAAGGGAGGAAUCUAUCCUUCGCGGGUAGAGUUUGCCUUAUAAAAUCUGUCAUCAAUGCCAUACCAUUAUUCUUUCUAUCUUUUUUUAAAAUCCCGAUUAGAGUAAGCAAGGAGAUCACAAAACUACAAAGGAAGUUCCUAUGGGGAUGGGGAACAGAAGGGAGGAAAAUUGCUUGGACUAGUUGGGAGAACAUUUGUAAAGCGAAAGAGGAGGGAGGAUUAGGUAUUAAAAGUAUUGAUUUAUUCAAUAAGGCACUCUUGGCAAAAUGGAUAUGGAGAAUGGGUUCCACUGAGAAGGGCCUGUGGAAGGACAUUCUUGAAUCGAAGUAUGGAUUGUGGAGUACGACAAACUCAUUUAUAUUGAAUCGAAAUAGGUAUAAAUCCAGAUGGUGGAAUGAUUUAUCCAAGGUUAGCCUUUCAGAUCAAGGGGACAACUGGGUCAAUUCAAAUAUGGUUUGGCAACUUGGAUCAGGGGACAAGAUCAAAUUUUGGGAAGAUGAGUGGCUAGCCAAUGGUCAACUCAAAGGUAGAUAUGAAAGAAUAUAUAAUAAUUCUGAUCUUAAAGACAAGACUAUUGGUAAAUUUGGAACAUGGUCUACACAGGGGUGGGAGUGGAAAUUUAGCUGGAGAAGAGAAUGGUUUGAAUGGGAAAGAACGAUGGUAGAAGAGUUUAUGGAAGACUUAUCACAGGUGGUACUAUAUCCAAACAAAGAGGACUUACGAUUAUGGAAUGAUCCUCCAUCAUAUACCUUCUCGGUCAAAUCUGCUUACAAUAAGUUAAUUAACCAAACAUCUAGGGGGGUAACAGGAGUGUAUGAAUAUCUUUGGAAAUUAAAGGUUAUGCCAUCAGCUCAGUUUUAUGUGUGGAGGGCCCUAUCAAAUAGGAUAGCAACUAAGGUGAAUCUGCAUAAAAGGGGAGUCUUAUUGGGGGAUACAAUAUGUGUUUUAUGUGGAAGAGAGGAGGAGUCAACCCCACACAUUCUUGUUACAUGCGAGGUAUCAACUAAGGUUUGGAAUAUGUGCUUUAAUUGGACAGGGAUGAGGUCGGUAAAUCAUAAUGAUUUGGUAAAUCAUUUCGAACAAUUUUCUUGUAUAUGUUUUAAUNNNNNNNNNNNNNNNNNNNNNNNNNNNNNNNNNNNNNNNNNNNNNNNNNNNNNNNNNNNNNNNNNNNNNNNNNNNNNNNNNNNNNNNNNNNNNNNNNNNNCUUUGGGUCUCAGUGGUUUGGUGCAUUUGGAAGCAUAGAAACAAGGUUAUUUUUAACCAAACAAAGAUAGAUGCAGAGGAAAUUUUUACUAUGACACAAGUACAAACAUGGGUGUGGAUGAAACAUAAAGUAAGAAAAGUUCAGUUUUCCUUCUCUGAUUGGAUUUUAUCUCCUUUAAUAUGCAUUAAUAUGGCAACAAGAUAAACAUAGAAAAGCAUUAUUGUUUCCCAAUUAAAUACAUGUUUUGCUGGUUUUGUUAUAAAUCUGCCAAUGACUGUUUCUAUGAUCAAUAUUAAGGGUACGUAUUAUAUUUUGAACUAGCUGAAAGGUUUGAAAGGUAGUGUUAUGUGGUGCAGGUUAAAGGGUUAGAAGAACAUAUAUCAAAGGCUGGUAUUCUUGGUUUGUAUUUGCUGCUGACAGGGGGCAGUUUCACAAAGCUGAUGCUGGCAAGGACCUACAUGGAGAUGCUGAAAAUAUUCAAAGUGUAUGUUUACCCAGAUUAUGAGCCACCAAUCGUGUACGGUGGACUGUGCAAUGCCAUACAAUCAAUUGAAGGAAGGACCCUCUAUGAGAUGGAACAUGAUGCAGGGUGGUUGCCGCUCACGUUCACUUCCUGCCAUUCAGCGUGAAUUGGAUGGUGAAGAACCUCCAUCUACUCUUUCAUAAAGUUUUUUCUGUUAUUCAUCUUUUGGGGAGUGGAUUCUUUUAGCAGGGUGGUUAUGUUUUAUGUUUGAAUAACUCUAUCUUUUAGUGUACCCAGUUGAGCGUUUGUGGCUGCUUUGGUAUGAGUGUAGCCAACACUUUAUAGUUUGUUUCUGAUUGUGGGUGUGGUCUUGUUCUUGGUUUUGAGAUGUAAGGGUUAUUAUUGUGGACUCCGUCUUGCUAUGCUUUUUUGUUUUUGUUUUUUUUAGGAGUCUUUUGUACAAGGGUUGGAACACCCCUAAAGUGUUCCCUUUAUUUAUUUAAUUAAUUCUUUGCUGAAAAAAAAAAUGUGAACAGAAUGUUUUCCUACUGUUAGCACCUGAAGAUAAGUGGUUUUUCUGUUAUGAUUAAAUAUCUUCUAUUGAGAUUACACUCUCAUUAGUGAAAGUGGUUGGGGAAAAGUCUAUAAAAGGGGUUUGAGAAUCCUGAUAAAGGUACGCUAUUUCUAGAGACUAAGACUGAAACUAGUUACUUAUCUUGAAUGUUUUUACUGACUUGAUCGUCGAAGUGUGAUCAACAGGUAGAACCCCUUUCUGUUUCAACUGAGUUGCAUUCUAGGGUUGAAAGAAAGACAGAUCAGAAACAGAACUUUCCACCUAGGUCAACCGCGGUCAACUGGCGAGAACAGUAAUAAUAUUUAAUUAUUAAUAUUAUUUUACUAAUAAACCACCAGUUAUAUUAGUGAACUUUGUGAUGUUUUGAUGGGUUCAAUUUUUGAAACAUAGAUAAAAUGAACAUAAAACAUUUUUAACUCAUGCACGCUCCACUCGUGAAAAAAGAGAAUAUCCCGUUCAUUUUUUUUAUUAGAACUGAAGUUCGGUUUAGCAGUGUCUUUUGCAUUAUUAUUUUCACCAACAUAAUUUUCAUUAAAAAAUUAUAUUAAGGUUUAAUUAUUUUUCCUUGAAUUUUGGAGUGAAUUUGAUUUGAUUUUUUCAAAUUAAAUUUAUUUAUUUUAAUGCUUCAAAUUUUAAAAAAAUAUAAUCUUUGUCCUCAAAUAUUAAAUUUGAAGGUCUGUUUAAAAAAUCAUUUUAGCCCAUUAAAUUUAUUGUUUGGGAUUUAAAUCAUCCGAAACCAGAUUUAUGCUAAAGUCUAGUGAAUAAAAAUAUAAUUAAACCUUCUAUUAUAAUGAAAGAUAUCCAAAGAAGUAAAACUAACAAAAAUAUUGAAAAGAACUACACUAUGUCUCAAUAAUGUUAAAGAAAAAUAAGUGUAAAAGGAUAAAAAAAAUGUUGUUUAGGAUCAAUAAAAGAAUGAAAAAAUAUAAAAAAAAAGAAAAAAAGAAGAAUGAAAGUAACAAGGGGUUCUAAAUGCCUAUAUAUAAUAUAUGAUGUCAUUUUUAUCUGAAUAUUUGCAAGCGCUUUCAAAUUCAACUGAGUCUCUUUUUCCAUCAAAUAAUUUGCUACAUGAUCACCUAUAUUAUUCUCUUACGAUAUUUACUCAAUAAAUCUCCUCCUAAAUCCACACCAAUAGCAACACCAUAACUAGUUUUUUUUAAUUCUUUCUUAAAAAUACUAACGCUUAUAAGACUUUAAGAUUAUACAAGUCAUAUUUGAUGUAUCAAUGAAAAUUGAUUAUUUCUUAAAGAUAAAGUUUAUAAUUGUGUUAGGUUGACAAUAUAAAAAAAUAUUUUAACGGGAAUUUAUUUUUUACAUUAUCCAGGAUUAAAACCUCUAUUAAGUCAUUUAUCCAGGGUUGCAGUUUCUCCUGCUAAAUCAUCAUUGAGAAAUGUGUUCCCCAAGGUUUUUUAAACCUCAGGAAAAGCCUUUUAGAACCCUUGUUAAAUACCAUGGGUUUAAGAACCUCCGUAAAAUACUAUGGAUUUCAAAAUCUCUAUUAAAUACCAUGAGUUUAAGAACCUCAGUAAAAUACCUUGAGUUUCAACAUUUUCGUAAAAUGACUUAUCAUUUGAAAUAACCUUCAAUCGUCUGAGGCCACGUUUUAUGCAAAUCAGUUUUAUAGAGGUUGUUUUUCAGCAUACUGCUAGUGCUGGUUUUUGUAGGAAUUUUAUAAUUUCUGGAUAUGGAUAUGUAAGGAUAGUGGGGUCUCUAUACUUUAAGCUUUUGACCUAUGUGAUUUUACACAUAGUAAGUUAUGAACUAAUAAACUCUUAAGUAAAGAGAGAUUUGUGUAUAAAGGUAAAGUAUCUCAUUUAAUUUUAUUAAUUGUUUGCUGAUAAAAAAAUCUUUAUUUUAAUGAAGUAGUUGAAUAUUAAAUUUAACUCUUAAGAAAAAUUGGAUUAGUAUAAGAUUUCGUGUGUAAUUCUUUUUCUCUCUUUACUUUUUUACAAUUCUCUUAAACAUUCAGAAAUUUAAACAUUCAGAAAUUUAAUUGAUUAAUUAAUUGAUCUGGCAAAAUUUCUACUGAUUAACUAUAUUUAAAUCUGUUGUUCAAUAUUCAAAUCUGUUGUCCAAUAUUCUAAAUGGUUGAUUUUGUACAAACAUUAUUCUACCUCAGAUCUUUUCCGAAAAUAUUUUAAAAUCAAUUCACUCUUCUCUUGUAUUCGAUCAACGUUUCUAGCAACCUUUUCUAGUUUUAUAUUCAUAUCUUUGGGUCGGAAUCUUCUAUAUAUAUACUGGGAGAGAGCGUAGUUAUAUUUUAAAAAAAAUCAGACAACUGAUGUAAAAAAGAAAUUCUAGAUUUAUUGUAUAGGUAUUACUACAACAUAACAUAGAAUAUCCUUUUUCAACUUUGAUUCGGGAAUCAAUCUUUUGGAGUAUACAUAAUUCCAAUCAAGAUUACCUAAAUCAUAACACUAAUUGUAUAUAUUAUUUAUUUUAUUAGCCUGGGUCGUUUAGUUAUAAAUGGCAGAUGUCAUUAUAAAAUUAUAUGAACCUAAAUCAUAACAUUAUUUUUUCUUUCUUUGUUUUUAUCAAUUUUAAAACCUUUUUUUUUUAUCUAGGAAAAUGACAUUUGAGUAACAGUAGAAGUAAGAAAGAAUGUGUCCAAAAGGUUCUCUUUGCUGUUUAGCAACAUUCUUUGCAAAUAGGAAUGGACAGGACUAUUUUGCUAUUAAAGAAACUAAUUUCUUGUUUUAUCCUUUUUAAUAAUGUUUCUCUAAUUUAUUUUAUUGAAUUUAUUAACUCUUGGGCUAAGAUGUUUGGAUAUUUACAUUAAGUGAUGUUUUCUUUAUAAUAAAAUACAAACUAAUUAAUGUCCAUAAUUUUAGAAUUAGUAAGAAAAUAAUAUUUUAUUACACAAAAAGGAAAGGUAAUAAGUAAUUUAAUAUAUUGUAUAUAUUGUUUAUUGUUAUAAAAAAAACUAAUGUAAUAUUGGAAAGAAGAAUAUAUUUGCUUUUAUUUAAUAUUUUUAAUAUAUUGCUGAAAAUAAUAUUAUGAAUAUUUUGUAAUAAGAUAUGACAUUAUUGUAGAAAACUCUGUAUAAAAUAAUAAAUUAGUUAUUGUUGCAAAAAAUGUAAGGUUUUGGCAUAGACAAGGUCGCAUCAUUAAAAUUAGUUAGAUAUUAAAACAACAAUUGAAUUUGGGGAAUGAAGUGUUACCUUUUGGUUAAAUAACCUCUGAAUAGUUGAGUUGAGAUCACCGUCGAAUGUUAAAUCAAUAUCAUCUGAUGUUCGAAUCCCCAAAAAAGCUGGAGCUUUUAUGACUUCUUGAGAGAAAGUUUCCAUAUUAGGGCAUUCAAUUAUCAUCAUUACUUGCAAACACGAGCAUCGCAAAGUGGCAUUUCCUGAAUAAAAACUCACUAAACUUGGUAAGCAAUUUAGCUGAAUCGAUCUCAGUUGUCCAAAUACUAUCUCAUCACAACCAUCUGCAUCUUCACAUUUUGCAAUUUCUUUUAUUGAUUCACAUUCCCCCACAACUAGCCUCUCAAGUUUCACCAAACUUUUUAGUGUUGCAAAUGUAAAUAAAUACUCCAUCCUUUCACAGUUCGUCACAGAUAACUUUUGAAGAUUAAUGAAAGACACUGCAGAUGAAACUAUUUUUUCUACUUGAGGACACUUGUCGAGAUUUAAUAAUUCAUGUUUUUCAGAGUAUGGUUGUACCCAUGGGUGCUCUAAACCUACGCACUCUAACUCAUUUAGGUUAAGCAAGUAUAAUUCUUUCAAUCUCACAAGUACUGUGUCAUGAACUUGAAGCUUUUGAGAGGGAAAUAUCUCCUUCAGACCAAAGCAGUUUUGUACAUUAAGAACUUCUAAAUUGGGUACCUUGUGAAAGAAAUCAAAAGGCAAAGUACCUUUCUCAUUUUUAUUAUCCUCAAAGUCCAAAUAAAUAUUAUUUAACUUGUAAAGAAGGUCUUGUGGCAAACGUGCAUCGCUCAACAACAUAAUAUUUUCCUCAUUGAGCAUCAAAUUCUUCAGUUUGGGAGAAGCCUAACAAUUGAGGCCAGACAAAUUCAAAAGAAAAAUGCAUAGUUGAUAUUAGAUAGAAGAUAGCUAUAAAAGGAAAAUAUAAAAUGAAAACAAAAGAAAGCAUACAAAUGUAAAAAUGUUAAUGCUUCGUUACCAAUAUUUCAACAGAGAACAAAGGUUGCUGUAGCGGGCAAAUUGAAGCCUGUAUAAUUCCUUCUUUCUCACCAUCGUCAAAGUUUGAUGUGAAUAGCUUCAACUUAGGACAAUAGGCCACUUUUAAUUCGUGUAACAAGGGACAUUCCAGAUGAUGUUUUCCAGGAUAAAAGCAACUCAAGACUGGCAUACACCAAAGACCUAGAAUGGACAAACAAGGGAAUACAAAUACUGUCAUUUCCUUUUCCGUUGCAUCUUCCUUUUCUACUAUUUCUACCAAUUUCUCACACUCUUCUAUUUGAAGUGUUUUAAGCUUCUCAAGAUUUCUGGCUAGGGAUGAAGAGAACAAUGUUACCAAGCUUCCACAACCAUCAACAACCACUUCUUGCAAAUAGGGAAAGCUGACAAAUCCUUUAGGGUUUUCCUUCCAUACACAUUUCAAAUUUGGCAAGUUUUGUAAAAUAAGCUUUUUCAAACGACAGAUUAUUCCCUUCAUCUUGACCUCACUCUCAUCUAUGUCAAAUAUUACUUGCACUGCAUCAGAACCAUGCACAUUAAAUUCUUUUAAGUUCUUCAAGUGAAGAAGAACAUGAGAGGGAAUCAAAAUAUCUCUUUUACAUGCUACAUCGAAUUCCAAUUUCUCUAAACAGUUAAAAAAAUUAUCUGGGAAAACAGGUUUGUUGUGCCGAACACCUUUCGUCUCAGGAUAAUCAACAAGUCUUGCAUACUUUGAAUAUUCAAAAGAAACCUUGGAAAAGAAGAAAAUGUCAGGAGUAAAUAACUAUCAAUGAUUGAAUGACGAUAUAAAAAGUAUUUGAGUACAUUUAUUUAAUGAAAUCCUUUUGGUAUAAUAUCAGUUAAGAACCAUUUCAAUGAAAUUAAAAAUAAAUAUUUUAAUGCAUACCUGAUCUGUGAAAUGUUUCUGCAGGGUUGCAUUCAAAUCACCUUCCCAAUACCACUUGUCUUUUUCUUCGGCUGCAACAUGUACUUUUUCUAGGUUUGAAGCACUUUGGACUUCAGAUAAUUUUGUCAUUUGAGGGCAUUCACUCACUACUAAUUUUUCCAAUAGUGGGAAUUUGAAGUCACACUUCUCGACAUUAGAGAAACACUUGAGAUUUUGUAGAGACACCAAUUCUAAUGAUUCUAAUAGUUUAAACUCAAUCUCUUCUACUUCUUCCUCAACAUUUUUUGCAACGAUUUCUACAAUCAUUGGACAUGAACUUACUUUCAUCCUUUUGAGUUGAACCAAGGUUUUAGCAGUUGAGGUUGUCAUUAAAUUCCUCAUCAUACAGUUCACCACUUCUAAAUAUCUUAAGUAACUAAAAGAUACCGAGGACGAUGCUAGAUUUCUCAAUUUUGUACAUUGUUGAAUGGUUAAGCAUUCUACCCUUUGAAGAAGCAUGUCAUGCUCAAAGCCAAUAUCUUCAAGAGCCCACAUGAAAUUUAAUUCCAACUCUUUAAGUUGCAUAACAACACCUAUUUUUUCACAUGAAAUAAGACUUUCAGAAGUCCAAAUCCUUUCCAAGUGACCAAAUUUCAAAAUUAAAAUUUUCAAAUUGGGAAGUCUAUGAAGAAACCAAAAGAGAAUUUCACUAUUAUUCAACCCAAACAAGUUAAGUUUUUCUAGUUUGUGCAUUGUGUGAACAUUAGCAAUGUAUUUCUGCAACCACUCUGCUUCGUUCAAGCCAAAUGACAUAUUUUCCAAGUUGUAUAGCACCUAAAUAAAUAAAUAAACUUAUUAGUAUCAAAGUAUAUGUUUGAACCCAUAGUGUAUUAUUUUGCUACAAGAAAUAAAAUACAUAACCUCACAUCCUUGUCAGGCACUGCUAAUUCAUGCUUUUCAUCUAAACAAGGCAUGUUCCAUAUUUUCUAUAGAAAAGCUCUGAAAAAUAAAUUUUGUGACUUGGAUCUAAACAAACUUUGUGUACCUUUUCUGUAGCUACAACAAUUGGUUGCACUCUUGAAUUUAUGAUUUUUGAAGUCAACCCUUCCAACAUGCUACACUGGAAUAUAUCCAAUAUCUUUAAUAGUGGCCACUCUAGAGUGUGAGUUCCUGAGUAGAAACUCCUCAAAUCAUUUAAGCCUAUCAAAGAUAGAGUGUUUAAAUGGGGGAACUUAAAGUUGAUAACAUCUUCACUUGCAUGUUUUUCCCAAGCAACAAUCUCUUUCAUUGCAUCACAAUUUCGUACCCUAAGGACUUUCAAAUUUUCUAGGUCAAUGGAAAUAGAAAGUGGAAAGAGAUAUUUUAAAUUUGGACUCUCAUAAACUUUUAUGCUUCGUAAAUUAUUAUAUUUGAGUAUCUCACCGAUGUCAUCCUUCCAUACGUUCACCAAAUUUGGAAGCAUUUCUAGAAGUAUAUUAUCCAAGUUUGUUUCAAUUAUAUCACAAGACUGUGGAAUAUUUGCAAAAUCAAAUAUAUUUUCCACCAAGUUGCAAUUUGUAAUUGUCAAGCUUCGAAGGCUCUGAAAUCUUUGUCCCAUAUAACUAGGAAAAAUCGUAACUAUUUUGUGGCACUCCCUUAUUAUCAAAGAGUCCAAAAUACGAAAGGAAUGUAAACCAAUAUGGGAAUUCCAAAUGGUACUGAGUUUCUCCAUGCAAAUGAUCUCUAUUUUCUUCAACUUUGGAAAAACGUCAAUAUGCUGUUUACAAACAAAAAAUGAUUGAUAGGUGAGCAAUUAAAAGACCUAAACAACUUUUACAAUUAAACAAUUAAACAACAAAUGAUAAUAUUAAUCAAACUCAAUAUUAAAUGAAUCUACACACCUCUGCAUUUUCUGAACGAAAUAUAUCCUCCAUCAUUUCACAUUCACUUACAAAAAGGCUUUGAAGAUUCACCAAAUUUCCAGCCAUGGAGAAUGAUAGUAAAUACUUUAAAUUACCACAAUCUUUCACAUUCAGUGUGAGCAAAUUUUGAAAACAAUGGUCAUAUUGGUCACUCCAUAUCUUCUGGAUGUUGAUUGAGGAUAACUCCAACCAUUCUAAUUUGGGAAUUGAAACCUGUAAGAACACAAAUGCUCACAAUAUAUUUUGAAAGAUGUUUUCCCCAAGAGAAAUGACAAAACUUAAAUGAGUAGAAAUUUUUAUACUUCUUUCAAAGGAAUAAUAACAUACAAAUUAAACAUUACACAAGUAAUUAUGAUAAGGUUAUAACAUACCUUUUCAUUGAAGAGUGGAAGGCAAGAAUUAAUGACCCCGUUAUCAAAGUCAGUGACAAUAUCUUUGUUCCUGUGUUGCAGUACUUGGUCUUGCAACGAUUGUGCACUAUUAGACAUUUUAUCAAUGGUAUAUAAACAAGUAAAUGUUGGUAAAGACUUUAACGUUAAAACUCGUAACCGGGGAAACUCAAUCUUGUCAUCAUGAGUUUGUUUUUCUUCUAAAACUAUCUCCUUCAAAGAAUCACAAUCACACACUUCAAUUGUUUCAAGCACAGUGAGGAGUCGAACCAAGGAAAAUGGGAAAAGGUUUCCCAAUUUAACACAUGUUUCAAUCUUGAUCACUUUUAAACUACGGAAAGAUGGCUCUACAAGCUGAUUGUCACAUAUUUUCUCCAAGUUAUGCAGUUUGUAAAGCCAUAUGGACUCCAAUUUGGGAAAAGUGAGUAAAGGGUAAAACCGCUCCACAUUCUUGAUAAUAUACUUAAUGCCAAAAUUGUUUACAAUAGAUAAAUGCUUCAAAUUUGGAAAUCCCUCAACAUUUAAUUCAAAGAAAAUAUCUUGAACAUCGUUGAGUUCCCCCAACAACAAACAUUCAACAUUUUUUAACAACAUUUUAACCCAUUUUUCUGAAUGAAUAUCAAUACCUUGUUCUAGGUUCAGUGCCAAAAAUUUGACCUCCUCAUACCUGUCAGGGACUUUGAAUUCUCCCACUUUAUUCAAGUUAAGAAAGUUGAAUUCACCAAUGACAAUCUUGUAACUAUUCAAAUUGUCGAAAAACAAAUUUCGUGGAAAAUGGCCAGAACUCUGAAUGUAUAUGUCUAGAUUUUGCAACUGAUUCAAGUUCCUCAACUCAGAAAUACUAGCAUUUCCACUUUUGAUAUUUUCCUCAGCCUCCCAUAGAAUUGGACUGUCUCUAAUAUAAAGUUCCUCUAAAGUGUUCAUCUUUGGUAUGAUAUUCGACCUUAUUUCUCCUAGUUUUGAGCAAUUGCUUAUGUCGAAAAGCUGAAGCUUAUCCAAUUGCCCAAAUUCAAGAGGCAAACUUUCAAUACUAGAUCCUGAAAGAGUAAGGAUUUGUAAAUUCUUUAACUCACCGAUGAUUGAUAGGUUCUCUCCUAGAGUGCAUCUCUCCAAACAAAGCAUUCUGAGUUUUUUUAGGGAUUUAAUUGAUGAAGGUAAGCAAGAUAGAUUAACACCAGUCAAUACCAACACUCUAAGUCGAACCAUAGAUUUAAAAAAGUCAUCUGCUAUUUUGAAAGAUUCACUUUUAUUGUCAAUCUGUAAGACUUCAAGUCUAGGACAAUGUAUACUCUCAAGAAGCUCAUCAUUGAUGUUACAAUAGUGUAAAAAAAUGGCAGUGUACCUUUCAAAGUCAUCUUCAUGAGGCCACUCAUCAAGAAUGGAAUUCUUCAUAAAAAACACAUGUUUUUCUUUGGAUGAUAUUGAAAUAGCAACAUCUCGCACAAUGUCAUGCAUGUUGAAGCGGUCAUCAGAAUAACUCCUCACUAACAAACUCGAUUCUUCUAGCUCAUGUAUAACCUCCUUCACUCUUUUCCUCGCAUCUGUAAUUGUGUGGACUCCUUGCAGCAAAUUCAAACCAAUGCAAAAUUUGACCAAGUCCAUAAUCAAAGCAUCAUCUCCCAUUCUUGCACAAUGUAAGAGAAUACACUUUAGCUGAUCAUUUUUUAGAUGAUCGUAGCUCAACUUUAUAGAGAAGUCAGUAAAUCCCCAUUCUUCUGUAAAACUUUGUUUUUUAAUUUGUUGGCAAACAUCCUCCCAUGAAGAUAAGCUUUUAUGCUUUAGUGUCCUUCCUAUGGAAACUAAUGCUAUGGGAAAUCCAGCACUCCAUUUGGCAAUUUCAAGAGCAUUACCAUCGAACUCAGAAGUUUUUACGUCAGCGACUUUCUUAAGCAGAGUCUCUGCCUCCUUUUCAUUGAGGACUCCUACUGAAAAAGUUGAGCUCUCAUGCACAUCCAUUUGAUUACAUAGUACUUGUUUAUAUCGAGAAGUUAGAAGAAUUUUUCCUCCUUUGUAACUCCUAGAUAACUUUUUCUUUUCCAUCUUAUUCAAAUUAAAUUUUGACAACUCUUUUUUCUUGGUCUUAUUGUAACCAAAAUCAGAUAUGUCAUUGGCCUCUAGUUGGCUUUCAUCCUCAUGAUCAUCAUCUUUACAUGGAAUCCCAAGUUUAUUCAAGUCCAAUCCAUCCCAGAGAUCAUCAAGGAUAAUAAGGGUGUUCUCCUUUUCUCUCUUUAACCUCUUUCUAAUACGAUCUACUCUUGCAAUCUCACUUUCUCCUUGUAAUCUCAUUCCUAGCAUUGCAGCAAUUUGUCCUUGAAUAUUUUUAAAAUCAGGAUUUCUGCUAAUAUUUGCUAUAACCACUGUCUUGAACAACUUCUUUUCUCGAGCUAUCUUAGCAACUUCUUUGACUAAAGUGGUCUUACCAACACCACCAGGCCCAUGAACUCCAAUCAUAUCAAUGGUAGAGUCUUCCAGUGCUUUCAUAAUCAUCUCCAUAUUUGUAUUUCUAGACGCAAAGCUCUCAUAUCCCAAGUUUGAAAAAGCAACAUCAAUGGUUGGACCUUUUUGAUACGAAACAUUGUUAAAACCUUUCUUCCAAAGUUCAUCUUGUUUGAUUUCCUCUACCUUCUUUGUAGCUUCUCUGCCUAGUUGAUACCUUAGUUGGAAGUUAUUUGGAAAGAAACCAAGUGAGCAAAUUGUCUUUGCGUGACACUCAUUGUGAAUAUAACUUGUAUAUUCUUUUAUCUUCUCAUCCAUCUGCUUUAAGCAAUCUCGAACGUCAUUUUCAAUUUCAUCUGCAUUCCUUAGUGCAUCAUCAACUUGAUGUUGUAGCCUCUCCCUAUUAUGUUUCAACUUCUCAAUGUAAGAUUCCAACUCUUUAAAUUUGUCUUUGUAAUUGAAAAAGUAGCCCACUUGUCGUUUGACAACGCGUCCUACAACUUUCAGUGCACUUUCAGUUGUUGUAGAGACAACUAUAUCCAUAUCCUUUCACAAUGAAUGCUUUGGUCUUGAUUUUUUGCUUCCUCCUGUCAUUAGUAAUUUUUUUUCCUAAAUAUUUCAAAACACAAAAGGAAAUUGAUAAAAAAACAUUCAACGAAUUUUGACGACACACUUAAAAGUUCAUCUAAAAAAACAUAGAAACCAAAAAGUAUUUAUAGAUAUUAUAAUAAUUUAUAAAAUUACAGCAUUAAAAAGUACUAAAGAAUUGUACAAGUGAUAUUUACAGUUGGUGGAGUGAUGCCAGUUAUUUCCGAUUGAGAUUUUUUUUAGCUUCACUUAAUAUUUCUAUAUGACUUUUAUUUUGCUGGUAACUUCGGUUAAAAUUUAAAAAAUAAAAUUAUUUGUAAGAAUGAACUCAUUAUGUCUACUUAUAAUACCGUAGCCAAAAUUCAUAGUUUUUCUAUUUAAGCUUUGUGCUAUAAAAUUAGAAAGUGUGCAAAAUUUGAGGGCAAAAAAUAAUAUAUCAAGAGAUCAGAUUUAAACUCCUCUUCUACCUCUAUUAUUCGUUAUGUUUUUAACUUUUUAUCUAGUAUCUAAUUAGUUAAUGAUAAAUAAUAUUUUCAAAGUAUUUCUAAUAUUAAAAAAUCAUAUAAAUAAAAAAAUCCAAUAAAAGCUCAUUAUAAAAAAAUAUAAUUUUUAUUCUAACUUAAAGGUUCCUUUUAGUUCUUUAUCAUUUUCUUAUCCAUAUAGUUACCACUUUCUCAUUUGGUGAUAAUAGAGUAUCGUUAUUUUAAAGUUGAGUUUAACCACUCUCCACAUUCUUCUAGCUGUUCCAUUGGUAAGAUGAUAGAAUUGAAACAAGUUUAAGAAAUUGUUUACCAUCUCUCAAUUUGAAUUUAGUGAUGAUAAGCAAAAGUCCAAAAUAUUAUGGUGCUUAAAAUAUUCUAAGGUGUUUUGAGUUAGCUUCAAGACUAAAAAGUCAAUAUUCAUGAAAGCAGAAUUGGAGGGUUUCUAGUGGAGCCAAUGCUAAUGCACAAGUUUUCAGCGAUUCUAAAUUACAGCAUCAUGAUAGUACCUUCCUCAGAGUUGAAGGUGAAAAUCAUCAGCACAUGCUUAUGUGUGAUGAAGGGCAAUCAACGAGCCCCGACGCCGGUGGCCAAACAAAGGCGGUGCUCAGAAGGAAUUUGAUUGCGUUGGCAGAAUGGGGAAAGGCGUCGUGGAACAAAGGAUCAUUCGGGGAAGGAAGGAGGCUCUUCAGAGGGGAAUCAAGCAAACAAGUUAUGCUUUGGACAUAAAGAGUCAUAUUAGGAACGAUGAUUUGGACAUGUUAUGCUUACAAAAAAAACAAAAUCGAGUUAUCUCUCGGAUGCUAUGUGCUUUUCCAUGCGGGGGAAGCAACGAAGUAGGUUGGGUCCAUAAGGAGGCACAAAAUGGAGGUGGGGGAAUUUUAACAAUGUGGCAAAAAUCCGUGUUUCUUUAUCAAAGUCACAUAAUGGGAGAAGGUUUUGUUGUGGUGGUGAGUUCUUAAAAGUUAGGACUCAGAUUGUUGUUGUAAAUAUCUACUCAUAUUGCAAUUUGGUGGAAAACAACAUUUAUGGAAUGAUUUAUGCAAGCACAGAUGAGUAAUACGUGAUGUGUUAUAGAUUUUAAUGUAGUAAGAUCCUUCAUGGUGCAAUGUUCGGAUUGGUUGAAGGAUAAAGAGAGAAUUUACUGGGGAUGCAAAUUCCAAACAAGUAUGCAGGACGAAAGUGUAAGUAAUUCAAUAUAUUUUAUUUUUAAAAUUUUAAUUAUUAUUUAUAGAUAUUAUUUUAUUUCAAUUUUUAUGAUUAUUAUUGACAAUUAUUAUAUAUGUUAUGACAAUUGUAAUUAAAUUUAGAACUAAAAUGUAACAAGGGGGAUUCGAACUCAAUCCAAAGAAGUUUUAACUAUUAUAUCAAUCAAGUUUUGUUAUUUCAUUAUGAUUAUUAUUAUACUUAUUAGUAAGAUUAUCAAUAUUAUUAUAAUUAAUAAUAUAAAAAAAAUAUUAACAUUAUUAAAUAUUAUUAACUAUUAUUAAUAUUAUUAAAUAUUAUUAAUAUUAUUAAAUAUUAUUAAUAUUAUUAAAUAUUUUUAAUAUUAAUAAAUAUUCUUAAAUAUUAUUAAUAUAAUUAAAUAUUAUUAAAUAUUAUUAAUAUUUUAAAUAUUAUGUAUAUAAUUAUUAUGAUAAUAGUUUAUAGUUAAUAGAGAUCUGUGGGUAAUAGUUAGUAGAUAAUAGAGAUCCGUGAGUAAAGAUUCGUAGGUAAUAAAAUCUGUGGGUAAUAGUUGAUAGGUAAUGUUAAAUUUACCUACGGAUUCAGAUUUGUAGGUAAUAUCCAUAGUAAUAUCCGUAAAUAAUACUGAAUUUACUUACGGAUUAAAGUCCUUAGGUAAAAAUCCUUAGAUAAUACUGUUUUUUGUAGUGUAGGUAAAAUGUAAUUGUUAUAAUAAAUUAUUUAUUUUUAUUCUGUUUGAUUUUAAACUCAUCCUUAUUUUCGUUCUUGUUAAUAAUGGUAAGGUAGGAACAAUUGUAGAUGGAGAAGAAUAAACAAUUUGAAAAAUAUUUUUCUAAUAUUAAAGAAUUAUAUAUUAAGUAUUAUGAGUAAGAUGACUUUUAAGUUUAUACAUAAUUUAUAUUUUUUGUCAUAAUUGUGUUCCAAUAGACAUCAUUUACAAACUAUUUGUAUGUCCUCAUGAUUUGUGUGCCUUCUUUGAUCUUAUUUUGUAUAACGAAACAGUUUCGUCUCAAUUGAAGUAUUCUUUAAAUAAUUAAUUCAUUUAUUUUUAGUUUAUAAAAAAAUUAUAAUCAUUUAUUAUAUUCCUACAUCAUCACAUAUUAUUGUUUGUUUAUUGGACAAAAAAUCACCCCAUAUAUUUAAACAAAUAUUAUAUUAAAAAUAAAAACCAUUAAUUUAUUACAUUGAUUAAGUUUAUAUAGUUCUAUCAUAACUAGUGUUUUUUUUAUUAGUAUCUACUUCAAAUAUAAUAUUUUGAAGGAUAGGCUAAAGGUGAGACCACAAAAGUUGAUGUGGUGCUAUUACGUAAUGCAAUUGAUAAUUAGCAUUGUUCUAGUCAAAAGUCAAAAGUUUAGAAAAAUAAAAUUAUGUUUCUCUGGUUCAUUUGUAAAUAUACUUUUUAGAUUUAUGAACUAGUAUCAAAUUAUUAUAUCUUGAAGUAUUUCAUGAAUACACAAUUAUGAAGCAUUUGAUUACAUCAUAUUAUGGACAACAUAUUUUAUUAAAUUUUACAAAAUAUUAGGAUAGUUUACAUAUUAAAUUAGGUUUUAGACUUCAUGGUUAGUUUUUUUCAUUAUAGUUUUUUUUUUAUGUUUUACAAUAGUCAUUUCAUUACUUUUUUAGAAUUUUUUUUAUAUCUUUUCAUUAUGCUUAAGUCAAUUUUGUAAUUUUAUACUUUAAUUAUAAAUGAUAUUAAACUCAUAUUUUAUAAUAUUAUUAGCAUUAGACAAGUUUCAUGUUAUUGAGAUAUAAAGGAGAUCUUAAGUGAUUAUCACUAAAAGUUAUAUUUUUAUUGCUUCAAAACAAUUUAAUACUUUGCAGGGCCAUCUAAAUAAUAAUAAGCAUAUUGAAAUUAUUGUCUCUCACAAUUUAUAUUUUAUGGAAGCAAUUGCCUGUGCCACAUUUGGUAAUCUUUCUUUUGAAUGGCAAGACGGUAAGUGUAAAUUUUGGUCCAAAACGGUGGUGCUGGACUGGUGCAGGAGGCACUCUUCAAGUGCUUUUUUUUUGUUUUUUAUCCUCUAUUUUAUUAUGCAGAUUGUGCCAUCGGUACUGUAGUUUUUUUUCUGCGGAUUCUAACUUAAGCUUGUUAUUUCUUGUGUUAUAUUUUUAGAACAAACUAGCUAUUAAAACUCUGAUGGGAACUUACAAAGGGAUGGAACAUUCUGAAAUUUCUAUUUUUUUUAAUUAAAUUAUUUUUUACUGAUAAAAAAAAUCGUAAUAAAAAUUUAUUUUAUUUUUUACCGAUAAAAAAAUUAAUCUUAUUUUGAAUAUCAAAAGGAUUGAAGCCUUUCGCUCGCAUUGACAUAAAAAAAAAUAAACCAACAAAUAAAGUUUUACAUUCAUAAUAUCAGGAAUAAAAAUUGAAAAAAGAAACAUAUUUUACCUGACUGGUUGGGUUCUCACACAAACUUCCUCUUUGAAAUAUUAACCUUAUAAUAGCUCAAACAAUUCCAAGCAGAUGAAACCUAGUAUAUAUGUGUAGUCAUAAUAUGUCAGCUAAGAGUAAUAUUUUUGGAAAUGAUAAAAAUGAUUAAAAUAAAGUGGAAAUAAAAAAUAAGAAAUAAGCUAUAAAGAUUUAUAUUAGAUUGAUGUUACCUUGUAUGAAUUUGAUAGGGUUCCCUGGAGAAAGAAGAUGUUGUGGAGUUUGGUGAAAUACUUGGGAAAGGCUUGUAGUUAAGAAAAGUUGAAGUUAAAUAAUGAAGAAGGAAAAAAGAGAGAUAUGAGAAAGUUUGUAUGUUGAGUAUACUGUGAGAGAAGAACUUACAGAUUGUGUAGGAUUGAGGUGAUCUAACAAAAAGAUGAGAUUGAAGGAGAUCUAGUUGCAAGCUUUAAGACCAUGUGAGAAUCUUAGUGUUGCUCUGCUAUGGAAGACAAAGGAGGAUGAAUCUAUGCCUACUUCUCUGUAGUCCCUCUGAUUCGUUGAACCAUAGAAUUUAGUUCCGUAAAGUUUUUAGAGUUGUUGUUGAUUAGAGAUGUAUGGUGUUUAAAAUAAUAAAAGUAGUUGAUGAUAUGCAAUGAUUGAACCCAUUUAUGAAACAAAAGGUGAAAAAAAAGAGUAAUCGUUGUUGAAAUAUAUCCAAGGUGGAUCGAAAUAAGUGAAUGAGAUAGUUGCAGAAGAGAUAGGAAAAAGAAAAAGAAAAGAAGUGUAUGAGAUAUUUUACCUCAGUGGUUCACUGCUGCACGUGGUUUGUAGUUGACUAGGGUGAGUGCAGUUGGUUCAUUCAAGCACUGGAGCUCAUAGAAUCUUCAGGUGUCAUGUCAGCUACACCAUUAACAAAACUCAUUAGCAGAACCGUGCAACUUCGAAGGGAGAGUUCUUUUUUUUUUCUUUUUCUAAUCAGCAAACUAAACUGAAGAAGAAAGAGAAGGUAGAAUAGAAGGGGUUGGUUAUGAAGUUGGGUAUUUGAAGCAUAAGAAGAGGCAAAAAGUUGAGUGAGUGUAUGAUGAGAGUGGUGAUAGAGUUUAAGAUGUUAAACGUUAAGGAUGAAUCUGAUUGGUGAGGAUAAGGAGAAUGGAUGUAAGGGCCAGCUGUCUCUGGAUCUGACGUAGAAUAAGUUUCAUUUUAACUUUACAAAAGUUAACUUGUAAAAUCUAAAAAAAUUAAAAGUAACUAGUUGUAACAUAAAGUACUGAAUAGCAUUCAUUCUUAGAACAAAUGGGUGGACCUAUAGGGUGGUAGUGUCCUUAAGUUAUGAAAAUAUUCAGUAUGCUUAGGUGAGUGUUAGGUUUGCGUUAUUAUUUUGUGUACUAUGCUACAGGCACUCGUUUAACUCGUUGAAGGUGUCAAGGAUCUAUUGUAUUGGCUUUGAAAGGAAUUUUUUUUUUCACACUUAAAUAGUAAAUAACAUACCUUUGACAUCCAAUUAUAAUAUUUUUAAUUAAAAAUAAAAUAAAUAUAAUUAAAAUAAUAAUUUAUUAGUAUAUGGAAUGAAUGUAUUUUAUGGAAUGAAUGUGUGGUAUUAAAGUAUCAUCACUCCCUGUUACAAAAUUAUUGAAUAGAAAUCAAUUUUCGGGACAAAAAAUAAUUUAUUAUUAUAGUAAUUAAACUAAAAAACAUUUUUAUACUAAAAUAAUUUUUUUUUUCUAAAUUAGUUUCAUUUAUUGUUAAAUAGUUUCUAAAUUUAUAUUUAAUUAGCUACUAAGGUUUUAACUAGCAAUUAUUUAGAUUCUAAAUUUGGUAGCAAAAACUUUGGUAGUUAAUUAGAUACCAAUUUAGAAAUUAUUUAACAAUAAUAGAAACUAAUUUAGAAAUCAAAAGUUUCACUACAAGAAAAUCAUGAAAUAGAAACCAAUUUUUAGAGACCAAAAUAAUUAGUUGCAAUAGUAACUAAAUUAGAGACUAUUUUGGAAACUAAAAUAAAAAUUGGUUUCUAAAUUAGUUUAUAUUAUUUUCUAUUAUUGUUAAAUAGUUUCUAAAUUGGUCUCUAAUUAGCAACCAAGGUUUUAGAGACUAAAUUUAGAAACUAAAUAAUUGGUAGAUAAAACUUGGUUGNNNNNNNNNNNNNNNNNNNNNNNNNNNNNNNNNNNNNNNNNNNNNNNNNNNNNNNNNNNNNNNNNNNNNNNNNNNNNNNNNNNNNNNNNNNNNNNNNNNNNNNNNNNNNNNNNNNNNNNNNNNNNNNNNNNNNNNNNNNNNNNNNNNNNNNNNNNNNNNNNNNNNNNNNNNNNNNNNNNNNNNNNNNNNNNNNNNNNNNNNNNNNNNNNNNNNNNNNNNNNNNNNNNNNNNNNNNNNNNNNNNNNNNNNNNNNNNNNNNNNNNNNNNNNNNNNNNNNNNNNNNNNNNNNNNNNNNNNNNNNNNNNNNNNNNNNNNNNNNNNNNNNNNNNNNNNNNNNNNNNNNNNNNNNNNNNNNNNNNNNNNNNNNNNNNNNNNNNNNNNNNNNNNNNNNNNNNNNNNNNNNNNNNNNNNNNNNNNNNNNNNNNNNNNNNNNNNNNNNNNNNNNNNNNNNNNNNNNNNNNNNNNNNNNNNNNNNNNNNNNNNNNNNNNNNNNNNNNNNNNNNNNNNNNNNNNNNNNNNNNNNNNNNNNNNNNNNNNNNNNNNNNNNNNNNNNNNNNNNNNNNNNNNNNNNNNNNNNNNNNNNNNNNNNNNNNNNNNNNNNNNNNNNNNNNNNNNNNNNNNNNNNNNNNNNNNNNNNNNNNNNNNNNNNNNNNNNNNNNNNNNNNNNNNNNNNNNNNNNNNNNNNNNNNNNNNNNNNNNNNNNNNNNNNNNNNNNNNNNNNNNNNNNNNNNNNNNNNNNNNNNNNNNNNNNNNNNNNNNNNNNNNNNNNNNNNNNNNNNNNNNNNNNNNNNNNNNNNNNNNNNNNNNNNNNNNNNNNNNNNNNNNNNNNNNNNNNNNNNNNNNNNNNNNNNNNNNNNNNNNNNNNNNNNNNNNNNNNNNNNNNNNNNNNNNNNNNNNNNNNNNNNNNNNNNNNNNNNNNNNNNNNNNNNNNNNNNNNNNNNNNNNNNNNNNNNNNNNNNNNNNNNNNNNNNNNNNNNNNNNNNNNNNNNNNNNNNNNNNNNNNNNNNNNNNNNNNNNNNNNNNNNNNNNNNNNNNNNNNNNNNNNNNNNNNNNNNNNNNNNNNNNNNNNNNNNNNNNNNNNNNNNNNNNNNNNNNNNNNNNNNNNNNNNNNNNNNNNNNNNNNNNNNNNNNNNNNNNNNNNNNNNNNNNNNNNNNNNNNNNNNNNNNNNNNNNNNNNNNNNNNNNNNNNNNNNNNNNNNNNNNNNNNNNNNNNNNNNNNNNNNNNNNNNNNNNNNNNNNNNNNNNNNNNNNNNNNNNNNNNNNNNNNNNNNNNNNNNNNNNNNNNNNNNNNNNNNNNNNNNNNNNNNNNNNNNNNNNNNNNNNNNNNNNNNNNNNNNNNNNNNNNNNNNNNNNNNNNNNNNNNNNNNNNNNNNNNNNNNNNNNNNNNNNNNNNNNNNNNNNNNNNNNNNNNNNNNNNNNNNNNNNNNNNNNNNNNNNNNNNNNNNNNNNNNNNNNNNNNNNNNNNNNNNNNNNNNNNNNNNNNNNNNNNNNNNNNNNNNNNNNNNNNNNNNNNNNNNNNNNNNNNNNNNNNNNNNNNNNNNNNNNNNNNNNNNNNNNNNNNNNNNNNNNNNNNNNNNNNNNNNNNNNNNNNNNNNNNNNNNNNNNNNNNNNNNNNNNNNNNNNNNNNNNNNNNNNNNNNNNNNNNNNNNNNNNNNNNNNNNNNNNNNNNNNNNNNNNNNNNNNNNNNNNNNNNNNNNNNNNNNNNNNNNNNNNNNNNNNNNNNNNNNNNNNNNNNNNNNNNNNNNNNNNNNNNNNNNNNNNNNNNNNNNNNNNNNNNNNNNNNNNNNNNNNNNNNNNNNNNNNNNNNNNNNNNNNNNNNNNNNNNNNNNNNNNNNNNNNNNNNNNNNNNNNNNNNNNNNNNNNNNNNNNNNNNNNNNNNNNNNNNNNNNNNNNNNNNNNNNNNNNNNNNNNNNNNNNNNNNNNNNNNNNNNNNNNNNNNNNNNNNNNNNNNNNNNNNNNNNNNNNNNNNNNNNNNNNNNNNNNNNNNNNNNNNNNNNNNNNNNNNNNNNNNNNNNNNNNNNNNNNNNNNNNNNNNNNNNNNNNNNNNNNNNNNNNNNNNNNNNNNNNNNNNNNNNNNNNNNNNNNNNNNNNNNNNNNNNNNNNNNNNNNNNNNNNNNNNNNNNNNNNNNNNNNNNNNNNNNNNNNNNNNNNNNNNNNNNNNNNNNNNNNNNNNNNNNNNNNNNNNNNNNNNNNNNNNNNNNNNNNNNNNNNNNNNNNNNNNNNNNNNNNNNNNNNNNNNNNNNNNNNNNNNNNNNNNNNNNNNNNNNNNNNNNNNNNNNNNNNNNNNNNNNNNNNNNNNNNNNNNNNNNNNNNNNNNNNNNNNNNNNNNNNNNNNNNNNNNNNNNNNNNNNNNNNNNNNNNNNNNNNNNNNNNNNNNNNNNNNNNNNNNNNNNNNNNNNNNNNNNNNNNNNNNNNNNNNNNNNNNNNNNNNNNNNNNNNNNNNNNNNNNNNNNNNNNNNNNNNNNNNNNNNNNNNNNNNNNNNNNNNNNNNNNNNNNNNNNNNNNNNNNNNNNNNNNNNNNNNNNNNNNNNNNNNNNNNNNNNNNNNNNNNNNNNNNNNNNNNNNNNNNNNNNNNNNNNNNNNNNNNNNNNNNNNNNNNNNNNNNNNNNNNNNNNNNNNNNNNNNNNNNNNNNNNNNNNNNNNNNNNNNNNNNNNNNNNNNNNNNNNNNNNNNNNNNNNNNNNNNNNNNNNNNNNNNNNNNNNNAACCUUGUUCUCGAGCUCGCAUUACAACAAUUAAAUUUGGGGAGUGUAAUUCGACGAGGACAAGUCUCUCUUAUUACAAAACUCCAUCGGAAGUGUGUAAAAUGAUUUACCAUUAUAAAAAUAACUCGAACUCAAGUCCUCUAAGUCAUCAAAGAUGCAGCAACCACUAGAUCAAAAAAGUUCUUUGGUCAUAUUCUGAUUUUUAUUAUAGUUUUUAUUAUUAAUAUAAUUUAUAGUUUUUAUUAUUAAUAUAAUUUAUAGUUUUUAUUAUUAAUAUAAUUUAUAGUUUUUAUUAUUAAUAUAAUUUAUACUUAUUAUUAUUAAUAUAAUUUAUACUUAUUAUUAUUAAUAUAAUUUAUAAUAAUAAAAAUUAUAUUAAUAAUAAUUAUAAAAAUUAUAUUAAUAAUAAUAAUAAAUAAAUAUCUAUACUUAUAUAUAAAGGGAAUUCUCCUCUUAACUAUUCUUCAUUUGUUUUACCAUUUUAUCCUUAUAUUAAUAUUUAUUUUUAUUAUUGUAUUAUAGUCAUUGUGUCAUUUUUUAUUUUUUUCUACAAUAGUGAAGACGGUUUUGAAUUGAAAGAGAGGUGGAAUAGUGGUUUUGGAUUGAAAGAGAUGUGGAGGAACAAUUAUGAAUUGAAAGAGAGAAGUGGAGGAGCGGUUUGCUUUAUUUUCAAAGUCAGUUACAUUUUAUUAUAUUUUAUAUAUUAAUAUUUUAUUUUAUUUCUAUUUUAUUUCUAUUUUAUUUUUAUUUUUAUUAUUUUGUAACUGUUUUUUUAUAUAUAAUUUUUUUUAAAAGAACAGUUAAAUAUAAAGAGAAUUCUCCUAAAUAAUCGUUUUUGGUUAUUUUGUAGACAGUUUUGAAUUUAAUUUUCUAUUUGUUGUUUUUCUUUUUGAAUCAGCAGAAACAUUAAUUUAUUUACGAAACAAUUUGAAUAAAAUAUAUUAUUAUUUUUUCACUCUUUACUCAAUAGUUACUUAUAAUUCCAUAUUUGUUAUUACUAGUUCUGUUUUUAUUUUUUUUUAUAACAAUUAACUAUAAAUUUAUACUGACAAUAUAAGUGUGUAAAUAAUGAUAUCAUUUAUUCAAUUUUAAUAUUAAAAAUAAUUAUAUAUAAAUUAUAAAAAUAAAAAAAAUGCGGAUAGUCAGGCACGUCAGUGCCUGUGUUCCCACUAGUUAAUAAUAAUAUAAACUAUAUUAGUAAUAAUAAUAUAAAUUAUAUUAGUAAUAAUAAUAUAAAUUAUAUUAGUAAUAAUAUAAAUUAUAUUAGUAAUAAUAAUAUAAAUUAAAUUAAUAAUAAUAAUAUAAAUUAUAUUAAUAAUAAUAUAAAUUAUAUUCAUAAUAAUGAUAUAAAUUAUAUUAAUAAUAAUAAUAAUAUAAAUUAUAUUCAUACUAUUCAUACUAUGCAUACUAUUCAUACUAUUCAUACUAUGCAUACUAUUCAUACUAUGCAUACUAUUCAUAUUAUUAAUAAUAAUAAGUAUAAUAAAAAUCAUAAUAAUACUAAAGAACUUAUCUUAUGUAGUGGUUAAAGUUUAUUUAGUCACUGAAAGAACUUGUCUUCAAAUCCCAUCCAAUGUUGAUUAUAUUUUAAUUUCCACUUCAUAGUGUUAGAGUAUGUAAUGUUGACUUUACAUUCGCGUUUUUCUUGUAGUGAUUUAACCUAAUUUGGGCAAGUAAAAUAUAAAAAGACCCAAUGUUACUCGAAAUUUGGGAAUAAAUGGUUUGUAUUCAAAUAAAAUAACAAAAUGUUUAAAAAGGUAUAAAUUCAUAAAUUAAAAGUUAUUUUAUAUUUAUUUUAGCAAUUAAUACUCAUAAGUUCCUAUAUUUAAAUAUGAAAUAUUACUGAAAUUUGUCACUUAUCAGGUAUCAAUGAUACACAUUGGUUCAAUUAUGCCCUAUUGGCUAAGUGGAAGUGGAGGGUAGUCAUUGAAGAAAAAGGAAGAUGGAAAUAGGUACUUCAAUCAAAAUAUGGUUUAGUCUCGGGACAAACAGAUGUUUAGGAAAAAUAUCAAUUUGGGUGGUGGAAAGAUUUGGUUAAAGUAUUGGAUGGUUCGAAAAAGGUGUAAGGUGGAAAGUCGGAGCAGGUGACAUAAUCAGAUUCUGGGAGGACCAGUGGGUCGAACAACGCACCCUUAAGGAGAUGUACCUAGGUUAUACACCAUAUCUCUAGAUCACAAAAGAAAGGUAGGAGAAGUAGGUGGUUGGGUAGGAUUAGUCUAGCAAUGGAGAUUAAGCUGGAGAAUGACUAGAUUCGAGUGAGAGCGGGUACUAAAGGAUGAGCUUAUAGCAACCUUGUCAAAUGUACAUUUGAACGGGGAGGUUAGGGACUUUAAGAUGUAGGUAAGGGAGGAUUUUGGAUAGUAUUAUGUAAACUCAAGAUAUGGAAAACUAUGUCCUAUCACAUGAAAAAAGAGUGAUGUUUUUACUUGUCAUUAGAAGGUAAGAGGGAUGCCAAAUGUUCUUACCCUUGCUUGGAAGGUGUUGCUAGAUCGAGUGCCAACUAGAAUGAACUUAUCCAGAAUAUGAGUAUAUGUGGGAAUGGCAUAACACCCUUUGUGUCAGUCAGGGGGAAAAACUACACAUCAUUUGUUUGUGGAGUGUAAGAUAGCAUUCCAGUUAUGGAACAAAUACUAUAACUGGUUAGGAACAAUGUUCACCCAACAUAAUGAUUUGAAGAUCCACUAUGAAAAUUUUGAUCUGAUACAAGCUACUACAAAACAAAAUCUUAUGUGGAAAGGUCUAUGGGUGAUGGUAGUGUGGAGUAUUUGAGAUCAUAAGAAUAUAAAGUUGUCUUAAAACAAGGUAAAGUUGACUUUGAAGAAGUCAUAUAUAUGGCACAAUUCAAAACCUGGUUAAGCUUGAAAUAUAAAAUGCAUGCUUUUAAUUUUUCUUAUUCAAACUGGGUAUUGAACCCUUUGAUGUGUAUGUAAAGCUACUUGUAGUUUUGUGUGCGAGAGUGGGUUUUCUAACGUUGCGUUGUAAGGUUGGGCAAGUGGUGGGUGUUUAACCUGCACAUAAUGAAAUAAAUGCAUUGUGACAAGGAUAUCUCAAGUUUAGAAGAAGUCAUGGAACAGGGACAACAACUGGGGUGGAAUAUCAGGACAACACCCAAAUUUACACAAAUCGUGGUGAUGCUCAAGGUGUAGGAAGCACGAUUGGUGUGAUUAAGAAUGAGGCACACGAGUAAGUACGGCUUUCUAUGGAGCAGGGAUAAUAAGGUUUUGUGGAGGUCUUUGUGUGAUUUGUUGGUGGGAGACGCUCAAUUCUUAUGUUGAAAGUUGAUUGGUUGAACAACAAUGAUGGUUGGGGAUACAUAAUAUGAAUGUUGUUUAUUUUAUUCACUCUUUAAUUUUAAAGGUUUCUAUUGUUUUUUAUUACAAGUCCUAGAAUAUUUUGUUUGAAGAAAGAUACUUUAGGAAUAGUGUUUUGAUGGAUAUCUUAGGAACUUUAUAUUCUCAUAGAUUUUUUAGAUGUAAGUUUGAAAAGCAGAUUUUGUCAGAAAUUCAUAUAAAAGUUCCAACAUCCUAAAAUGUUUCAUUUUAAUUUAAUUAAUUUUUUUUGGAUAAAAAAAUAGAAAAUUAAACACAUACUGAAAAUAAACUAUACUUUCCCUGAAGAAAUUAAAAUCAUGGUAAAUUAAACCAGUGAAUGAAUCAUUCAUUAAUUUACAAUUUUUGUUUCAAUAAAUGAAUCAUUCAUUAAUAUAAAAUUUAUUCUACCUAACAAACCAGGAGUAUUAUGUUGGCAACAGUUGUCACACUCAAUUUUAUUUUUGUUUUUCAAUGUGUACAUGUCCUGUUGUCAGCAUUGUCCUGUCUAUUUAAUGUAACUUAAGUGGCCUACGUCAGAAGCAGCUGUGUUUGGAUUAAAAAGACUUUAAUGUAUAAGAAAAACCUAGCAAAAUAACGUGUAGGUUCUGACCGUUUACAUUUCCACCUAUUUUCUAUAGGUAAUUUAAUAUAUUUUGUUUUAAUUUUUUAAUUAUUAUUAAUAUUAGAAAUAAAUUGUAAGUAAAGUUUCUUUUAAUGAUAAAAAAGUUUUAAUUAUUAUAUCGAAUAAGUUUUGUUGCAAUGUUAUAUUAUUAUUAUACUAAUAUUAAAAUUAUUUAAAUUAUUAUAUUAAUAUUAUUAAUUUUAUAAUGUUAAUAGUAUGUAUAUAUACCAAUUUUAGUCUGUACAUAAUAUUCAUCAACUUUAGUUCAUAAGUAAUAUCCACUAACUCUAGUUUAUAAGUAAUACCACUAAUUUGAGUGUGGAGAUAUUAUUAACCAAUUGUGAUUCGUUGGUAAUACCUAUGAACUUGAGUCCAUAGAUGAUACUCACCACUUCGUCUGUAAGUAAUUUUGCAUAUCUUUAUUUUUUUAUUCUUAUUACUUAUGAUUAUUAUUUAUAAUUAUUAUUUACUACUAUUAUUUAUGAAUGUUAAUUAUAAUUAUUAUUUAUAUUAUAAUAAUAUUUUUAUAUUACGUAUAUAAUUAUUAUUAAAAAUAUUAAGAUUAUUUAUAUUAUUAAAAUUGAUAAUAAAAAUAUUUAUAUUAGUAAUAAUAUUGAAUUUACUUAUGAAUAUAGAUUGGUGGGUAAAAUUUGUGGAUAAUGUAAAAUUUACAUAUGGAUAAAGGUUUGUGGAUAAUAAUAUGUAGGUAAUGUUAAAUUUACUUAUGAAUUCAGAUCCAAAGGUAAUAUUUCGUAGAUAAUACUAAAUUUACCCACGGAUCUCAAUCUGUGGGUAAUAUCAAUUUACCUAUGGAUUCAGAUUCGUGGGUAAAUCUUCGUCGGUAAAUUGAUUUUUUUUGUAGUGUGUUAAACUUUUUAUAUUGUUUAACUAAUAUUUUUUUAAAUAUACUAAUAUUGAUACUUUAAAAUAUAUUCAAAACAAUUUAGUAUAUCAAAAUUAGUGCAUUUUAAAAUAAUAGAAAAGGGAUAAUACAAAAAAUUCAACACAAAAUUUAUAGACAAAAAAUAAUUAGUUACUAUAUUGACUAAAUUAGAUACUAUUUCAGAAACUAAAAAAAAAUCUUGGUAUAUAAAGUAUUUUCUAUUAUUGAUAGAUAAUUUUAAAUUAGUAUCUAGUUACCUACAAAAGUUUUAGCUACCAAUUAUUUAACUUUUAAAGUUGGCAGUUAAAACCUUAGUAAUUAGAUACCAAUUUAUAAACUAUUUAUAAAUAAUAGAAACUACUUUAGAUACUAAUAAUUUUGUUAGUCUCUAAAAUAAUAUCUAAUUUAAUCAAUAUAGUAAUUAAUUAUUUUUAGCUAUAAAAUUAGUUUUUAUUUAAUAAUUUUCUUGUAAAAUUUGGUUUUAUUUUUAUCAUUGUGAUCUUCUAGUAUUUUUUCUCAUGAUGUCGUUGUGCUAAGAUGUUCCAGGUUAUCCAGUGUUAUAAAUAGCUUGUGCAAGGUUAUCCAACGAGAGUCACCAUAAGAGAAUAAACAAAGUAAAAAUCGAUGUUCAUUAGUCAAUAUCGUCGGAUUUGCAUUGAAAGUGCAUGCAACUCUAAAACCAUGGAUACUAAUUCAUAACGUCAGGUUAAAGAUCAACUUUAAGUAUCGAUAACUAAGUUGACUUUAACUCAUAUAUAAUUUUUAAAUUGAUUUUUUAAUAAAUUAGUUUAGCGUUGGUUAAGUCGAUGCUAAUGCAUUUUAAAAAUAAAUUCUAUUUUUUAUAUUACAAACGAAAAAAUAGAAAACAAAUUGUAGUGGAUGAAAAAGAUGAAUGUAGAUGAAAGAGAUCACUGUGAAUAAAUGAUAUGGAUAUGGAUGAAGGAGAUAAGUAUAAAUGACGAAAAUGAGUAUGAGUUAAAGAGAUGAGUGUGAGUAAAGGAGAAGAGUGUGAGUGAAAAAGAUAACUAUGUGAGUGAAGGAGACUAGUGUGGUGAAGGAGAUGAAUGUGAAUGAAAGAGAUAAGAAGAUCUAUAUAGAAUGAGAGAGGAAAGUGAGUGAGGAGAUUUGUCAUAUUUAAAUAUGAGUUUUUAGAUUAAAUUAAUCUAUUGUUAUUGUUUAUUGUCACAAAGACACACAAAUUCAUAACAUAUAAGUUAGUGUUAACUUAGCCGACAUGGAAAUAGAUAUAAAUAUUAAAAAUAAAUAAAAUUAAUGUUAAUCAAAUUAACAUAAACUUUAUUUAUUUUUAAUAUUUAUUUUAGUUAGUAUUGACUCUAGUUUCACACUAACAAAAAUAUUUUUACUUAUUAAAAAAAAUAAAAAUAGUUAGCAUCGUCAUAGAGUUGGCUAAGACAAACUCUAUUAGCAUCCAACACUAAAGGAACUUUAUUAGCGUCGAUUAAGCUAAUGUUAAUUCAAUACUAAUACAAAAAAAUAUUCAUUUAUCAAAAAGUAAAAAAUAAAUUUACGCUUGUCUUUUUUCUGUAAAAAUAAUAACAUUUCAUGUGGCAUUGGAGUUGGCUAAAAUUUAUUAGUGUCUAAUAUUAAACAGAUUCUAUUAGCGUUAAAUAAUACAAAUGUUUAAUUAUUAAAAAAAAGUUUAAAAAAAGUUUAUGCUUUUUUAAUAUUUUAAAAAAUUAACUUCUUGUGUUGCAUUAACGGAGUCUAAAAACAUUCUAAUUUGGGCGACAGUAAUAUUUAGAACUAAUUUGACUAAAGAUUCAUUGGGAAAUGUGAGUGCAUGAGUAUAACGUUUGAGAGGUGAAAGGUUGCAUUGGUUUUUAUGUUCAAAUUAAACUGUAUGUAAUUUUAUAUUUGAUUCAAAUGUAUUUUUAACCAAAAAUUAAUUAUAGAAUUAAUGUUCCGAAAGAAAAUUAAAAAUAUUAAUGUCUUCCUUUCUAAAAAGAAAAGAAGUGGUGACAAAAUUGUGAAGAAUAUUUGAGGUAAUAUUCUAGUCACGUAAAACAUAAUAAACGAAAUAAUGGUGGCUUAUGCGGUUGAGUUGGUGGCCGUCUAAUGAGAAGUUAAGUAUGUUGUGUGAAUUCAUGAAGUCUAAGUAAACUGUAUAAGGUGUAAUAUUGUUGUUGAUAGAAAAACAACUAGGGUUGCAAAACUUUAAACAUAAAUAAAGGACUAAACUUCACAAAGCAGUAAAUAAAUAAAUGACACAAAAUUGAUUGAAGUCUCAAAUCAAACACACUUUUUUUAAAAGGAGGGGUGGCAGAGAUGAUAUUGUUACGAAGUUCAAUCUUCAGAGUAUUUAACUUCAGCAACUCACUUACAUACAUACACAAUAUAUCUAACUUCAUCGCACACAACAGAUGGCCCUGUAGGUUCACCUUAUUCAUAUUUGAAUCACUUAAGAAGAAAAAACAGAGACUUAAACUUUUGUUCAUAAUACUUUACACAAUAUAGUUACCAUCAUUUUUACCUCCACCUCUUCUUCCAAUGCAGAAAUACCAGGUACUUAACACUAAAAAAAAAAUUAUAAAAUAAAAACUAAUUUUUAAAGAUCAAAAUAAUUAGAUACUAUUUUAAAAACUAAAAAAAAAUAUUUUUAAAUUAGUUUAUAUUAUUGUUAUAUAUUUGGGUGCAGGAAAUUAGGCUUCACUGUGGAAAUAGCUGUAGACGGAGAUCUGAGCUUAUGGGUAUCCGACGCCUAAUGUCUUCCAAGUUCAACAUAAUGAUCCAUGAAACAAAACCUAUUGCUAAAUAAUACAAUAUAUUCUAUUUUAUUUGGGGUUAGAGAAGAAAAAGGAGAUUGUAAUAAUGCGAUAUUCAUGCCUCAAAUAAGAAAGAAUAUAUUUUACUUCAUUUAAAUUAAAUCAAAAGGAUGAGAUGUAUAAGAAUCACUUAAACUGAAUGGAAGUUUCUUCUGUUUAGCAAACAGGUAUUUCAUGUAAAAUGUUGGUCACUGGAAAUACGAUAAUGUUGCUGCAUAGUUUUUAAUCUAUCAUAUGACAAGUGACCCAUGCGAUAAUCCCACAAAUCGAUAGGCUGAACAUGACAUUAUGGAUGAACAUGACAGAUCACAGGGUAUGAUUCCUUCAGAGAAAGUUUCCAUUUUAGGGCAUUUGGCUACUAUUACCGUUUUCAAAUACGAGCAAUGCAAAGUAGCAUUUCCUGAAUAAAACCUUACUAGCCUUGGUAAGCAAUUCAGCUUAAUUGAUCUUAGUCGUCCAAAUACCAUUUCAUCACAACCAUCUUCAUUUUCAUUUUUUACAAUUUCUUUGAUUGAUUCACACUUCUUUAUACUUAAGGUCCUGAGUUUCACCAAACUUUUGAGUGUUGCAAAUGUGAAUAAAUACUCCAUCCUUUCACACUUCUCCACAGAUAACUUUUGAAGAUUAAUGAAAGACAUUGCAGACGUAGCUAAUUUUUCUACCUGAGGGCACUUGUAGAGCUUUAAUAUUUCAAGUUUUUUCACAGUAUGGUUGUACCCAUGGAUGCUCUAAACCAAUCCACUCUAACUCAUUUAGCUGUUGCAAGUAUAAUUGUUUCAAUCUCACAAAUAUUGUGUCAUGAACUUGAAGCUUUUGAGAGGGAAAUAUCUCCUUCAAACCAAAGCAUUGGUGUACAAAAAGAAGUUCUAAAUUGGGUACCUUGUGAAAGAAAUCAAAAGGCAAAGUACCUUUCUCAUUGUUAUCCUCAAAGUAAACUACAAGAAAUUUUAGUUUACAAAGAAGGUCUUGUGGCAAAUGUGCAUAGCUCAUAAGCUUAAUGUUUUCCUCAUUGAAUGCUAAUGCCACGAGUUUGGGAGAAACCUAGAAUUUGAAGUCAAAUAAGUUCGAAAGGUAAUGUGUGCUAGUUAGAUACUAUAAGAGGAAAAUAAUAAUGAAAAGAAGAGAAAGUGUAAAAAGGUAAAGUUCUGAUGCUUCGUUACCUUUUCAACCGACAACAAAGGUUGUUGUAUCGGACUAAUUGAAGCCUCUAUAACUCUUUUUUGACUAUCAUCAAAGUCUGAUGAGAACAACUUCAAAUUAGGACAACAUAUCACAAAUAAGACUUUUAACGAGGGACAUUCCAGAUGAUGCUUUUUAGGGUAAAAGCAACUCAACAGUGGCAUGUUUUCAAGACAUAGAAGGGACAAAACAGGUAAUUCAAACAUUAAUGUCGUUCCAUGUUCCAUUCCAUCUUCCUUUCCAACUAUUUCUAUCAAUUUCUCACACCUUUUCAUUCGAAGUGUCUCAAGCUUCUCAAGAUUUUUUGCAAGGAAUGAAGAGAACAAUGUUACUAGGCUUCCACAAUCUUUAACAACCACUUCUUGCAAAUUGGGAAAGCUGACAAUUCCUCUGGAGUAUUCUUUCCAUACACAUUUCAAAUUUGACAAUUUUUUUAAAGUAAGCUUUUUCAAACAAUAAACUAUUCCCUUCAUCUUGACUUCACUCUCAUCUAUGUCAAAUAUUACUUGUAUUGCAUCAGAACUAUGCACAUUCAAUUCUUCUAAGUUCUUCAAGUAAGGAAGUACAUGAGAGGGAAUUAAAAGAGGUCUAUUAAAUGCUGCAUCAAAUUCCAAUUUCUUGAAACUGCCAAAAAAGUUGUCUGAAAUAGCAGGUUUUUUGUGUUGAACUUUAGUCAUCUCAAGAUAAUAGUCAAGAAUCCUACGCUUUGAAUAGUUGAAAAAAUCCUAAGAGUCAUAGAAACACAACGACAGGUUAAUUGACAAGCAUAUGCUUCGUAUUUAAUUGAAAUCACUUGGAAUUAUCUUUGAUUGUUGAAAACUAUAUAUUUGCAUAAUUAGUUGUGAAAUCUAAAAUGAUCUUAUAUUAAAUUUCACUUUUCUUUUUUAUUUUCUAGUUAAAUUAUUAGUUUAUUGUUUACUUUUUAUAAUGUGUGGUAACCAUUCCAGAUAUAAAAAAGAACAAAAUAACAAUGAAAAAAUGAAAGAUGGUUAAUGGUUUUAGCGUAAUGAAAUUAGGGAUAUUAAGUGGACUUGUGGGGGUUUAACUUUGAAGUAAAAGUUUGUUUUCAUUUCAUUUCCAUAUUCAAUUAGUAUGAACUUUUUAUUUAAUUUCUAUAACAUCCGAUAACAGGUAUACUUAUGUCUAUGUCUAUCCUUGUCCUCUUACCUUUUAACAUGGUUAUGAAAAUGACGAAGAACAUGUGUAUACUCAUCAUCAUACUCAGUCUGAUUACAUCUUCGUCCUCGUGUCCGUUUCAAUUUUAAAUUACUAAAAUAUUUUUAAUUUAUUAAAUCACCUAAAAAGUUUAUAUUAAAUUUAUUUUUAGGUUAUACAUUUGAUUAUGUUAACUCUUUUCUAUAAUUGUUUAACAUCUAUAAUUGUUAUUUGAUACUCUCAUUUGAUAUUUAUAUAUUUAUAAUUUUUUUCUUAAUAUUUGAUAUUUAAAAAAAUAAAAUAUAUAUAUUUGACAUUAAAUACAUGAUAAUAUUAUCUUUCCUUUAUCAUGAUUUUUAGUUUUUUGAAAAUAUUAUUUAAUUAAUAUUUAUAAUAGACCAUGAGUCUGAGAGCCUACGAGGUAGCGGAGAAUUCACUUUCCAAUGAUGUUGUUGUGGAUGGUGCAUAAAUUGGUAGACCUUAUUGACAUUGUAUGAGAGUUCAGGACGUGUGAUAAGAAGAUACUAAAGGGGGCCGACGACAGAGCGAAAUAGUGAAACAUUGUCAAAAGUUGUAGUGUCAUCCCAAGAUAGGCGAGUAGAAGAAACCAUGGGUGUAGGCUAAGAUUUGAAAGUCAUGCCUGAUUUAUGUAAAAGAUCUUUUAUAUAUUUAUUUUUUGAAAGAUGAAGAGAACCAUCAACUGUACACGAGGUUUCUACACUAAGAAAGUAAUGAAGCUUGCCAAGGUCUUUCAGGCCAAAAUGCACAGGAACAUGGUUGAUUUUCAGGCCAAGGUCUUUCAAUAUUCUAAUUUGGUUGAUUUUGUAGAAACAUUACACCUUAGAUCUUUUGGAAAAUAUUUUAAAAUCAAUUCACUCCUUCUCUUCUCUUGUAUUCAAUCAACGUUUCUUGCAACCUUUUCUAGUUUUAUAUUCAUAUCUUUUAAUCGGAAUCUUCUAUAUAUACUGGCUGAGAGCGUAGUUAUCUUUUAAAAAAAUUCAGACAACUGAUGUAAAUAAGAAAUUCUAGAUUUAUUGUAUAGGUAUUACUACAACAUAACAUAGAAUAUCCUUUUUCAACUUUGAUUCGGGAAUCAAUCUUAUUGGAGUAUACAUAAUUCCAAUCAAGAUUACCUAAAUCAUAACACUAAAUGUAUAUAUUUAUUUAUUUUAUUGGCCUGGGUCGUUUAGUUAUGUAUGGUAGAUGUCAUUAUAAAAAUAAUAUGAACCUAAAUCAUAACAUUAUUUUUUCUUUCUUUGCUUUUAUCAAUUUUAAAACCUUUCUUUUUUAUCUAGGAAAAUGACAUUUGAGUAACAAUAGAAGUAAGAAAGAAUGUGUCCAAAAGGUUAUCUUUUGGGUUUAGCAACAUUCUUUGCAAAUAGGAAUGGAGGGGACCAUUUUGCUAUUAAAGAAACUAAUUUCUUGUUUUAUCAUUUUUAUUAAUUAAUGCUUGUCUAAUUUUUUUGAUUGAAUUUAUUAACUGUUGGGCUAAGAUUAGUUUGAAUAUUUAUGUUUUCUUUCAUUAUAAAAUACAAACUAAGUAAUAAUGUCCAUAAUUUCAGAAUUAGUAAGAAAUUAAUAUUUUAUGACAAAAAAAAUGAAAGGUAAUAACUAAUGUAAUAUUCAUCUUCAGGAAAGAAGAAUAUAUUUUGCUUUUAUUUAAUAUUUUUAAUAUACUGUUGAAAAUAAUAUUAUAAAUAUUUUGUAGUAAGAUAUGACAUUAUUGUAGAAAACUCUGUAUACAAUAAUAAAUUAGUUAUUGUUGCAAAAAGUGUGAGGUUUUGGCAUAGACAAGGUCACAUCAUUAAAAUUAGUUAGAUAUUAAAACAUAAUAAUUGAAUUUGGGGAAUGAAGUGUUACCUUUUGGUGAAACAACCUCCGAAUCGUUGUGUUGAGAUCGUCGUUGAAUGUUACAUCAAUAUCCUCUGAUGUUUGAAUCCCCAAUAAAGUUGGAGCUUUUAUGACUCCUUGAGAGAAAGUUUCCAUAUUAGGGCAUUCAGUUACCUUCACUGCUACCAAAGACGAGCAUCGCAAAGUGGCAUUCCCUGAAUAAAAGCUCACUAAACUUGGUAAGCAAUUUAGCUCAAUCAAUGUAAGUUGUCCGAAUACUAUCUCAUCACAAUCAUCUUCAUCUUCAUUUUUUGCAAUUUCUUUUAUUGAUUCACACUCCUCCACAACUAGGCUCUCAAGUUUCACCAAACUUUUGAGUGUUGUAAAUGUGAAUAAAUACUCCAUCUUUUCACAGAGCUUCACAUACAACUGUUUAAGAUUGAUGAAAGACACUGCAAAAUAAACUAUUUUUUCUACUUGAGGACAGUUGCUGAGAUAUAAUAAUUCAAGCUUUUCGGAGUAUGGUUGUACCCAUGGGUGCUCUAAACCUACCCAAUCUAACUCAUUUAGCUGAAGCAAGAAUAAUUCUUUCAAUCUCACAAGUACUGUGUCAUGAACUUGAAGCUUUUGAGAGGGAAAUAUCUCCUUCAGACCAAAGCAGUUUUCUACAACAAGUUCUUCUAAAUUGGGUACCUUGUGAAAGAAAUCAAAAGGCAAAGUAUCUUUCUCAUUGUUAUCAUCCCCAAAGCACAAAGAAAGAUGAUUUAACUUGUAAAGAAGGUCUUGUGGCAAACGUGCAUCGCUCAACAACAUAAUAAUUUUCUCAUUGAGUACCAACUUCUUCAGUUUCGGAGAAGACUAACAAUUGAGGCCAAACAAAUUCAAAAGAAAAAUGCAUAGUUGAUAUUAGAUAGAAGUUAUAGAAGGAAAAUAUAUGAUGAAAAGAAGAGAAAGCACAAAAAUGUAAAAAUGUUAAUGCUUCGUUACCAAUAUUUCAACAGAGAACAAAGGUUGCUGUAGUGGGCUAAUUGGAGCCUCUAUAACUCCUUGAUUCUCACCAUCGUCAAAGUUUGAUGUGAAUAGCUUUAACUUAGGACAAUAUUGCACAUGUAGCGAAUAUAACAAGGGACAUUCCAGAUGAUGUUUUCCAGGAUAAAAGCAACUCAAGAGUGGCAUACUCGAAAAAGUUAGAUGGUACAAACAAGGAAACACAAAUACUGUCAUCCCCGUUUCCAUUGCAUCUUCUUUUUCAACUAUUUCUACCAAUUUAUCACACUCUUGUAUUUCAAGUGUUUUAAGCUUCUCAAGAUUUCUGGCUAGGGAUACAGAAAACAAUGUUACCAAGCUUCCACAACCAUGAACAACCACUUCUUGCAAAUUGGGAAAGCUGACAGUUCCUUCGAGGUUUUCCUUCCAUACACAUUUCAAAUUUUGCAAGUUUUUUAAAGUAAGUUUUUCCAAACGAAAGAAUAUUCUCUUCAUCUUGAUCUCAAUCUCAUCAAUGUCAAAUAUUACCUUCACUGCAUUCGAACUAUGCACAUUCAAUUCUUUUAAGUUCUUCAAGUGAAGAAGGACAUGAGAGGGAAUCAAAACAUCUCUUUUACAUGCUGCAUCGAAUUCCAAUUUCUCUAAACAGUUAAAAAAAUUAUCUGGGAAAACAGGUUUGUCGUGCCGAACACCUUUCGUCUCAGGAUAAUCAAUAAGUCUUGCAUACUUUGAAUAUUCAAAAGAAACCUUGGAAAAGAAGAAAAUGUCAGGAGUAAAUGACAAUCAAUGAUUGAAUGACGAUAUAAAAAGUCUUUAUACUUUGAGUACAUUUAUUUAAUGAAAUCCUUGUGGUAUAUAUACCUUAGAAGAGUGAUGAUUAUUUUAUCAUUAUUCAGAGAGUACGAUAAAGAUCACAGCUUGUAUAGUGAAAUUAUUCUAGAAAUUUGGAUACCAACCAUACUUGAUUAUGCAAACAAGAAACCUAGAGCUAUCAAACUAGGAAAUAAAUCUACUGAAAUCUGUAGAAAAUGACAUACUUGCAUGCUUCAUAUUAUAUAUGCUUCUUUUCAUAGUGAUAUAAUUAUCAGUUACAAACCAAUUGAAUGAAAUUAAUAAUAAAUAUUUUAAUACAUACCUGAUCUGUGAAAUGUUUCUGCAGGGUUGCAUUCAAAUCACCUUCCCAAUACCACUUGUCUUUUUCUUCGGCUGCAACAUGUACUUUCUCUAGGUUUGGAGCACUUUGGACUUCAGAUAAUUUUGUCAUUUGAGGGCAUUCACUCACUACUAAUUUUUCCAGUAGUGGGAAUUUUAAGUCACACUUCUCCACAUUCGAGAAACACUUGAGAUUUUGUAGAGACACCAAUUCUAAUGAUUCUAAUACUUUAAACUCAAUCUCUUCUACUUUUUCCUCAACAUUUUCUGCAACGAUUUCCACAAUCAUUGGACAUGAACUUACUUUCAUCGUUUUGAGUUGAACCAAGGUUUUAGCAGUUGAGGUUGUCAUUAAAUUCCUCAUCAUGCAGUUCCCCACUUCUAAAUAUCUUAAGUAACUAAAAGACACUGAGGACGACGCUAGAUUUCUCAAUUUUUUACAUUGUAGAAUGAUUAAGCAUUUUACCCUUUGAAGAAGCACGUCAUGCUCAAAGCCAAUCUCUUCAAGAGCCCACAUGCAAUUUAACCUAAACUCUUCAAGUUGCAUAACAACACCUAUUUUUUCACGUGAAAUAAGAUUUUCAAAACCCCAAAUCCUUUCCAAGUGACAAAGUUUCAAACUUAAAAUUUUCAAAUUUGGAAGUCUAUGAAGAAACCAAAAGAGAAUUUCACUAUUAUUCAAUCCAAACAAGGUAAGUUCUUCUAGUUUGUGCAUUUUGUGAACAUUAGCAAUGUAUUUCUGCAACCACUCUGCUUCGUUCAAGCUAAAUGACAUAUUUUCCAAGUUGUACAACACCUAAAUAAAUAAAUAAACUUAUCAGUAUCAAAGUAUACGUUUGAACCAUAAUGUAUUAUUUUGCUACAAGAAAUAAAAUACAUAACCUUACAUUCUUGUCAGGCACUGCUAAUUCAUGCUUUUCAUCUAAACAAGGCAUGUUCCAUAUUUCCUAUAGAAAAGCUCUAAAAAGUAACUUUUGUGACUUGGAUCUAAACAAACUUUGUGUACCUUUUCUGUAGCUAAAACAAUUGGUUGCACUGUUGAAUUUAUGAUUUUUGAAGUCAACCCUUCCAACAUGAUACAAUCGACUAUAUCCAAUUCCUUUAAUGCUGGCCACUCUAAAGUGUGAGCUCCUGAGUAGAAACUCCUCAAAUCAUUUAAGUCUAUCAAUGAUAGAGUGUUUAAAUGAGGGAACUUAAAGUUGAUAGCAUCUUCACUUGCAUGUUUGUCCCAAGCAACAAUCUCUUUCAUUGCCCCACAGUCCCUUAUCUUAAGGACUUCCAAUUUUUCUAGGUCAAUUGAAAUAGAAAGUGGAAAGAGAUAUUUUAAAUUUUUACUCUCAUCAACACUUAUGCUUCGCAAAUUAUUAUAUUUAAGUAUUUCACAGGUGUUAUCCUUCCAUACGUGUAUCAAAUUUGGAAGCAUUUCUAGAAAUAUAUUAUCCAAGUUUGUUUCAAUUAUAUCAUAAGAAUGUGGAAUAUUUGUAAAAUCAAAUAUGUUUUCCACCAAGUUGCAAUUUGUAACUGUCAAGCUUUGAAGGUUAUGAAAUCUUUGCCCCAUAUAACAAGGAAAAAUCGUAACAAGUUUAUGACACUCUGUUAUUAUCAAAGAGUCCAAACUACGAAAGGAAUGUAAACCAAUAUGGGAAUUCCAAAUGGUACCGAGGUUCUCCAUGCAAAUGAUCUCUAUUUUCUUCAACUUUGGAAAAACAUCAAUAUACUGUUACAAACAAAAAACGAUUGAUAGGUGCGCAAUUAAAAGACCUAAACAAUUUAUACAAGUAAACAACAAAUGAUAAUAUUAAUCAAAAUCAAUAUUAAAUUAAUCCACACACCUCUUCAUUUUCUGAAGGAAAUAUAUCCUCCAUCAUUUCACAUUCACUUAGAAAAAGGCUUUGAAGAUUCACCAAACUUCCAGCCAUGGAGAGUGAUAGUAAAUACUUUAAAUUACCACAAUCUGUCACGUUCAACGUGAGCAAAUUUUGAAAACAAUGGUCAUAUUGGUCACUCCAUAUCUUCUGGAUGUUGAUUGAGGAUAACUCCAACCAUUCUAAUUUGGGAAUUGAAACCUGUAAGAACACAAAAACUCACAAUAUAUUAUUUUAUUUCUUUUAAAGGAAUAACAACAUACAAAUAAAACAUUACAGACGUAAUUAUGAUAAGGUUAUUACAUACCUUUUCAUUGAAGAGUGGAAGGCAAGAAUUAAUGACCCCGUUCUCGAUGUCAGUGAAAAUAUCUUUGUUCCUGUGUUGCUGUACUCGGUCUUGCAACGAUUGUGCACUAUCAGACAUCUUAUCAAUGGUAUAUAAACAAGUAAAUGUUGGUAAACACUUUAACGUUAAAACUCGUAACUGGGGAAACUCAAUCUUGUCAUCAUGAGUUUGUCUUUCAUCUGAAACUAUCUCCUUCAAAGAAUCACAAUCACAGACUUCAAUUGUUUCAAGCACAGUGAGGAGUCGAACCAUGGAAAAUGGGAAAAGGUUUCCCAAUUUAACACAUGCUUUAAUCUUGAUCACUUUUAAACUACGAAAAGAUGCCUCUACAAGCCGAUUGUCACAUAUUAUCUCCAAAUUAUGCAGUUUGUAAAGCCAUAUGGACUCCAAUUUGGGAAAAGUGAGUAAAGGGUAAAACCGCUCCGCAGGGUUGAUAAUAUACUUAAUGCCAAAAUUGUUUACAAUGGAUAAAUGCUUCAAAUUUGGAAAUCCCUCAACAUUUAAUUCAUAGAAAAUAUCUUGAACAUCGUUGAGUUCCCCCAACAGUAAACAUUCAACAUUUUUUAACAACAUUUUAACCCAUUUUUCUGAAUGAAUAUCAAUACCUUCUUCUAGGUUCAAUGCCAAAAAUUUCACCUCCUCAUACUUGUCAGGGACUUUGAAUUCUCCAACUUUAUUCAAGUUAAGCAAGUUGAAUUCACCAAUGACAAUCUUGUAACUUUUCAAAUUGUCGAAAAACAAGUUUCGUGGAAAAUGGCCAGAACUCUGAAUGUGUAUGUCUAGAUUUUGCAACUGAUUCAAGUUCCUCAACUCAGACAUUCUAGCAUUUCCACUAUUGAUAUUUUCCUCAGCCUCCCAUAGAAUCAGAUUGUCUCUGAUAUAAAGUUCCUCUAAAGUGUUCAUCCUUGGUAUGAUAUUGGACCUUAUUUCUCUUAGUUUUGAACAAUUGCUUAUGUCCAAAAGCUGAAGCUUAUUCAAUUGCCCAAAUUCAAGAGGCAAACUUUCAUAUUUAGACCCAGAAAGAGUAAGGAUUCGUAGAUUCUUUAACUCACCGAUGAUUGAUAGGUUAUUUCCUAGAGUGCAUCUCUCCAAACAAAGUAUUCUUAGUUUUUUUAGGCAUUUAAUUGAUGAAGGUAAGCAAGAUAGAUUAACACCAGUCAAUACCAACACUCUAAGUCGAACCAUAGAUUUAAAAAAGUCAUCUGGUAUUUCGAAAGAUUCACUUUUAUUGUCAAUAUGUAAGACUUCAAGUCUAGGACAAUGUAUACUCUCAGGAAGCUCAUCAUUGAUGUCACAAUAGUGUAAAAAAAUGGCAGUGUACCUUUCAAAGUCAUCUUCGUGAGGCCACUCAUCAAGAAUGGAAUUUUUCAUAAAAAACACAUGUUUUUCUUUAGAUGAUAUUGAAAUAGCAACAUCUCGCACAAUGUCAUGCAUGGUGAAGCGGUCAUCAGAAUAACUCCUCACUAACAAACUCGAUUCUUCUAGCUCAUGUAUAACCUCCUUCACUCUUUUCCUCGCAUCUGUAAUUGUGUGGACUCCUUGCAGCAAAUUCAAACCAAUGCAAAAUUUGACCAAGUCCAUAAUCAAAGCAUCAUGUCCCAUUCUUGCACAAUGUAAGAAAAUACACUUUAGCUGCUCAUUUUUUAGAUGAUCGUAGCUCAACUUGAUAGAGAAGUCAGUAAAUCCCCAUUCUUCUGUAAAACUUUGUCUUUUAAUUUGUUGACAAACAUCCUCCCAUGCGGAUAAGCUUUUAUGCUUUAGUGUCCUUCCUAUGGAAACUAAUGCUAUGGGAAAUCCAGCACUCCAUUUUGCAAUUUCAAUAGCAUUCUCAUCAAACUCAGAAGUUUUUACAUCAGCGACUUUCUUAAGCAAAGUCUCUGCCUCUUUUUUAUCAAGGACUCCCACUGAAAAAGUUGAGCUCUGUUGCACAUCCAUUUGAUUACAUAGUACUUGUUUAUAUCUAGAUGUUAGAAGAACUUUGCCUCCUUUGUAACGCCUGAAUAACUUUUCCUUUUUCAUGCUAUUCAAAUCAACUUUGGACAACUCUUUUUUCUUUGUCUUAUUGUAAGCAAAAUUAGAUAUGUCAUCGUUGUUUCCAAAAUCAGAUAUGUUACUGACCCCUCGUUGGCUUUCAUCAUCAUUACAUGGAAUCCCAAGUUUAUUCAAGUCCAAUCCAUCCCAUAGAUCAUCAAGGAUAAUAAGGGCGUUCUCCUUUUCGUUCUUUAACCUCUUUCUAAUACGAUCUACUCUUGCAAUCUCACUUUCCCCUUCUAAUCUCAUUCCUAGCAUGUCAGCAAUUUGUCCUUGAAUUUUUUUGAAAUCAGGAUUUCUGCUAAUAUUUGCUAUAACCACGGUCUUGAACAACUUCUUUUCUUGAACUAUCUUAGCAACUUCUUUCACUAAAGCGGUCUUACCAACACCACCAGGCCCAUGAACUCCAAUCAUAUCAACAGUAGAGUCUUCCAGUGCUUUCAAAAUCAUCUCCAUAUUUGUAUUUCUAGACGGAAAGCUCUCAUAGCCCAUGUUUGAAAAAGUAGCAUCAAUGGAUGGGCCUUUUUGAUACGAAACAUUGUCAAAUCCUUUCUUCCAAAGUUCAUCUCGUAUGAUUUCCUCUACCUUCUUUGUAGCUUCUCUGCCUAGUUGAUACCUCAGUUGGAAGUUAUUUGGAAAGAAACCAAGUGAGCAAAUUGUCUUUGCAUGAUAUUCAUUGUGAAUAUAGCUUUUGUAUUCUUUUAUCUUCUCAUCCAUCAGCUUUAAGCAACCUUGAACGUCAUUUUCAAUUUCAUCUGCAUUCCUUAGUGCAUCAUCAACUUGAUGUUGUAGCCUCUCCCUAUUAUGUUCCAACUUCUGAAUGUAAGAUUUCAACUCUUUAAAUUUGUCUUUGUAAUUGAAAAAGUAGCCCACUUGUCGUUUGACCACGCGUCCUACAGUUUUCACUGUACUCUCAAUUGUUGUAGAGACAACUGUGUCCAUAUCCCUUCACAAAUGAACACUUUCGUCUUGAUUUUUUUAAUUUUUUCAUAAGUAUUACAAUUGCAAAAUUUCAAAUCAUAAAAGGAAAUUGAUAAAAAACAUCCAGUAAGCAGAACGAAUUUUGAUGACACACUAAAAAGUUCAUAUAAAGAAACAUAGAAACCAAAAAAUGAUUAUAGAUAUUAUAAUAAUUUAUAAAGCAUUACAUGGAAGGCGGAAUUUAACACACUCCAGCAGUCGGUCGUGUGCCACCGCCCAAAGGAGGCAACGUCCCAACCCUUACAAUUCCUCUCUUUUUUUUAUCCUAUUCCAUCUCCAAAUAGGAUUUUCUUUUUCUUUUUCUUUAAUUUGUGGUCCCUCUUUUGUUGAGAGCGGUAGCUUUAUUUUUUUUAUCUUUGUUGGUGUUUAGGAAUAAAAGGUAGAAAAUUAAAUAAGGGAAUAAAAUACUGAAGGAGAAAAAUAUAUUAGGUAAAAUAACGCAGAGCAAGAUAUCAUUAUCUUUCUUACAAUAUACUCUUAACUGGAAAAAAAAAAUUUCUUGUCUGUGUGUCAUGCGGUUGGUACAGUCACUCUCAACCAGCCAACCCAAGCCCCCAAUUAAUAUUGCAAGGAAAGUGCAGCAGCCAAGACUUUUUCCAGUGACCAGAUAAGCGCUAACUACUAGACCAGAGAAGUUCUUUAGUCAUAUUAUCAUUUUUAUUAAACUUAUUAUUAUUAACAUAAUUUAUACAUAUUAAUAUUAUAUUCAUAUUAUUAAUAUUAUAUUCAUAUUAUUAAUAUUAUAUUCAUAUUAUUAAUAUUAUAUUCAUAUUAUUAAUAUUAUAUUCAUAUUAUUAAUAUUAAUAUUGUUAAUAAUAAUAAAUAUAAUAAAAAAUCAUAAUAAAACUAAAGAAUUUGCUUGGUGUAGUGGUUAAAUUUUCUUUGCGUUAUUUGAAGGAAACUGAUUUCAAAUCCCAUUAAUUGCAAAAUUUAUAUUUUGGUGCCAAAAUUUACAUACGGAUUUUGAUCCGUAUGUAAUAAUCCGUAUAUAAUUCGCGUUUUUCUUGUAGUGAACAACUUGAGCAUCUACCUCUUUCACCUGAUUUUUGUUUUUGCAUAUCACUACUUCAUGUCCAUGUUGGUUGCAUUUGGAACAUUUGACAUCAGGUCUUCUCCAACAUUUGAAUGGUGGAUUCUUUCCACAGUGUUGACAAGAUGGAUAGGUUUCUUUAAGCCUUCUCCUUUUCCCUUUUAGUGAUUGCUAAAUGAAUUCUCUUCAUUUGCUCUACAAUUGGUGUUGAGGAAUAAAACAAAGCAAGAUAUCCAUUUGAUGUACCUUUCUAUCUCGAGGUAUGUCAACAAGCUCCCAAGUUUUGUUCUUCUCAAUCAUAUACAACUUAGCCAUGGUUGUUUGCCUUUCAAUUAUUUAGGAGUGCGUAUCUUUGAUGGUGCUCCAAAGAGUCGUUUUCUGCAACCUUUGGCGGAUAAAGUCAAAUUGAAGUUAGCAUCUUGGAAAGGUAAAUCUCUUAGCAUGAUGGGUCAGAUUCAAUUGGUCAAUACGGUGAUUACGGGAAUUCUAGCAUAUAGUUUUAAUUUGUAUAAAUCGCUUGUUUCUCUACUUAAGCAAGUUGAGCAGUGGUGUUGAAAUUUUAUAUGGACUGAAUAUAUUUUGAAGAAAGGCAUAGUUACUGUUAAUUGGGCUACGAUUUGUUCUCCCCUUGAGAAUGGAGGUUUGAAGAUUAUUAACCUUCACCAUGAAAAUAAUGCUUAUAUUUUUAAGCUUGCUUGGAACUUUACUUAUAGCAACAGGUCUUGGUCUUUGCUCUUGAAAGUCAUGGUUCUUAAAUCAAAAUACAAGUUUAAAAUUGUUUAUAGAUCCUCGUGUCUUUGGCCUGGAAUUAAGCAGUUUUAUUCUACUAUACUUUAAUAUACUUCUUGGUACAGGUUCUUUUAUUAAUUUCUGGAAUGAUAAAUGGUGUUCUACUACUCCUUUAGCACAUAUUGCAGGGUUAUUUGAUGGUAUUAGCAUUCCAGAUACAGUUUCUCAGUUUUGGACAGGUUGGGAUUGGAAUAUUUUGUUGUGUUUAGAGCAGAUGCCUCAUCUUUUUAGUCAUAUCAUGGUUAGGGCAAAUCAUGAUGUUCUUAAUUGGAUUCUAGAUAAGUCAUAUCAUUUUUUUUUUGAAUGCCCUAAUGCUUUGUAUAUUUGGAGUUGGGUUCGACAUAUUUUUCCUACUUCUCUUUUCUCUAAUAAGGAUGAUCUUUUUUCUUUUAUUAAGAGUGAUGGUAGUCCUUUGGAUAAAUUGAUUAAGCUUGUUGUGAUAACUUUUUCUAUUUGGAUGUUAUGGUGUAUGAGGAAUUAUGCUCGUUUUCAAGAUAAGAUUGAGGUUUCUAGAGCUAUUUCAGUUAUUAAAGAUUUAACUUGUCUAGUGGGAAAGUCGUUUAAAGCUUCAAUGAAGAAUGAUAUGAUGGAUUUUAGUGUGAUUAAUUUUUUUGGGUAUUAAUACUCUUCUUCCUGUUAGAUGGGAGUUUCCUUCACCAGACUAGGUUAACAUUAACACCGAUGGGGCUACUAGGGGUUAUCGAGGUCUUGCCACUUGUCGAGGUAUUUUCCGUGGGAGUAUGGGGGAGUUUAUUGGACCUUUCUCUGCGUUUCUUGACGUUCAAACUGCUUUGGUUGCUAAAUUUUAUGGAGUUAUAUAUGCUUUGGAGGAAGCUCAAAAGUUGGGACUUACUAAUGUUUGGCUGGAAUAUGAUUUUUCCUUGGUUUGUGUUGCGUUUACUACUAGGACAAAUGUUCAUUGGAUGUUUCGUAAUCGAUGGAAUACUUGUCUUAAUUACUGUAGAAAAAUCAGGUUUAGGGUUACUCAUAUUUUUCGUGAAGGGAAUGCGUGUGCUGAUAAGUUGGAUAAUUUAGGAUUUAUUCAUAAAGAAUCCUUUCAUUGGUAUAAUAGGCUUCCAUCUAGUCUGUUCUUAGAAUUCUUUAUUAAUAUGUAUAGUCUACUUAUGUAUCGUUUUUGUUAACAUAUGGGUUUUGGUCUAGUCCCCCAUAUUUUUGUAUUUUUUUUUAAUAAUACUCUUUUCAUGUGAUGGCAAAUGAUUGUUGUUACUUGAGGUAUUAGCCUAGUUGAGAUGUCAAGUAGCAUAGUGAUGCCUAACAUGAAAGUUUUUUAUAAAAAAAACAUCCUUAAAAUACUCACUACUACAAAAUAUAAAAACAACGACCAUUUAUUUAAUGCAUUUUUACGGUCAGACAUUGUCAUUCAAAAUGCGGUGACAUUUUUUAAAUUAACUUGAUUUAAUAAUGCAGCUAUUACAAAUAGUUGCAUUCUUAAAUAAAGCACUUUAUUUAAGAAUGCGGCUUUACCUAAUCCGCAUUCUUAAAGCAAAGUGCUUUGUUUAAGAAUGUGACUUUACCUAAUAGCCACAUUCUUUAAACAAUUUUUACCCUAACACUGAAGCGCGCCACUUACUCUUUCAUACUUGCUUUCUUCUCUGGCGCUUCGUUUUCUCUUCUGUUUCUGCUUGUGCUUCCUCUUGUCUUCUGCAAGCCUUCAUCGUCUUCUUCGUGACAUUGUAAGUUCGUUUCGAGCUUUUCUUCUUCUUCACCAUUGGUUUAUAUAUUUUUUUCGUUUCUUUUAUUUGUUUCUUUCUUGCAUUGGCGAAGGUCUCCACUGUUUCAUUGGCUGUUUUUGGGUUUAUGUUGUGUCGUAUAUGUUUUGUCACUGUUGUCGUCUCCUUUUCUCACACCCCCACUCCCAUCGAAAUAUUGCAUCGUCGCAACUACCGGAAAACAACCCUGCGCCAUCACCGUCCAACGCAAGCGCAUUCACCAUUGACUUCUGCCCCACAAAAGUGCUCACCAACACGUGUUGUUUCGCCUUGUAGUCCCUUCUCCAAGUAGGGUUUAGGGUUUUAAGUUUUUUUUUUAAUUUUAAAUAAGAAUGUGGUUAUUUACCAUAAUCGUCCUUAUAAAUAUGCAUUUAAAAAUGUGGCUAAAUAGUCGUCUUCUUCUCUGUUGGACAUAAGACUACGUGUAUAUCAAAUGAGACUAAAAAACAAGGGUUUUAAAAUAAAAAUAACUGCCUUCUUAUAACUUUUAUGUACCAGUGACUCUACAUUUAUUUAUUAUUUUUCUGAUAAAAAAAACAAUUUAGAUUUUAACAAUAACCAAACAAGAAAAAGAGACUCAAAAUAUCAUGGCUAAUAAACCGUUUUAUAUUUAAAAGGAUUUGCAUAAUGAAUCAUGACUUUAAGAAGAUAUUAAUAUUUAACAAUAAAUAGAUAUAUCAAUAAGCAUAAGAAGUAAAUUAAAAUAAAAUUGUCAUGACUCUGUUUUAAAAUUCAUAUUAACUUUAGACUUACAAAAUCUAUUAAUAAAUUAAUAGAAAAUGAUAAGUUUUUAAAUAUAUAGGUUAUUCUUAAGUUGAAAUUUUGAAGGGACGUGGAAUUUUUGUGCAAAAGGAUUGAAGCCUUUCGGAUUGACAUAAAAAGAAACAACAAAUAAAGCUUUACAUUCAUAACAGGAGUAAAAAUUGAAAAAAAAUUAACAUAAAUUUUACCUGACUGGUUGGGUUCUCACACAAGCUUCAUCUUUGAAACAUUAACCUUAUAAUAGCUCAAACAAUUCCAACCAGAUGUAACCUAGUAUAUAUGUGUAGUCAUAAUAUGUCAGGUAAGAGUAAUAUUUUUGGAAAUAAUAAAAAUGAUUAAAAUAAAUUGGAAAUAAAAAAUAAGAAAUAAGCUAUAAAGAUUUAUAUUAGAUUGAUGUUACCUUGUAUGAAUUUGAUAGGGUUCCUGGAUAAAGAAGAUGUUGUGGAGUUGGUAAAAUACUUGAGAAAGGCCUGUAAUUAAGAAAAGUUGAAGUUAAAUAAUGAAAAAGGAAGGAAGAGAGAGAGAAAGUUUGUAUGUUGAGUGUACUGUGAGAGAAGAACUUACAGAUUGUGUUGGAUUGAGGUGAUCAAACAAAAAGAGUUUUUCCAGAAGAUGAGAUUGAAGGAGAUUUAGUUGCAAGCUUUAAGACCAUGUGAGAGUGUUAGUGUUGCUCUGCUAUGGAAGAUAAAGGAGGAUGAAUGUAUGUCUACUUCUCUAUAGUCCCUCUGAUUCCUUGUGAUAUAAAACUUUUUACAAGGAACCAUGGAUUUUAGCUCCGUAAAGUUUUUAGAGUUGUUGUUGAUUAGAGAUGUAUGGUGUUUAAAAUAAUAAAAGUAGUUGAUGAUAUGCAAUGAUUGCACCCAUUUAUGAAUUAAAAAGUAAAAAAUAAAAUAAAAUAAUCAUUCCCUAAAAAAUUAUUGAUGAUAUACAAUGAUUGCACCCAUUUAUGAAUUAAAAAGUAAAAUAAAAUAAUCAUUCACUGAAAAAAUUAUUGUAUAAAAAUUAAUUUUAGUGUUAGUAAAUAAUCCUCCAGGAGGUAGAUUGGGGCGUGGAGAUCAGUUCUUCAUGACACCAUCAAUAAUUCAAUUCAUCUUUAAUUAGUAAAUUAAGAAGCACUGGAGCUCAUAGCAUCUUCAGGUGUGAUGUGUGAAGGAAGAGUUUUCUUCUUUUUUUUCUUAUCAGCAAACUAAAUUCAAUAAGAAAGAGAAGGUAGAAUAGAAGGAGUUGGGUAAAAUUGAAUGUUGUUUUGAGGUAACUUGUUGGUUAUAUUUUUGGGUAUGUUUUUUUUCAUUUUUUUCACUUUAUGGUUGUUCUGCUCCAAUCAUAAAGGAGAGUUUCUUUUGUGGAUGAUAUAGAAAGUCUACUUGUGGUUAUUGUAUAUGGGUUGGAAUAGCCCUGAAAUAUUCUUUUUAAUUUUAUUUAUUUAUUGGUGAUAAAAAAAAAGUUUGGUUGUGUAGGGUUUGAUGAUGAAGUUGGGUGUUUGAAGCAUGAGAAGAGGCAAAAAGGUGAGUGAGUGUAUGAGAGUGCUGAUAGAGUUUGAGAAUGAAUAUGAGGAUUGGUAAGGAUAAGGAGAAUGGAUGUAAGGGCUAGCUGUCUCUAGAUCUGAUGUAGAAUAAGUGUUCAUUUUAAAUUUAUAAAAGUUAGCUUGUAAAUCUAAAAAUAUUUAAAAAUAACUAGUUGUAACAUAAAGUAAUAGCAUUCAUUCUUAGAACAAAGUGGAGAGACCUAUAGGGUGGUAGGUGUCUAUGCAAAUAUUUGUUUUUUUAUCAGUAAAUAAUAAAAUAAAUUAGUGAGAUAAGUAUUUCAAUCCUUAUAAAAACUUUACAACCAACCAUCAUGCUUACACAUCCAUAAAUAUUAAAAACCCAAUUCACCCUAACAAAACAUGACUUUUAAAGAUAAACUGCAUAAAAACAGAACCCAAAAAAGCUAGCUACAUUAGAGAAUUAAAAAACAGAAUUAUGCAUUUAAAUCAGCCUAAAAAAAUUAGUGAUUAAUUCUUGGGCUUAGAUGGUAGCUUUAGCCUGGUUCUAGCUUCACUAGCUUCACAUUCCAAUUCCAUCAUAGUCUUACAAGCUAUAGAACUAGCAACUAACCACAAGUGUUAUAUAAGAAACUAUGGAUAGAACAAAAAUUAGCUAUAGAAUCCACCACCCAAAAGCGUUAAAAACCAUAGCAGGGAAAGUAGAUUCCACUUGUGGAAUGGAUGCAGCUAUCUUCCUUAGACUUUCAAAACAGCACCUUCAAUCUUAAGAUUUCCCUGCUGAAGAAAGAAACCAAGUUGCAAAUAUUCAUUUUGUUUGUGUACUACGCAAGAGGCACUCGUUGAGCUCGUUGAAGGUGCCAAGGAUCUAUUGUAUUGGCUAUGAAAUAUACCAUAAAAGUUUUUAUACAAGGCUUCGAGACAUCUCUUAAAUACUUCAGUUAUAUUUAUUUUUUUAUUUUUUAUAAAAAAAUUUAAUUAUAUCUGAAAUUUAAUUAAAAUUAAAAGAGAACAGGUGAACAAUAAAUAGUUAUGGAGAACAUAAAUUUGAUUUUAAUGUAAAUAAAAGUCUAAGAAAAAGUAGAACUGAAUUUGAAUCUUCCCAAAGUGUUUCUUUAUCUCAUAUUGUUGUUGUGGUUUGUUCUCGGACUCGUAUCACGGCAGUGUUGGGUUUGGGCUCACUUCCUAUGUGAAGGCCCAUUCCAACAUUAAUCUUUAGGGUUUUUUCAAAUAAGGGCAGAGCCAGCACACACAGGAGAGAGAGAAAAAGUGAGAAAAAAGAUUAAAGAGAGAGAAAGUUUCGUUCAGCAACUUCCGGCCACCAUCGACUCUUCGUUAACCGUUGGAUCGGGCUGAAAUUUUGUCAGCAGGUUUAUACUGUGUGUAAAUUCAAUCUGACCGAUCGGAUCUUGCAGAAGGUGUUUGAGCAGAGAGAAAUUCAUCUCACACUGCAGCAGCGUUUUUCAGCGUUUCUUUUGAGAACGGGAAUUUUCAGAUUGCUGCUGCGGUUUCUUCCACCGUUGGAUCGGGCUGAAAUUUUGUCAGCAGGUUCAUACCUCGUGGUUCUUCAGUUUAACCGUUCGGAUUGUUCAAAGAUCACUGGAAAAGUGACAUAUAGGCCGCGUACGGUAACUGCAAUUUGUGAAUUUUUCAGGUUCCUUGUUCUCUGUUUUCAUCUCUGUUGUAUUGGUAUUUGGCUGGUCAUUGAGCACAAAUUGUGCUGUGAUUUGAGUCUCUUGUAACCAUAUUUUUGAUCAUAGUGGAACCUUGAUUGACUGGCUUGUGCCCGUGGUUUUUACUUCUCACAUUGAGAAGGUUUUCCACGUUAAAAUUCUUGUGUCUUCUUGAAGUGUGUUUUGUGUUGGUGCCAUUAUUUGCUAUUGCUCCUCACAGAUUCUUGCAAGUUGGGAAAAUUGUUAUCUGCUGCGUAUUGCUCUUGUUGAGAUAUUAUUGUUAUUAUAUUGAAUUUCCCAUCAGAGUGGUAUCAGAGCUCCUUGGUUGGGGCUAUUUGACUGCUUGAAUGAUGGAGGCAAAUACAAAUAAGAUGGUCUGUUUGAACGACACUAACUAUCACUUAUGGAAGGGAAAAAUGAAGGAUCUGCUAUUUGUGAAGAAAUUGCAUCUUCCUGUGUUUGCUACUGAAAAGCCAAAAGACAAGACUGAUGAAGAAUGGAAGUUUGAGCAUCAGCAGGUUUGUGGUUUUAUUCGUCAGUAUGUUGAAGAUAAUGUUUAUAAUCACAUUGCUAAUGAGGAAGAUGCAAAAUCCCUGUGGAAGAAGAUUGAGACUUUGUAUGCUUCUAGUACAGGAAACAAUAAAUUAUAUUUGUUGAAUUCCUUGAUGAAUUUGAGGUAUUUCUAUUUCAGAUCACUUAAAUGAUUUUCAGGGGUUCCGAGAUCAAUUGUCUCAAAUGGGCAUCAAAUUUGAUGAUGAAGUGUUGGGACUAUGGCUACUGAAUACUCUACCAGACUCUUGGGAAACAUUUCGGGUUUCAAUUACAAACUCAUCUCCUGAUGGUGUUGUCUCCUUGGAAAAUGUUAAGAGUAGUGUUCUUAAUGAGGAGAUGAGAAGGAAGGCUCAUGGUACUUCAUCUCAUUCCGAGGUACUUUUCACUGAAAAUAGGGGGAGAAGUCAGAAAAAGGAACUGAAAGGGAGUAAACAGAAUAGCAGAAGUAAGUCCAAGUCCAGAUACAAAAAUGUGGAGUGUCAUUAUUGUCACAAAACCGGGCACAUUCAGAGAAACUGUUUUCUUUGGAAAAAGGAGAACAAGGAUAAGAAAGGAAAGCAGAAGGAGAAACAUCAUGACAAUGAUGAUCGUGUUACUACUGCUAUUUCUGAUGAUGAUCUUAUUAUUCUUCGUGACCAUGAUUCAGUUAAUCUUGUAUCAGAUGAGAGCAUGUGGAUAAUUGACAGUGGUGUUACAUUGCAUGUUACACCAAGGAAGGAGUUCUUCACAUCUUACACUUCUGGUGAUUUUGGAGUGUUGAAGAUGGGUAAUGAUGGUUAAUGAUGGUGUGUCUAAGGUAAUUGGUAUUGCUGAUGUUUGCUUGCAAACCAAUAUGGGAAUGCAGUUGUUGCUUAGAGGAGUCAAACAUGCUCCAGAUGUCCGCUUUAAUUUGCUUUCUGUGCAGAUGCUUGAUGAUAGUGGUUUUGAAAAUCACUUCGGUUUAGGAAAGUGGAAACUCUCUAGAGGUAAUCUCAUCGUGGCCAAAGGGGACAGAAUCAGUAAACUAUAUUGGACAAAAGCUUUGGUUGCUAAAGACAGUGUGAACGCCAUGGAUAUGGACGCUUCUUUGUGGCACCGAAGGCUUAGUCAUAUCAGUGAGAAGGGGCUGAAUUGUUUAGCUAAAAAGGAUGUGCUUUCGGGAUUGAAGAAUGCAGAGUUGGAGAAAUGUUCUCAUUGCAUGGCUGGUAAGCAGACCAGAGUAUCCUUCAAGAAGCAUCCUCCCUCAAAGAAGUCAGAGUUGCUUGAAUUGGUGCAUUCUGAUGUUUGUGGCCCAUUGAAGGUAAAGUCAUUUACUGGUACAAUUUAUUUUGUUACCUUUAUUGAUGAUUGUUCCAGGAAGCUUUGGGUUUAUGCUUUGAAGACAAAGGACCAAGUUCUAGCGAAAUUCAAAGAAUUUCAUGUUUUGGUCGAGAGACAGUCAGGCAAGAAGCUGAAAUGCAUUCGUACUGACAAUGGUGGUGAGUAUUGUGGACCGUUUGAUGCUUAUUGCAAGCAACACGGUAUCAGACAUGAAAAGACUCCUCCUAAAACUCCUCAGUUGAAUGGCUUAGCAGAAAGGAUGAACAGGACACUAAUAGAAAGAGUCAGGUGUAUGCUUUCUAAAGCAAAGUUGCCUAAGCACUUUUGGGGUGAGGCUUUGUACACUGCAGUGCAUGUUAUUAAUUUGAGUCCUGCAAUUGCUUUGAAUGCUGAGGUGCCAGACAAGGUUUGGUUUGGCAAGAAUGUCAAGUAUGAUCAUUUGCGAGUCUUCGGUUGUAAAGCAUAUGUGCAUGUUCCUAAGGAUGAGAGAUCCAAGUUGGACGCGAACACAAGGCAAUGCAUCUUCAUUGGUUAUGGUCAGGAUGAAUUUGGCUACAAGUUCUUUGAUCCGGUUUAGAAGAAGGCAGUGAGAAGCCGUGAUGUGAAGUUCAUGGAAGAUCAAACCAUUGAAGAUAUUGAUAAGACAGAGAAGAUAACAUCUGAGACAGAUAAUAGAUUGUCUAAUGUCGAUCCAGUUCUGAGUGAUGAACAACAUGAUGAUGUUGAUGAUCAGCAACUUGGAGAUGCUUUUGAUGUUCCUAUUGAUGACAGUGAAGAGGAACAUGGGAUGUCACAAGAUGAGGAUCUUGGUGAUGCUCCUGAACCACCUCAAGUUCAAAUUCGGAGGUCUAAUAGGUAGGGGAACCAUCUACUAGGUAUCCUUCUGAUGACUAUGUUACCUUGACGGAUGAAGGAGAACCGGAGUGCUAUCUUGAAGCCAUGGAAAGUGAAGAAAAGAAAAAGUGGUUGGAUGCAAUGCAAGAUGAAAUGAAGUCCUUGCAUGAUAAUCACACUUUUGACUUGGUGAAAUUGCCAAAAGACAAGAAGGCUCUGGAAAACAGGUGGAUUUACAGGGUAAAGCAAGAAAGCAAUUCCACAUCUCCAAGGUAUAAAGCCAGAUUGGUGGUGAAAGGUUUUAGACAGAGAAAAGGCAUUGAUUUCAAUGAGAUUUUUUCUCCUGUGGUGAAGAUGUCAUCCAUUAGAAUUGUGCUGAGUUUGGCUGCUACUCUUGAUUUAGAGGUAGAGCAAAUGGAUGUUAAAACUGCUUUCCUUCAUGGUGAUUUGGAGGAAGAGAUUUACAUGAAGCAACCUGAUGGUUUUCUUGUUGAAGGCAAGGAAGAUCAUGUGUGUAGGCUGAGAAAAAGUCUAUAUGGCUUGAAGCAAGCUCCUCGUCAAUGGUACAAGAAGUUUGAGUCUGUUAUGUGUGAGCAAGGCUACAAGAAGACUACUUCUGAUCAUUGUGUGUUUGUUAAAAAAUUUGCUAAUGAUGAUUUCAUUAUCCUGUUGUUGUAUGUUGAUGACAUUCUUAUUGUUGGGAAAGNNNNNNNNNNNNNNNNNNNNNNNNNNNNNNNNNNNNNNNNNNNNNNNNNNNNNNNNNNNNNNNNNNNNNNNNNNNNNNNNNNNNNNNNNNNNNNNNNNNNNNNNNNNNNNNNNNNNNNNNNNNNNNNNNNACAGGAGAACUAUGUUAAAAGAGUGCUACAGAGGUUCCAGAUGGAAAAUGCUAAGGUGGUAAGCACUCCUCUUGCUACCCAUUUUAAAUUGAGUACAAAACAAAGUCCUUCUUAUGAAUAUGAAAAGUCAGAUAUGCAACGGAUUCCUUAUGCAUCUGCUGUGGGUAGCUUGAUGUAUGCAAUGGUGUGUACAAGACCAGAUAUUGCACAUGUUGUUGGUACAGUCAGUAGAUUUAUGUCUAAUCCAGGUAGAGAGCAUUGGAAUGCUGUGAAAUGGAUUUUAAGGUAUCUUCGUGGUACGACUUGUUUGAGGCUUUGUUUUGGAGGUGAUAAGCCUACCCUUGUGGGUUACACUGAUUCUGAUAUGGGUGGAGACAUAGACUCUAGAAGGUCUACCUCAGGCUACGUGAUUAAAUUUGCAGGUGGAGCUGUGGCAUGGCAAUCCAGAUUACAGAAGUGUGUUGCAUUGUCCACUACUGAGGCAGAGUUCAUUGCCAUUACAGAAGCUUGCAAGGAGUUGUUGUGGGUGAAGAAACUCCUGCAAGAGCUUAGUUUUGUUCAAGACAAGUACUUGCUAUUUUGUGAUAGUCAGAGUGCAAUUUAUCUUGGUAAGAAUUCAACUUUCCAUUCUAGGUCCAAGCAUAUUGAUGUGAGGUAUCAUUGGAUACGCGAUGCUUUGGAAGCUAGGUUACUGGAGUUGGCAAAAGUUCAUACAGAUGAUAAUUGUGCUGAUAUGAUGACAAAGUCACUACCGAGGAGCAAGUCUGAAACUUGUUGCAAGAUUGCCGGUUUGGCAAUCAUCUCCACAUAGUUGUGAGGGGGAGAUUUGUUGGGUUUGGGCUCACUUCCUAUGUGGAGGCCCAUUCCAACAUUAACCUUUAGGGUUUUUUCAAACAGGGGCAGAGCCAGCACACACAGGAGAGAGAGAAAAAGUGAGAGAAAAAGAGAGAAAAGAUUAAAGAGAGAAAUUCAUCUCACACUUACAGCUACCAUCGACUCUUCGUUAACCGUUGGAUCGGGCUGAAAUUUUGUCAGCAGGUUUAUACUGUGUGUAAAUUCAAUCUGACCGAUCGGAUCUUGCAGAAGGUGUUUGAGCAGAGAGAAAUUCAUCUCACACUGCAGCAGCGUUUUUCAGCGUUUCUUUUGAGAACGGUAAUUUUCAGAUUGCUGCUGCGGUUUCUUCCACCGUUGGAUCGGGCUGAAAUUUUGUCAGCAGGUUCAUACCUCGUGGUUCUUCAGUUUAACCGUUCGGAUUGUUCAAAGAUCACUGGAAAAGUGACAUAUAGGCCGCGUACGGUAACUGCAAUUUGUGAAUUUUUCAGGUUCCUUGUUCUCUGUUUUCAUCUCUGUUGUAUUGGUAUUUGGCUGGUCAUUGAGCACAAAUUGUGCUGUGAUUUGAGUCUCUUGUAACCAUAUUUUUUAUCAUAGUGGAACCUUGAUUGACUGGCUUGUGCCCGUGGUUUUUACUUCUCACAUUGAGAAGGUUUUCUAUGUUAAAAUUCUUGUGUCUUCUUGAAGUGUGUUUUGUGUUGCUGCCAUUAUUUGCUAUUGCUUCUCACAGAUUCUUGCAAGUUGGGGAAAUUGUUAUCCGCUGCGUAUUGCUCUUGUUGAGAUAUUAUUGUUAUUAUAUUGAACUUCCCAUCAGGCAGCAGAGAAGACGAAGAGUUUUUCUUCAGGGAGUGUUUCUACCGAAAAUUAAUUUGGGCAGUGUAAAGAGAAAGAAAUUGGUUUUAAGUCCUCAAACGGAAGAAAUUGGUUUUGAGGUUAGGGAAGGCGAUGAACAGAGGGAACAAAACCUCAUUCUUGAAGGUGCAGGCACAAGAUUCUGCAGCGGAGUAAGAGAAGGGAGUGGAGUGAUUGAAGAAGAGUCGGUCACACCACAAAGGGUUCUGAGACAUAGAAGGUGGCAAGUUUUUUCAGGUUUGGAAAUUCUCCAUUUGGAGCAAAACAGUUCAUCCAGAUUAGUCUCAAAAUUUAUUUACCAAACUGUUUCUGAUAGCAAGAUUAAUUGCAAUAGACGUUUUUGGGUCUACUUAGAUAUCGGUGAACCAAUUAAACUCUGGGAGUUGGGGAAGCAAAUCGGUAUAACAUGUUGCAGGGACGAGGAAUAAGUAAUUAGUAAAUUGGAACGAAUGGAAGAUAGAGAUCAAGAGGGUAAGAUUAGAAGUGUGGAUGGGAAUCAAAAUUAUGUCUUCUGAUAAUUGUAAACUUCAACAUAAGAGCGUACUAAAGCUAGGUAUCUGCAACAAAUUAUUUCUAAAGAAGACACAAAUCUCGUGUGUUUACAAGAAACUAAAACUAAUGAAAUGGCCGAUACAAGAUGUUUUACCAUGUGAGGGUAUAAUAAUAUAGGAUGAUGAAGGGGAAAAUGGUGUUGGAAGCAUACUAACAAUAUGACACAAAGAAGCUUUUCAAUGUGAUGAUCAUGAAGUUGGAAAAGGUUUUAUUUUUGUUAAUGACAAACACCUAAAAUCAAACACACAAGUAUCAACUGUUAAUGUGUAUGUUUCAUGUAAUCCGCAAGACAAGGUUGCACUUUGGGAGGAAUUAACAUGUAUAAAAGAAGUCCAAGAGAAUAUCACUUCAAAUGUUAGAUAAAUUGAGGAGUUGGAGGAAAAGGAUGAUAUUAGGGAGCUAGAGGACAAUUUAAAGUUAAAAAGAAUGGAAUUAGUUAGUCAAUUGAGUAUUGUUGAGAAAAAGAUUGAGUCGUUGUUAUGCCAAAAGGUGAGGAUGAGCUGGCUUAUACAUGGUGAUAUGAACUCAAAAUAUUUAUUAGAUGAAGAAGUAUGAGAAGAGGAUGUAAGAAGAGAUGGAAAAAACUCUUUGAAGAAAUAUUCAGUGCAACAAAAGAUUUUGGAGUAAGGUCCUUAAUGUUAGGUUUAAUAGUGCCAAAGUUCAAGAGGGGGGGGGGGUGAAUUGACCUUUUAAAUCUUUCUCGCAGAAUCAGUGUUUAACACAGUUUACAGAAAAUAAAUCGAUUUAAGUGAAAAUGAACAGAUUUAUUUUGGCACUGUUUGUGUUUGAAAAACGUUUAUACAGCAAGGUUAAUCACAAGAUUAUGCAGAUAGAUUUUCCAGAUGCACACACACUGAUAUUAGAACGAAAACUAGUGAAACACAAAACAACAAACUUCAAUUUCAAGCAAGUGAUUAAGGUUCGAUUGAUAGCAUGCCAAUUAAUUGAGUAACCUUUACAAUCAACCUGUUCCAGUGACUUUUAACAAAUUAUAAGUGUUCUUCUUGAAAUCAAACAGUUUUCCAGAAAUUAAGAACAGUGAAUCACAGAACAACAAGCUUCAAUUUUAAGCAAUUGAUUAAGGUUCAAUUAAUAGCUUUGACAAUUUCUUGAGCAACCUAUCACAAUCAAUCUGUUCCAGUGGCUUUUAACAAAUUUUUAUAUGUUCUUAUCAGAAUCAAACAACUUUCCCAGAAAUUAAGAACAGGAUGAAACGAGCCCAGAAAAAACAGAUUUAUUAAUGAUUGAACAGAUUUAUUUCUUUGUUGUUUUAACAGUUAUGCAAAAACUUAAGUGCAGAGAUUAAAAGAGAAUGAACACGAGGCAAUUAUACUGGUUCACUCCACUGAGCUACAUCCAGUCUUCACCUAAACCAAGGUGAAGUUCACUAAAUCACAAUACAAACAAACUAAAUUCCCACUGUUCUUGAAACCUACAAGAACGUAGGUACUCUUGCUGAAAAAACCUAUUUCAGCUCACACACACUCUUCAAGAAAACCUAUCAAGAAGAGUGUUCAACCAAACUAUUACAAGAAAUGAAAAGUGAAACGACUACACCUGAUUGAGGAUACAAAGAUCUGCCUUAAACCAGUAGGCAAGAUUGCUAGAACAGUAGCAGCACCUCACACCAAGCUUUUGGAACCAAACAAGAACAAGCACUUUGUGAUUUUCGAAAUCUUUGAAGAACAAAUGCUAAUCCUUUGUAAACUCUUAAUUCUCUAUUGUAAAACUUGUUUUUACAAAUGUAUGAACGAUGUUUAAACUCAGAAACAAGUUUUCCUUUUAUAGAAAACCAACUUAUAACAGAAUUUUAAAAAACAGUUAAAGCUGUUAUNNNNNNNNNNNNNNNNNNNNNNNNNNNNNNNNNNNNNNNNNNNNNNNNNNNNNNNNNNNNNNNNNNNNNNNNNNNNNNNNNNNNNNNNNNNNNNNNNNNNUUUUUCAAAACGAAAACAGAAAAGCUUAACUAUUUAAACACAGUCGUUUUGAAAGGUAGAAGACUUAGUCAAAAUACAUGAUGCACAAAAUCUAAUUUUCACAAGACUUAGCCAAGGCAUCAGUUUAAAAAAGAAUUUGUUUAUUUAGAAAAGAACAGAUUUAUUUUUAUGCAGUAAACGUGUUUUUUGUAAAACAUGUGAAAAACAGUUUAAGAAAACUUAUGUUUGUUCUUAUCACAUGGCCAGUGGUUAUGAGGUGAGUUACUCAGCAAAAAGCCCACUCUUAAACAACCUCUAAGCACUACCUAAGACACACUUAAAGCAAAGCAAAAUACACAUGAAAUGUACAUAGAAGUCUUCAUAAACGCAUGUCUUGAAGGAGCAACAACCAUCUUCAACACUUAAAACUAUUUUUAUUGAGGAAAAUGUAAGCCUAAUAUUCAAUUUUAUAGAGGAUGAAGUUAGGGCAGCGAUGUGGCAGUGUGACGACUCAAAAAGCUCGGGACUUGAUGGUUUUAAUUUAAACUUUAUCAAGAAUAGCUGGGAAUCUCUUAAAGAAUAUAUUAUGUCAAUGGUAAUCCACCUCCAGAACACGGGUAAUAUUCCAAAAGAGUGUAAUGACUUAUUCAUAACAUUAGUAGCUAAAGUUUGGGAUCCCCUAAAGUUGGACCAUUUUAGACCGAUUUCAUUUCUUGGAGCUUUGUAUAAAAUUAUUUCUAAAGUGUUAUCGUGUAGGUUGCAAGGUUGUUAAACUUGCGAGUCUACGUAGACUCGUGGGAGCUCCGUAGACUCGUAAGAGUUUACUUUCAUAUUAAAAAUAAAUUAAUAGUAAAUAACUACAUUUAGUCCUGAAUGAAAAUACAUACAUCAUUUUGCUGCUUAAUUAAAUAAAAUAAAAAUCAAAUUUAGAACCUAUCUUCUAUUCUGCAGCCCAAUAAAAAAAACAUAACCCUAAUCCCCUAAAUCACACUACAUAAAAAUGCAACCCUAAUUUCACACCACCAUCUCUAACCUUAUACAAAGAAACGUCACUAACCGCAUGAACCACCUACAACCAGCUAACUCAGACCAGACUCGCGAUUUUACUCUGAUUUUACCAAUUCACUCCGAGUCUUCCGAGUUUACUCAAGAUUCGAGUAUACAACUGAGUUAACUCGCUAAGAGCAUGUGGACAUGUAAACUCAGACGAGUCUACGAGUUGACUUGCGAGUUUAACAACCUUGGUAGGUUGAAGAAAGUAUUACAUGGUGUUAUUGAUGAAUAUCAAUUUGCUUUCUUGAAAAAAAGAGGGAUGUUGGACAGGGUAAUUACAGCUAAUGUGGUUGUAGAAUAUCUCAGGAGGCUUGGUAAAAGUGGGUUGUGUAUCAAAAUGAACUAUGAAAAGACAUAUGACUUAGUUAAGUGAGUUUUUUUUCAAUAUGAUACAAUGUUUAGGCUUGGUUUCAAUGACAAAUGAGUCACUAGGAUCAAAGGAUGCUUGUAAUCAGUAUCAAUGUCAGUUCUGGUUAAUGGUAGUUGACGCUAGAAUUUAAACCAACUAGGAAUUUGAGACGGGAUAACCCUUUAACUCCUCUUUUUGUUCAUAAUGUGAUUAAGAAAUUAGCUGGAUUUGUAAGAGAAACUAUUAAGGCUAAUCUACUUAAAGAGAUGAAAUUAAAAAGGAUAAAAUUAAGCAAUCCUAACACGACAAGAAAUAAUAUCAAUAACUUUAAAAAAAAAAAAAAAUGACACUAAAUAGUUAAAAACGUUAACCCAGUCUCCCCACACUAACUCAAUGGACAUUAUUGUAUUAGAGUCUCUUUAAUAAACAACACAACUAACGUCACACAAGUCUUACCUAAAAUAAAAAAAGAUAGUGUCAAUUAAACGACAAAAAAAAAAUUAAACCGAAUUUAAAUAAACAAUAAAAAAAAAUGCUAACGUCCUUGCUGUUGGGACACUAUUAUUUAUAUGAAAAUAAAUUAAUUAAUUAAGGGUGGCUGGUGUGAGAAACUACGUACACUUGGAGGCAAAAAUAAAAUGUGGGUUUCUGUACCUUUUUUACUUUUGAUUUUGAAUAAAUGAAAAAUAAAGUGUGGGUUUCUGUAUCUUUUCUACUUUUACUUGAAUAAAUGAUGAAAUUAUAUUCUUUUACUUAUUAUAUGCUACUUUUUACCUUUACAAUUAUGCUACUUUACAGCCCAAAAAAUUAAAUAAAAUAAGAUUAUUUUUGAGUCUUCUCUCUCUAUUUCUCUUCCUAAUUUCCAUCCCUAUAUUGAAUAACCAAUAUAUAUUUUUAAUAAAUAAUAUACUUAAUAAUUGAUUAAAAUAAAUAAAUCUAUAAAAUCACUAGGACUUAUACGAAAACAAAAGCUGUCAUCACCAAUACCCAAUUACCAAUAAUUAUUUAUAUACAUUAUUUCCAAAUUAUUCAAAUUUAAUUUUAAUAAAUAGUACACUUAAUAAUUAAUUAAAAUAGAUAAAUAAAUCUAUGAAACCACCAAAUAAAACUUAUAUCACCUGUAAAUUGUUGUGAAUUUACUUUUCAAUAUGAAAUUAAUAUCGAAUUUCAGUUAUAAAUUAUAACUGCAAUUUUUCUGAAUAAUCCAAAUAUAAAUUAUGUAAAUUCUAUUAUAAAAAAUUAUUUAUUUACAUACUAAUAUUUUAUAUACAGAUCAUUAUAUAUGAAUUUGAAUUUAUAUCUAAAAUAUAAAAUAUAUGUAAAAUGAACUUUAUAUAUAAAUAUUUACUUAAAGAGUAUGUAUACAGAUUUUUUUAAUACGAAUUUAAACGGUAUAUAAUUUUGGUGUUAUAAAACGUAAAUAAUUACAUUUAGAUUAUAUCCUUAUAUUAAAUACUAAAUACAGAAUUAAAAAAAUAAAAUGUUCAGAGCAAAUCGAAACCCACUACCCAAAUUUUCCCUAUCUUUCCAAAAUUGAAACUCAUUGCCCAAAUGAAAUCCCUAAUAUUCAAAGAUGAAAACCCAAAAUCCCACAAGGAACCCUCACAACCCUUACAAAGAUCGCUCACUCUCGUCAACCCUUCUCAUUAUUUCUCUUUCGAAACCCUCACACAGACUCCUUACUCUGUCGAGGGCCUCGCCGUGAAGAGGGGGAGAAUAAGUCUCAGUGACGAAGCUUGGACGUUCGGUGAAAGAGGUCAGAAUCCGAAGCUUGGAACACAUCUACCUCCACUCCCUUCCUCGAACCCGGUUCAAGGCCUUCAUUGUGGUUGGUGACUAUAACGGUACAUGGGUCUCGGUGUCAAGUGUAGCAAGGAGGUGGGCACCUCUAUUCGUGGAGCCAUCACUCUAGCGAAACUUUUUGUUAUCCCCAUUAGCAGAGUGUACUAGGGAACAAGAUCGAAAAACCCCACACCAUUCCGUGCAAGGUUACGGGUAAAUGCGGGUCUGUUACUAUGAGGAUGGUUCCCGUGCCUCAGGGUUUGGGAAUCGUGGCGACUAUGGUUCUUAAGAAGUUGUUGUAGUUCACGACCAUCUUUUCACAUCCUCUAGAGGAUCCACCAAGAGUUUGUGUUAUUUUUGUUAGAAUGCGUGGCAAAAACAAGAGUGGAUAAAUUGUUUUCACAAUAUUUUCUCAAAGAUUGAAAAUAGAAUGAAAAGUUUUGAAAAAUCAACCAAAUUUUGUUCAACAGGAUAAAAUCAACUAGUUGUUGAAACAACAGAUAGUUUAUACCAGCAAAUAAUGAACAUAUUGUAAAAUAGUGUAUAAGAGAAGGGAUAAAUAGAUUCAUACAAAGAGGUUUAUACUAGUUCAUUCUUAACCAAGAGCUACAUCCAAUCUUCAACUAACCACUAAGAAUUCACUAUGUAAUCAAACUAGAUUACAAAACACACACUAAAAGUGAUGAUCUUGAACCCUUCAAGAACAUACAUCACUCCUUGAGAACACCACAGUUUUCAAAAACCCUUUAUGAAACUUUCUUACACAAAUUACACAAAUUAGAGUAUUCAAAAUGAAGGAAAUAGAGUACAUUUGGGUUUUACAAAGCAGUAGUACAUAAGUAUAGAAAACCUAGUCCUAUUCCACACCCGAGUGAUGAUCUAAAGCUUUUGAUCUCUUGAAAACGUUUUUAAUAAUUUCUCUUUCUUAGGUUCUUGAAAAGAUCAUAAAAUAGUCUUUAUAUAGACUUAAGGAAGUGAUAAAUCAAAAUAAGUUAGAAUCAUUUAAAAACAGUUUAGAAAUAUUAACAAAAUUUCGUUAUAAAAACAACAAAUUGUUUUUCAAAACAACAAAUUGUUUUUCAAAACAACAAAUUGAAAUAGGUUUCUGUUAAGGAUUUCAAAUAAAAGAGUCAGUUGUUUUAUCGAAAUCGAAAUAACGAUAUAACAAAGACAAAAAUAAAGCAAAGUUUUUCCAAAACAUUUUGAAAAUCACUAAGUGUCAAACAACCAGUUGUUUCGACAAUUCAAUAGGGUGAAAAACUUGCUUUAGCCUCAAUACCUUUGAGUAAAAGCUUUUUCAACUGGUUGAUUUGAAGAACAACUUACUAAAAUUUCUCAACUUUUAAGAAAAUAGUUCCUUUAAAAUAGAUAAAGAGUCAAGUGAGUUAGGAUGAAUACAAGGUGUGAAUUAACAAGUCAAAAACUAUUAAACCACACACAAACACAACUACAGGUUCUUCAAGUAUUCUAAAUAAAUUUAGAGGCAUCAAAACAUCUUGUUCAACACUUUUCUGUUGCAAAUGUCUCUUUUAGAAUUAUGAAUUUGAAAAAUUUACUUACUAAUGACUGUUUUGAAUGUGACGAAUAUUAAAUACUUCUUGAGUGAUGCUUUAUGAUGCGAUUGUGGAAAUUGAAAAAAUUGUGAUUUGUUUUGUCCAAGUUCUUCUUAAGGAAGUGUUGAUGAUGGACUUGUUUUGAAGGGUUUUCUGAAUUAACUGUUUUUAGGAACAAUGAUUAUUUUGGUUUUUGUUAGAUGUUUGUUAUCUAUGAAUGAUUUUUUUAUAAGAAUGUUUUAAAAUCAAUGUCCCAUGUUCAUGUGCUUUCGGAUAGUGUUUUUUAAAGUCUUGAAUAAGGCGAAAACACUUAUUUGUUUAAGAUUGCUAAUGUUUAUGAUAAGCUGGCACCUACCAUGUUUGCUUGAAAUUAUUUAUUUAUUGUGUAUAGUUUUUCUUUCUCUAGGUAUAUAUGGUCCUUGGUGAGGAGGUUUGAUCAUAGACUUAGGGUAUGAAUACAUCCUUACAACGUAGCUGGAUUUAUGUAUUUAUUUUGAAUUUACUUUGCCUAAAAUCUUAUGCUGGUGUGAAGUCUUUGUUAGAUGAUUUGAUGUAUACAUUGCGUUUCAGUCUAGUAAUUGACUCAAUGAUUUGGUCUAUACUUACAUUCUUCCAAUAACAAUAAAUAUGUCAGACACUUUUAGCUGUAACCAACAUUGCAAAUGCUGGCCUUUAUUUGGGGACUCGGGAAUCACUUGUUUUUUUCCUAUCAAAGUCGAUAGUGGCCACACGUGGAAAAUUUUAAUCUUUUUCCACUGAAACAUAUUUUAUUGUAUGUUUAUUUGCAUUUGAAGUCGUGAAUCAACUUGUUAUCAAAUGGCCUUAAAUAACUUAUCUUGUGGCUUAAAAAUUUAUUAAAAACCUGAUAUAAUAUUUUUUUUUCUGACUGCAGGCACAAGUAGAUUAGCUAAAGAGGACAGAAUGAAUUUGGUUAGAUAUGCCCAGUGUUAUCAUGUGAAUUCUUAAAAGAUAAUAAUUUAUUGUUAUAUUAUUUUAAUCUUUAAAUUUAAUACUUAUUAUCACUUCGAUUUUUAAAAAUUUGUUUUGAUAUUUUGCAUGUUUAUUGUUCGAUGUACAUACAUUUAAGUUAAAUUAUUUUCCUUUAAGUUUUAAAUAUUAAAGUAAUAUAUACAUAUAUAUAUAUAUAUAAUUAAUGAUAAUUUGAUAAACGAACAAGUCUUUAAUGUAGAAAGUAUUACUACAUAAUACCGAUGGUUCUAUAUAUUAUCCUGUGAUGGAUUAAUUAUAGUUUUUCAUAUAAAAUUGCUUUUGAUUUUCUUGUUGCUUCUUUGCUUGAGAUUUAUGCAAGACCCUUGGUAUGUUUGAGUGGAUAGCAAAUGAGGAGAGAGACAUUUUCAACUUUUGUUUCUAAAAGCAAACUUUCUUCAUCCAAAGAAAAGAAAAUAUAUUGUUAUAUUGAAACUCAACUGGUUCUAGGAUUCUCCAAGUUAUUAUUGUUGUUUUUAUAUGCUCAUUUGUAUAACCUUUGCUAGUGUAGUUAAGUUGUUGCUUUUUACAUUGUUAUGUAAACCUGGUUGUUGUGUCCAUUUCUUUUUUAAAUUAAUUAUAACAACUUUUUUGUUUUAUAAUUUGUGGAAUUUCUCAGUGCAGCUGAUGUGAAAGAUUGAAAGCAAAACAAUGAAAAACAUGCAUUUCUUAGUGGCAGCUCCAUUGACGACUUCUUCGAACUCCAUUUAGGAUUUAUUAAAAUGAAAAUAUAGAAAAAGGUUAUAGAGAAUAAUACCAAUACUACUAACGAACCAUAUCUGGUUAUAGUUCAAUAUUUAUCCCAAUUAGUCAAUAUAAUUUCUUAAGCUUUUUUUGCAUUAAUUAUAAUCCUUAAUUUUAUUCAAACAAAUUUUUUAUUACUUUUGUAUCUUUAAGUAACAAUAGGAUGAGAUGUGUUAAUUUUAAGAUUAGAUGAAUAUUGUUUUCUAAAGACAUCUAUCAAAGGAGAAAAUAGAUUAUUUUGUGAAGUAUUUGCAGAAAAUUGGAGACAAAAAAAAAUUUGUAGUGUAUUAUGGUGUGUCAGUGGUCAUUAGGCUUGUGGUUUUCAUGCGAAUUUGUACAAGUCUAGGUCUAUUCACUUCUUAAACAUUACCAUGUACAUUCCUCCACCCUUCUUCCAAUAUGUUGUAUGGAAUGAUUUAUGAUUCCCAAAAGUCAUUGUUACAUACAGAUUUUGAACCCAUAUGUAACAAUUAUUUAUAACAGUUUUACAUACGGAUUUUGUCUCUUAUAUACGGAUUGGUGUUGUAUGUAAUACAAAAUUUUCUUGUAGUGUCCAAAUUUCAAUUUGCAAUCAAAUCAAAUUAGUAGUUCAUUAAAACACGGUUUCUUUUUAUCAGCAAAAAACAAUAUAUACAUAAGAAUCACUUCAUGGUUGAUCCGACUCAUACAAAAAAUCUGAGACGAUUAUACAACACAACACCUUCCAACACAACACUUGUAGUUUUUUCCAACAAUCAAUCCAAAUAUCAACUUGGAAUCAAAAUGAAAUUUCAAGAACAAACAAUUUUUUUAAACAACCAAUAUAAAUAUCAAUUUGCAAUGAAAAUGGAAUUUCAAGUAUAGUAGCUGAAAAAAAUUUUAACAGCCAAUCCAAAUUUGAAUUUGCAAUAAUAUUGAAGUUCAAUUAUAACACCUCUAAUUGGUUUCAAUGUGAAUGCAAUAUUUAAUGAAAAGUUAAUAUCAGUUAUACCAAUUGUAAAGGAAAAUGUCAUUUGAAACUGAAAUAAAACUUGCUCUUUAUGGUUUUAAUUGACUAAAAGUAGUAAAGAAUGUCAUAAGCAUAAGAUGAACUAAGAACAAAAAAUUAAAAUUUUGGUACAUAUAUGAUUGUUGCAAAGAGCAUAUUGGUUGAUUGUUGCAAAGAGCAUAUUGGAAUGUGUACCGGAAAAACCGGUAUAAAUAAUGAGAAUAAAUAAAAUAAAUUGAGUAUUAGUAUGAGAUUAAUGAAUGGAGUAAUACCAACACAAAAACAUAUUGAACCUGAAACAUAAAAUUUUGAAUUUAUUAACAUAUUGAACCUGAAACAUAAAAUUUUGAAAUUAGUCAAAUAAAUUGAAGACAUGCAUAUUAGUUAAUUUUACUUACAAAAUUAUGCAACUCUUUGAUGAAGUGCUAUAACAUUGACCUUUACUCUUUGAUGAAAACUUUUGCAUUAUCUACAAAGGUUAUGUCUGAUGGAAGAGAUUAGGUUUACUACAUCAUACAUUAAACUAAAAUUUAAAUUUUUAUAUAAAAUAUUACGUGUACAUGUUUCAAUAUUUCUCUAUUUGUUUACAUAAUUGAUUUUUAUUAUUGAAACGCAUAAAAAACGUUUUUUUAUGGUUUUUUCAAUGCUUUUUUGCAUGAUUUUCAAUAAACCUUUUUUUAACCGGUACUUCUAGAAUCUUGGUUAGAAAAUCCCAUUUUAAAAAUACUUGCGACAAAUCCAAAGAUGAAAGUGUUGCAUUUAAAUUAGAAAAUUAAAAAGCAAAACAAAAUUCCUUUUACUAAAAGGGCAAACUAAUAAUUUCCUUAAGACAAAAAACAGUUUAAGUUCCAGACAAUAUUUUAUUAUUCAACAACAAAAAAUACAAUAUUUUAUUACACAUGUAGUGACUCAUCCUUCUGAUCAAAAACCCAUAUUCUUGUAUCACUUUGAAUUCAGGCAUCAAACAAUUACAACAAAAAUGUAACAUGCCCCAUUGAUAUCACUAAUUUCUAACUAUGACAUACAUACCAACCACAAGAAUAGGGUAUUAGAGUGGAAGGUUUUUUUAUUAAAUCAAAAGCAGCCAUUUAGACAAGGCAACUGAAUAGUGUUAGAGAAUAAAUAAAGGGCAUAGAAGCAGAGAAGCAUAGACAAAGUGUAAACUUGAGAAUGAAAAUGUAUUCGUGAAGGUUUUGAGGAAUACUGGAUAGAGCUUUAAAGGACAGUUCAAGCUGGCAGAUUGCAAAUAAUUGCUUUAUAUUUUAUCUUAUUUUUUACAAUCUAAAUACAUAAGAUGAUGUUGGGGUUCUAAUCAAUCAUUAGAUAAUUCCUAUUUCUUAAACAACAUAAGGCAUAUGAUCAUACUCCAAGUCACUUGGGCUGCCUUGCCUACACACAUAAUUAAUAUAUAUAUAUAUAUAUAUAUAUAUAGACCUGACAUAUUCAGCUCAAAAUUCAGGAAGUAGCGAAACAAAAUUAAAAUUUAGCUUCAAAGAAGAUAUUGUCUUGAUCGAUUCAUGCAAUUCAUGAAUAGAAAUACAGUUAUUUGAUAAGCAUAUAAGUAAAUUCAAUACAAACAAGCAUUGGUGUGGCUUACUUGAUGAUGAUUUGUGUAUCUAAACUUCCACUGGACUGUGAUGCGUAAGAUAAAAAUCCUCCUUGCUUUGCAUCUACAUCUUUAAAAAAUAAUUAUUAGAUUAUUUUUCAUCAAAAACACUAUGGUUGUUUCCUAUGGCUGUUUCAGUUGAGGAAUUUGGUCACGAGAGUUAUCUUUAUGAAAAUUUGAACAACCAGUUUUUUAAUGCCAAUGUUUCCUAUAACUUGAGUUCAGUAUUGAUUCUAUGUUAAUACAAAUUUAUUUUAAUCAUGUAGAAGUUGCUAUUAUCAGUGAUAGCAUCACUUUACAUAGUAAUGUUAGCAAUGGAGAUGCUAGUACUAGAAUUAUGAAAAUGAUGGGCUUGAAGAAAUCAACCAAACCCUGCCCUCUAGCUUCUACAGAAUGCAUUGCUGUAAAGUUCAAGAAGGUCAAGAAGAGGAUUUGUGUAGAUGCCUAAAAAUUUCAAUUCUCUCUGUCCUACUUGAAACAAUUUCUAUAGCCACAAAUUACAAAAUGAUGCCCUUACUACUAAUUGUGUCUUUAUCGUAUAUAUUGUUUUUUUUGCAGUUGGCUAGAGGAAUAAUUGUCCAUUUUGAAAAGGGAGGAAAAACAAUGUAAGUAAUGUUUAAUAAGUUCUACUCUACAUGAUGCUGCUAAGAAUUUUCCUUUCCAGUCGUAAGAGAAUUUUUCACUUCAUCAAAGUUGGGUCUAGACAAUAUUAUGCUGCCAAUAAGAGAUUCAGCAGCACCACUUAAACUUUUCCUCCCAACUAAAGAUUGCCAGAGUCCUCCAAUACAGAGCCUCCAAUUUUAACCCUCAGUAAUGAACUGGAAUUAAGAUAAUUCAGUUUUGGAUCAUACAAAGCAGAGAAGUUACCAAAUGUCAUAUCAGGUUUCAAAAAUAGUUUGUGCAAAUCAUCCUCCUUCUGGGAGUUACUUUUCGAUGUGUCAAAAGCAGGCAUGGAAGACCUUCUCUUUGCCACUCUCAAAAUGUUUGCAGCCUCUCAACACACUAAGAAACGCUCCAUGCAUAGUCGCAUGAUACUGCUUGUUGGUUGCCUCUCCAGCAAAGAACACUCUUUCAUUCCAAACACUCUCUGCAAGAAUGUCAUAAUCAUCUCCUGAAAACCCAACAGCAACAUAAGAGUAAGAUCCAUAUGCAAAGUGAUCCUUCCCCCACCAAAUACACACCGCCUGAACAGGAUCCGGAACAACAAUCCCCUUUGGAUUGAAAAUAUCCUUACUCUUCAAUGGUCUGCGACGCCUCUGGCCUUAUCCCAAUCUGUGCUCAUAUUAAAAAAAAAAAAACAGAACUCUUAUUAUACUAAAAAAACAGGGUUUCAACAGACAAUACAAGAAAGUGUUCAUCAAUCGAAAAAGACUGUGAAAACGAACCAAUCAAAUGCUGCACUUAAUUAUAAAUUUCAACCAUAAAAAAAUAAAUUUCAACCGUAAAAAAAAUAAAUUUCAACCACAAAACAAAUGUACUGUAAACCGCGAACCCCAAAAUCUAAAAUAUAAACCCUAAAGCAAAAGGCGAACCCCUCUCUACCUCCUCACUGUGAAGACCUUCAUCUACCUCUUCAUCGGCGGUCACCGAAUUCACCUUCAACCUCGCACCAGAUUGCAACACUCAUACAUGAAGAUUAUGGGAUACUUACAAGAUACGAUUUCCAAUUCACAAACACCCAAGUUACGAUUAGGGCUUUUGGGGGAAGAACGCGUGACAAACUUUGGGAUUCUGUGUUAGAAAACUUAAUUUUUUUUUUCAUUAAAUACAAUAGUUACCCAACUUAUGUUUUCAUUAUAGGCUAAUCUAUUGUUAUUUUUCUUAAUAAUUAUUAGUGUUGAUUAAAUAUCUCCAUGGCCGACAAAUAUUUAAUAUUAUUUUUUGUCUAACUUAUACCGUUUUCAUCGACACUAGUAACAUUCUUUUAUAGCUUACACUCUUUAUGGUAACUAAAUUAUUAUUUUUUUUUUAUAGUGUGAGGUUUAUAUGUUAGAAUGUAAUAUAUUUUAUUAUGUGUCAAGCUAAUUAUCAAAGUGUUUUUAUGAUAAAAUCUAUUCUAAGGUGCUAUAAACUAAUUUCGGAGUUGAAAAAUAAUUUUUAUAAAUCUAAGAUUACGGUUUCUCGGUCACAUAUAGAAACGUGUCGGAUCUUUUGUUCAAUUGAAAGGAAACCUGGGAGUCUCACCAUCAAAGAAAUAUGGUCGACCUUCCUCUUCAAUCACUACUUUGAAAAAACCUUCUUUAAAUCUCUUAUAGGAAGUGGUAAAAGGAUGAAGGAAGUCAUUCUUUGACUGGCCGACUAGAGAUACCCAACCUAUCCGGUCUCCCGGCCUUGUACCAAAAAAAUGUAAAAAAGACCUAGGAGUGGACUUAAGACUAAGCACCUCACAGAGCAACCGAAAAGCCUAGAGCGCAACCCAACUAUUCGGAUGCAACUGCGUGGGAGCUACGUUUAAGACACGCAAUACCUCUAUGGUAAACUCAUCGAAAGGAAAGAAGACAUGAAUGUCUGAAAUCAAACACGAAUAAAAGUAGAAAAAAUCCUUGCAUUCCCUCCCUCUACCCAGACAAACGGUUUCGAGUUCUCGACAUCUACAUAAUGCGAACGCACCAUUCGGCACACCCUUUAAAACAAUAUCAAAAUUCUCUACAAAAUCAUGAAGCAUUGACACCUUAAUAUACUUAAAAAAAAUCUCACGAACCUUGUUGUGCACCCAUACAUACUCUACCUCUCGAGUUUCCUCUCCAUGAUAUGCACUCAAAGAUGAUGACAUAGCAGGUUCAGGAUUAUCUUUACUCAAAGGACCGACAGAUCGAGAAGAAUCCUUUGUACUCUCGGCAUCACUGGGCACAACAUCUAUAGCUAGUGGACUUUUCCUACUUGAACUCCCAGAAUCGAAAGAAAAUAAAGUGGUUACAGAAGGAGAAGACAUGGUUACCUCACAGAAACUCUUCAAAUGAGUAUACACAAUCAAUAAAAGAAGUAUUCAAUUCUCGGAUUCUCAAAGCUAAUUCACGGUUAACACAUGAGAAAUGGAACCCACUACCACCACUAUUUAUAGGUGAAGGAAAGGGCAAAUAUGAACCGUCACACACAAUUUUCACUAUUGGAUCAACUCAAUAUCAACGACCCAGAUCACGUGAACUCACGCUAUCUGACGUCACGCCACGUCCAUAUGCCUCGAGUAACCAAAAUUUUCCACUCAGCCUCCAAGACAUAAAUAGAUUACACACGUAAUGGAUUACGUGCACAUUCGUAUUUAUCUCACGACCUCUCAGCUUCUCGGCUUCUCAGCUAUCCCAAUUCUCUUAGACUCUACGUUACAUUUCCAUAAAUUCACUUGAGUCUUGGGAGCAUAUGACUUAGGAAAGACGUACACCUAAAGACAAAACAAUUUUUCUUUCUUAAAGACUCUACGUUACAUUUCCAUAAAUGUACGCAAGCCUGGGGGGCAAAUGUAAUAUCGGGAUGCCGAGAGGUCGAAUAGUCGACAAGAUUGAACGAACUUGGAAGCAGAUGAUUGUUGGGUAUGAAGUCAAGACCAAUUGGGUUGGGUUGACAAGACACCAUGUACACAGUUGAAGCGCAGGUGAACAUUGUUCCGUGACUUCAAGUGGGAGAUUGUUGGAUAUGAAGCCAUGACCAAUUGGGUUGGGCUGAGUAGACACCAUGUUUUAGUGAGUGGACUUAAUUAUUGGGUCCCUUUAUUAUAUCUAUUUAUCUCUAUUUAAAGAGAUAAUUGUACUUGUAAUUGACGUGCAACAGGAUAGAAUGAAAACCUAAUAGUUGCCCCUGUGGAUGUAGGUUGUAGUUGGCGACCGAACCACGUUAAAUCAUGUGUUCUUUAUUUUCUGCAGUUGAUUUGUGAUUUUGUGUGUUGCUUCCGCGUGCGUUUUUCCCAUCAAGUGGUAUCAAGAGCCUUGGUUCGUUUACACACCAGAGAUCCGAUCAGCAAAAAUUAAUCAACGAGACGUGAAAAUUGCGGUUGCAGUAGCAUCCCAAAACUAGGGUUUCACAGUGGCUGCAGUAGCAUCCCAAAGUUAGGGUUUCGUAGGGCCUGCAGUAGCAUCCCAAAGUUAGGGUUUCACAGAGGCGGCAACAACAUCCCAAAGCUAGGGUUUCGCAGGGGUGACAACGACAUCCCAAAGUUAGGGUUGCAUGUGCGUUCUGCAGGUGUGCUGGUCUGAGACGACACGGAGUGCAAUGCGACAGUGGUGGUGCGGAGCGCGAACAGCGGCGGUGCGCGUCCUGGUAGUUACGGUCCAGUGCGGCGGAGCGCCAGUGCAUUGGGGACUGCGAUUGGUGACUGAUUUUGGGUGGUGCAAUUUUUGUGGUCUUUAUUUAAAAAAAAAAGGAUUGCCAAGAUCUGAAAUUAGUUGUACCGAGUAUCUCGACUAGUCGUUUGACAUGGCAGAAAACGGGAAGUUCCGAAUUGAAAAUUCGAUGGUACAAAAUUCAGUUGGUGGAAAAUGCAAAUUGAGGAUUGGCGAGUUCAGUUACUGAGCACAUCAAUAUAAUCUUAGCCAGACUUACGUCAGUGGGCAUUAAGUUCGAUGAUGAAGUUCAAGCUUUACUAUUGCUAUUGUUUUUGCCUGACAGUUGGUCCAGAAUAGUUACAACAGUUAUCAGUUCAGCGGGAUCCGAUGGAUUCACUUUUGAGAAGAUUCAUGAUCUCAUUCUUGGCGAGGAUGUCUGAAGAAAGAGUUUUGGGAAAUUAUGUAGUGAAUCGCUAUAUGUCAACAGAGGUAAGAGAAAUAUCAGAGAUAGUGGGAGCAAGAACAAAAGAAGGAGUCAGUCAAAGACUUGGGAUUGCUCAAGUGUAACAUGUUGGAACUGCAAGAAGGUGGGGCAUUUCAGGAUUACAGAAGUACAUGUACACAGUUGAAGUGCAGGUGAACAUUGUUCCGUGACUUCAAGUGGGAGAUGUUGGGUAUGAAGUCAAGACCAAUUGGGUUGGGCUAACAAGACACCAUGUACACAGUUGAAGCGCAGGUGAACAUUGUUCUAUGACUUCAAGUGGGAGAUUGUUGGGUAUGAAGCCAUGACCAAUUGGGUUGGGCUAACAAGACACCAUGUACACAGUUGAAGCGCAGGUGAACAUUGUUCUAUGACUUCAAGUGGGAGAUUGUUGGGUAUGAAGCCAUGACCAAUUGGGUUGGGCUGAGUAGACACCAUGUUUUAAUGAGUGGGCUUAAUUAUUCGGUUCCUUUAUUAUAUCUAUUUAUCUCUAUUUAAAGAAAUCAUUGUACUUGUAAUUGACGUGCAACAUGAUAGAAUGAAAACCUAAUGGUUGCCCGUGUGGAUGUAGGUUGCAGUUGGCGACCGAACCACGUUAAAUCAUGUGUUCUUUAUUUUCUGCAGUUGAUUUGUGAUUAUGUGUGUUGCUUCCGCAUGCGUUUUUCCCAUCAAUGAUAAACCAUAAUUAAGCAUAAUUAAGCCAGUUUAGUCAUAGAUCAUGAUUAAGGCACAAAUGGACCUUCGUCUGAGCCCAAAAAAAGGCCCAUGACAGUUGAAGUCCAACAGAAAGCUAUAAAUAUCAAAAGGGACCCAAUGUUAGGGGUAAUUUUCUGAUCCCUAAAUCACUUAUAUAUUAUACUCGGACUGACUUGAGCGUUGGGGUAUCCCACCCUGCUCACCGAAGAAGAAAAGCAUCAAGCAUAUAAACUGCAAGGACAAGAAGACGGAGAUUCUUGAAGUCACUCCAGGCGGAACCCGAUCUUGUAAGAAGAGUUAGAAAAUACUGAUGGUCAUACACGAUUUCUUUUCUCCUUCACCAAGUAAUUACAUAACGAUGUUUUACGGUCACAGUUUCGCCAUAACUACGUAGCAAACAUAUUUCUUGAUUCCAAUUCAGGUAUUUGUUUGUUGCUUCUUUUCUUCCUUUAUAUUACUUUUACGAACCAAAACACACAACAACCGUAUUUUUCUUUUCUGCAAACAAUUUUGUGUUGUUUAUGACUCCUUUUCUAGUUCUAUUAUUGCAAAAAUCAUAAUAAUGGUUUCUGGUGUUGGGUUUCGAACUUUCUCUCUGGAGAUGGUGUUGCUGUUCCUGUUCCUGUUGACAAUGACAAACCCUCCUCACAAUGUUCACUAUAGAAAGGUGGGAAAAUGCUAAACUUUGCUUGAAAGCAUGGAAUACGUAGAUGAUAAUCUAAGAAUAAUUCAAUGCAAAUUUUGUUUAAAAACCAUACCACAAGGAAGUUUAUCGUUUGAAACAUCACUUGGCUAACCCAAGAAUUAAAAAGAAAUACUUGAUGUUAUUGUGACUCUAUAACAAAGAUUAAAAAAAAGUUUGAUAUUGAAGAUGAUGAUGUAGAAACUAUAAAAUGAAAAAGGACGAAGAUGUAGGGAACAAUAAAAUUAUUUUCUAAAAGAGGGAAGUAUGACCACAGCCAUAAUUUGUCAAUUAUUCAAAAAGGAUCCAAGAGAAACUACUUGUAAGGAUGUAAAUUUUUUCUACAAAAUUGUCAUACCAUUUUAUGCGUCAAGGUGCAAAAGGAAUUAAGAGAAACUUGAUUUAAUUGUUUAAGGAUUUAAGUCACUUUCAUACACAGUAUUAAGUAUUUGAAGGAAAAUGUUAAGAAAAAAAAAAUACUUUAGUAACCUGCCUUGUCAGAGGACGGAUUGGCAGGUUGACCUUACACUUUUAAUUUUUUAAUUUUAUAUUUUUUAUUAAUUAUAAUAAUUAAUAUAAUUUUUUAGAUAAUAAAAAUAUAAGAAAGAAUAAUAAAAUUAAAAUAAAUUUUAAUAUUCUAAUAAAAAAAUUUAAUAUCUAACAAAAUAAAGUAAAUAUCAAUAAUACUUCAAUGAAUCAAAUAAUAUAUAAAAAAAAUUAAUAUAAAUAAGUUUUAUAUAAAACAUUAAUCACCGCUAAUUUUUAUUAAAAAAAAUAAAAUUUCUCUUUAAAAAUUCCAAAAAUAAAAAGGAUCAACCCCUCUUAUUCUAUCCUUUCCCGUCACGUGUAGGAUUGACAGGUUAAAAGAGCCUAUCCAAUUUGGAUUGAGAGGUUGAAAAAGGGAACCAAUCCCACGUAAAUAAUGGCGGGCCAACUUCUCGAGCCCGUUUUCUCAUCCUUUAAGGUUCAGAACUUCACUUCUAAAGCACUAAGGUUUGGUGAAAAUAGUAGUGUGAUAUUGCAAUCAUUUAAGAAAGUAAGUAGAAUGAGAAAAUAUCUUAAAUGAAUUCAUGAAAUUCAACCCUCGACGACUAAUAUUUUAAUUUAUGACGUACUAUUGGUUAAAAUUAUUAACAUCUGAAUUAAAUUUGAAUCCUAAUUUUAAUGAAUCAAUGUUUUUAAGUUGUAGUCCUAAAUGCACAUGGUGUAAACAAAAGCAAAUAUGUUGGGAAAACUAUACUCAGAUUUUAAAUUUCACUUGUCGUAUGAUUUGAUUUACUUGCCAAAUUCUUAACAUAGAUCCAAGAGUUAACUAAUAUUUAAGCUACAAUGUAUAAAUGUAAUAUAAGUUUAACCACACUUGUUCUUUAUUUAUUCUUUGUUGUAAAACGGUAACAUCUCUUCUGUCUUUAUAUUUUAUUUUGAUUCCUUUAUUAAUAAAAAAAGAAAAUUGUUAUGUGUAUACAAAUUCUUCAAUACUAGGUAUAAUGUUGAAAAGAGCAAAUAUUUAUUUAUGGUGAAGUAGACAAAGAAAUUAUUGAUCACAAUAUAAUGUUUAGACCAUAAAAAGAUAAGAUGAGCUAAUGUACUAAUACAAAAUUAUUUAAUAAAAUUGAAAAACUAAUCCAAAUUAAACCAAACUGAUUUGUUGUGGUUUAAUUUGAUUUGGUUUAAAUUUAUUUUAUGUUCAAAUUAAAACUGUAUGUAAUUUUAUAUUUGAUUCAAAUGUAUUUUUUAACCAAAAUUAAUUAUAGAAUUAAUGUUCCGAAAGAAAAUAAAAAAUAUUAUUGUCUUCCUUUCUAAAAAGAAAAGAAGUGGUGACAAAAUUGUGAGGAAUAUUUGAGCUAAUAUCUCCUAGUCACGGUGUAGAAAAUAAUAAAUGAAAUAAUGGUGGCUUUUGCGGUUUGGCUUGGUGGCUGUGUAAUGAGAAGUUAAGUAUGUUGUGUGAAUUCAUGAAGCCUAGGUAAACUAUACAAGCUCUAAUAUUCUUGUUGAUACAAAAAUAAUUAAUAAAAGAAAGAAGAUAAGGGACUGAACUCCAAAUAACAGUAAAUAAUGGAUGAACACAAAAUUUAUUGAAGUUUCAAAUCAAACACACUUUUUCGAAAAGGAGGGGUGGCAGAGAUGAUAUUGUUACGAAGUUCAAUCUUCAGAGUAUUUAACUUCAGGGACUCACAUACAUACACACAGAACAUAUCUAACUUCAUUGCACACACCAGAUGGCCGUGUAGGUCCACGUUAUUCAUAUUUGAAUCACUCAAGAAGAAAAAACAGAGACAUAAACUUUUGUUCAUAAUACUUGUAGUUACCAUCAUUUUCCCUCCACUUCUUAUUCCAAUGCAGAAAUCCCAGUUAUCCUAAAACAAAUAAAGGCAC